rnacentral:lncRNA from 1 species
AACAGUAAAGUAAUUAGAACGUUGUGAAAGUACCAUUGAAACGAAAUAAGGGAAACAAAUAAAAACCAAUUAAUCAACCCGUUCUAACAUAAGUUUCGCAAUAAAAUUACUCUGAGAUACCUCAUCUCAUAAUCACAGGUCACGAGUCUCAACCCACAAAUCAUAUGCUCACGGCACCUUGUACCUACAUUUCUAGUCAAAACCGCACGGACAACUCACGUGCCAAUAUCUCAAUCCGCCCGGCAUGAUCACAUGCUCACAAUCACAAUCCGCCUGACAUGGUCACAUGCUCAUUAUCACAAUCCGCCCGUCAUGGUCAUAUGCUCAAUAUCAACAUGAAAGCAGAUAAUACAAGAAUACAUGGGCAUGAUCCCCUGAACUAGUGUAAGUGGAAUGCUACGGUGUAUGCUUGUGCGAGUGUAUUAUUACAGCCCAAGUCAACAAGUAAUGACAAAGACAUCGAGUAGGCCAUUUAAAGAAACACAACAUGUUAUGUACGGUGUAUGCUUUAAACAAAUAGAAUCACACUAUCACACGAAUAUCGUCAACAUAAUGCCCCCGACCAUCACACAUCAUCCCUGACAUCUGCCACCCUUAUCUCUCUGAUAGCCACCCGUAUCAUUAUCCAUUCGUAUCUCUCCGAUAGCCACCCGUAUCACUCCGUGUAAUAGCCACCCCUAUCGCUCUGCCUGGACAAUAACACAAUAGCCACUCGUAUCAUUCCACGCAAUCAACAACAGUGAGAUGCCACCCUUAUGCCCCGCAUAACAAUAAUAGUGAGAUGCCACGCUUAUGCUCCGCAUAACAACAACUAAUCCACACAACAAUUCAGAUGUGCUAACAUCAUAACAACACGACAUAUCAACUCGUACUACACUUGCUCAUAGGCCACAACCUUUCCAAAAGAACCAACAAUAUCAAUGUUUCCACAACAAAUAGCACACGGCUCAAACACAAUGUGUAUAGAAUCUCAAUAACAAAAAAAUGAAUGGGAAAGUAACUGAACAAUGAAAAACACCCCCUUUAAAUAAAACUUCGAUUAAAAUAGAUUAAUGACUUUCAAUAAUUUCAACUUCAAAUAAUUGCUUAAAGAUAAACUCGAUAAUGGAGGUAUUUUCAUGUAAUGGCAAACUUCGGAUUUUAGUGUAUGAAAUAGGCUAACAAUAAAAGAGAUGGCACGAACUAGCAACUAUGUCUAAAUACAUGAGAAUAACUCGGCAACAAAAGGAUAUCAUGUAACAACAAUUUCAAAUCAAGCAUAUGAAAGUAAACAUGACAAAUAAAGGAUAUAACAUGCGCUAACAACUUUAAAUAAAUACAUGAAAGAAGCCUAAGAGUCUAAACCGAUCAAUUUCCAUAUAUAAGCCCGAAUACACACUCGUCACUCGCGUACACGACUUUCACAUAACACAAAUAACACGAACAACUCAAAUCCUAAGGGGUAGUUCCCUCACACAAAGUUAGGCAAGAUACUUACCUCAAAGAAGUCAAAUAAAUACUCUAAAAUGACCUUCUUGUGUGAAACAAACCUCCGAAUGAAUCAAAUCUAAAUAACUCAAUAUCAUAAAUAAAAAAUCAUACGAAAUAAUUUCGGAUAAUAAAGCUUCAAUCUUUAAUGAAAAUUUAAAAGUCAACUCAAAAAGUCAACCCCAGACCCGUAUCUUGGAACCAAUAAAACUCACAAAUCUAACCACCCGAUCAGAUACGAGUCCAACCAUACCAAAAUUAUCCAAUUCCGACAUCAAAUCGGCCUCCAAAUUCUCAUUUUACAUUUUUUUAUGUUUUUAUAAAAAUCCCCAAUUUUGUCCAACUCAAAUCACUAAUUUAAUGAUAAAAAUAAAAAUGAAAUCAUGAAAUAUAAUCAAAUAGGGGUGAAGAACACUUACCCCAAUCCAAAGAAUAAAAAUCCCCUCCAAAAUCGCCCAAAACCGAACUCUCUUACCCAAAAAGUGAUAAAAUAUAAAAAAAACCUCGAAACAGAGUACUUUAUAUUCUGCCCAGUGAAUUAUACAUCGUUAUCGCAGAACUUCCCUUAUGAUUGCGAAAAACAAAACAUUCAGCUACUAAAUCGUGCUUCGCGAAUGCGACCCAACGGCCGCGAACACGGUGAGCAAAACCUCGGCCCCUACGCGAACGCUUCGCAUACUCGCGAACGCAAAGAGAAAUUUCCUGAUGCCCUUUCUCGCCUUACCUUCAGUGCGAUCGCGUAAGACAUCAUGCGAACGCGAGGACAAAAGUCUUCCAAGCUACACGAACGCGGUCACAUAUUCGCAAAUGCGAAGAACAAAUACUAUCUGCCAUAACUUACACUACGCGAACUGAAUACCAUCGAUGCGAAUGCGAUGAAGAAAACCAGAUAACAUAACCAGCAUUGUAAAAUGGGAGGAAAUAGCUCGUAGCCCAUCUGAAACACACUCGAGGCAACCGGGACCCCAUAUGAACAUACCAACAAGUUCUAUAUCAUAAUGCGGACCUGCUCUAACAUCAAACAAUAUCAAAACUGCGAAUCACACCUCGAUUCAAGCCUAAUAAACUAAUGAACAUUCAACUUCUACAACUCGCGCAGAAUCAUAUCAAAUCAACCCAGAAGGAUGUCUAAUUCUUCAUGCAAGUAAAAAUGACAUAACUAAGCUAUACCAACUCCCAGAAUCAAAAUCCAAACCCGAUAUCAACAAAGUCAACUCUCGGUCAAACCUCUCAACCUUCCAAACAUUCAACUUUUCAACUUUUGCCAAAUUGCAUCAAUUCGACCUAUGGACUUCCAAAUCCAAAUCCGGACAUACACCUAAGUCCAAAAUCCCCAUACAAAGCUAUUAGAAUCAUCAAAACACCAUCCCAAAGUCGUCUACACAAAAGUUAAACUCCGAUCAACUCGUACCGCUUAAGCAUCUAGAACAAGAAUCAUUCUUCCAAAUCAAUCCCGAAAUAUCGAAAAAUUGAACCUGACCACACUCGCAAGUCAUAAUACACAAUACGAAGCUACUUGAGACCUUAAGACACCGAACGAGACGCUAAUUCCCAAAGCGACCGGUCUGAUCAUUACAUUCUCCCCCUCUUAAACAAACGUUCAUCCUCGAACGUGGCAAAAACCGUUUUGAAGUCAUCAAUCACUAAAUGUACUUACCAUACAUAUACUCACAGGUGAUCCCACGUCACCCCAAUGCACAUAAGCCCAACAACAUCAUCUCAACUGAAGAUUCUUCCUUCCACCCACACUGAUAAUCCUUAGAACCAAAUUUCUUUCAUCAUCCGAUCAUUCCCCAAAGACCCGACUCCCACAUAAACACAUUGUAUCAGCCUCACUAAAUAGCAACGACUCAUGUAUACACCUACAAGGUAUAACCACACGAUGUGACAUGUCACAUAUUCCCAUAACAACAACUCUGACCAUGAUAGCUUCCUAUAACCAAAUCCAGCAUCGGUAAAUAACCUCAUAUUAGCUAAAAUCUUGCCCCAAACUUUCACGAUGCUUACAACGAUGCAAGAAAAAUGAAGAUCUCAUAACCAUUCACCCAAAUCAACAAGUCACACCCAAUGUCACCUGGGUGCAUACCUCGCAGGCUAAAACUCAAUAAGCACAACGCGAAUAUGACUGAAUAUUGAAAGAAAGACACAUGAGAGAGCUAUCAAAAAGGUCUGACAGGCACAACUCCCUAUCAGUACUAUACUAUGAAUCCAUUCCACAAGGGAGAAUCAAAACAUAUGAACUAAUCACAAGGAUCUCAUUCUAAUAUAACUCCAACAUGACAUGUAACCCGGUUCAAACAUAUCAAACCACACAAAAAUGAGAGGAUCCCAUCCUCAGCUCUGAAUCACAAGUCGAAUACACACCACACCAACUGAAACCUUUCACUAACUCAAUUUUCCAAAAUAAAAUCACAACAUGUAAUGGACUCCCCAUACUGAUAGAGCACUUAAAUCACAAAUCGUAGCCAAACCAUCCAGAAAUCACAUCAAAACCAAUCGUUAAUGAGUAACAGAAAAUUCAUUCUAGUCUCACCCUCAAUAGUGGCUAAACCGAAAUGAUAGACACAACUAUCACUAUGGAAUUCUCUCAACAAAGGUAAACACAUAAACAUAGUACAAGAAUCACGAAAUACACCCAUAUAUGAAGCAACAUAGGAGGCCUCACUACGAUAAAUAGGACCAAAUCAAAAUAAGAAUGAUGUUCCUCUACAACAAAUCAAAACCGUACCUGUAACGAUACCAUAUGAUGCAGCAGCCUUAGCCCUACCAUGGAAAGCAUAUCAACGGGUCGGGACUCCCCCUCUAGGUGGAGUAGCAACUAGAAUGGGGCCCAUAUCCUGAGUUCUCUAAUGAAAUCCACCUCUCCCAAGUCUGGGACAAUCUCUCAUGAUGUGCCUGGUAUUGCCACACUCAUAACAACCCUUUUGCGGGCGUGGCUGCUCUUACUGAGUCUGUGCUGGAUAACUAGAACAACCGAUGUAGGAACCAUGCGCCGGUGGCACACUAAAAGAUGACUGCCCCAUAUGGGUACCCUGAGGUCCCUGAUUAACUAGAUCACCACGAGUAGUCUAAAGUGCGGACUGGAUUGGCCGACUACCCGAGCCUCCGCCGUGACGGGUCAUAGCUAAAGAGUAGAAUCCACUGAAUCCUCCAAAAUGUCGAGACCUCUUGGCCUCGUUAUUCCCGCUCUCCUUACCACGAAUACGCUCUACCUCAUGACAAUCUCCACAACCUACUAAAAUAUAGCAUCAAUCUUAGACUCAUGAGCCAUGCUGAAUCUAAGACCAUAACUAAGCCCCUCAAUAAAUUUGCAGACCCGCUAUCUAACUGUAUGAACCAAAGUAGGUGCAUGACGGGAUAACUCGUUGAACUUGAUGGCAUACUCUGACACCGCUAUGGUGCCCUGACACAGCUGCUCGAACUCUAUAUGCCACACAUCCUGGAGGGUCAGGGGAAUAAACUCCCUCAAACAUAUCUUUGAAAACUAAGUCUAAAGGAGUAGUGUUGCAUCAGCUAGCCUACCCUCCUCAUAAACCUUCCACCACUGAUAAGAUGCUCCCGACAAGUGAAAUAUAGUAAAAUCAACACUCCUCACCUCCACAAUACCCAUAGUGUGAAGCAUACAGUGACACAUUUCUAGAAAGCCUUGUGCAUCCUUGGUAGAUAUGCCACUAAAAGUAGGUAAACUAUACCUCUUGAACCUCUCAAACCUCAUUUGUUCUUCCUCUGAUGCCCCUGGCCUGACCUCAGGCUGAACCGAAACAAUAGGACGUACCGGCACCACACCCGAAAUCUGACCAAUGUGAGCCUGCUUCUUUGGAGUGCGGGCGGUGGGAGUCUGAGCUCCACCCCCAAUCUGCGAAGUAGCUGGUGCAACAGUUAUCAAUCCUGCCUGAGCCAAUGUAUCAAACAUGCUCAUGAACUGCGCUAAAGUCUCCUGAAUUCCGGGAGUAACAAGAGGCGCCCUCCGGUGCCUGUCCCAUAACUGGAGCUACUGGCGGCUGCUCAACUACUACUUUGAUAGGUGCUAUAACUGCGACACAUUACUCCUUCUCGGCCCCGGCCUCUCGUAGCUCUAGCAAGGGGCACGGGGGUUUACUUAGGUGAUGUGGUAGCACAUGUCCUCACCAUUUGUGAGAGAAUAGAGAUAACAAAGGCUCAAACUUCGAAAUCAAUAAAUCUGCACGACAAAAAUUAAAGAAGUGGAAUUUUCCUAAUCAUUCCGUAGCCUAUUGAAGUUAAGUACAAAUGUCUCUGUACUGAUCCGCAAGAAUACACUAAACUUGCUCGUGACUCGUAGAACCUAUGAACCUAGAGCUCUGAUACCAACUUGUCAUGACCUAAAAUCCCACCUUAGGCAUCGUAAUGGCACCUAGUCUCUAAGACUAGGUGAGCUGAUUACUUACAACAAUUAAGCCAAUUUAACAAUGAUAAUUUAAAAUAAGAGAUUUAUAUAAAUACCAAAAUAAAUGUAAAAUAAGCCCAUGCGGAAAUAAUCACUAAAUCCUCCCAGGGCUAGGUAAUAUAGAGUUACGAACUCUAGCUGAAUACAUGGAAAGAUCUCAAAGAUUGAAAUAUAAUACUGUUCAAAUAACAAGCUUACAGUACAAUGAAAGGAUAUGACUCCAAGGAAUUGCGAUGACUAAGCAGCUGUACCUUGAAUCCUCGCUAGCAAUAAGCUACUCCGCCCGAGUCCGAUAUCUCCAAUACCUAGAUCUGCACAAAAAUGUACAAAAGUGUAGUAUGAGUACACCACAGUCGGUACCCAUUAAGUAUCAAGACUAACAUCCGUGAAGUAGUGACAAUGUACAAGUCAAGACACCUACCAGUCAAUAUAUCCUAUGCAGUAUAGAAGUAUAAAGCUAAUAAUGAAAGCAGGAAUCAGUAAAUAGCAACAACAAUCAACAAUUGAUAUAAACAAUAAAGUAAUUAGAACACCGUGAAAGUACCAUUGAAACCAAGUAAGGGAAACAAAUAACAACCAAUUAAUCAAGUCAUUCUAAUACAAGUUUCGCAACAAAAUUACUCCGAGAUACCUCAUAUCAUAAUCACAAGUCCCGAGUCUCAACCCACAAAUUAUAUGCUCACGACACCUUGUACCCACAUUUCUAAUCACAACUGCACGAAUAACUCACGUGUGAAUAUCUCAAUCCACUCACAAUCACAAUCCGCCUGGCAUAGUCACAAGAUCACUAUCACAAUUCCCCUAGCAUGGUCACAAGCUCAAUAACAACAUGAAAGAAGAUAAUACAAGAAUAUAUGGGAAUGAUCAAUAAAUGUUACAUUCCGUACCACUGAACUAGUAUAAGUGGCAUGCUACGGUGUAUGCUUGUGCGAGUGUAUAACUAUAGCCCAAGUCAACAAGUAAUAACAAAGUCAUCGAGUAGCCCAUUGAAAGCAACACAACAUGUCAGGUAAGGUGUAUGACAUACACAACUAGAAUCACAUUAUCACACGAAUAUCGCCAACAUAAUUCCCCCAGGCCAUCACACAUCAUCCCUGAUAUUUGCCACCUUUAUCUCUCUGAUAGCCACCCAUAUCACUGCCCCCUGGCAAUAUCAUUAGGCAACCGUAUAACUCCGAUAGCCACCCGUAUCACUCCGCAAAAUAGCCACCCUUAUCUCUUUUCCCGUACAAUAACACAAUAGCCACCUUGUUACACCCCAUGUUUUCGUACGUGAGAGUACGUCGUAAGUCAAUUGAUAUAAGCUCAUAAAUGAGAUUAUAUUUGAAUGUACAUAAAGAAAGCUAAUCAUAUUAUUUUUUAGGCUACAAAUCUUUAAGAUCAUUAAUAAUAAGAACCAAGAGUGUUGGAAGGCUUAGAAGCUAAACAAAUUGAAGAAAAUAAGUUUCGUCGAAUGUCGACAAGUUAGGAAUGUUAUAACAUGUACUUUUGGGGUGAUAAUAGGGUUCUUAACAUGAUAAGUAGGUUAUGUUAUGAGUUAUAUUAGUCGUAUGAUAGUCGUAUAUUACGUUUUGAAUUCAAGGGAGUUGUGGAACAAAAGUUGGCAAAGGUCAUCACAAGUUACAUUCAUAAAUUUGUUGAAACUUAGGUCAAACGUAGCUGAGAUUUUCUCAAAAUAUACAUGGAAUUAAGGGAUGAUCCACAUAUAAAAUUUAAUAUCUAGGAGUUACAUUUCUAAACAUUUCUAAAUCAUUAAAUCGUUCGUUGAUACGACAUCGGAGUAGAGAGAUAUGCGCGUUUUUGCUAGACCGCGCAAGCAGCUCCCAAUUAGAGCAACUUAGGCGGUGGUUGACGGACUUCACUUUAUAAACGAUUUGGACGCCAAUAGUUUUCUCAUUUUUGACUAAAAUUCGUCUCCAAACGUCUCCUAACCCUCCUAAAUAGAUACCAUAAGGUCUUGAAGUGAUUCCAAUGUGAUUACACCAUAUUUCAACAUCAAAAGUUAGUUCUAGUGAAGAACAACACCUCUUUGAGGUUGUGUUGUCAUUGAGGAUAGUUGUGGGCUGUGUUUGGCUAAACAUUCAAGUGGUUACUUCUGGUUUAGGUAUGUAUAAUACUCUACUACAUAUUCUUGAAGUUGUUUGUAUGUUGGUUGCAUUAAUUGAGCAAGAUACUACAAGAGAAGAGUUGAAAUAGUUUGAGAUAUUGUUGUUCUUAAUGGACUGUUUUGGGAAGGUUGUUUCCAUGAACUUUAAAUGGUUGGAAACCUUGGAAAAUGACUUGUUUAUGCUGUUAUUUUCAUGAAUAUAUUGUCUACAUGUCGAACGUGCUAUUGGUAUUGUGAAUAAGAAGAUAAAGGAUAAUAUAAUAAUGCAAAGUUGUACUUGUUAUUGUUGUAUAGAUUGAUUGGUGUUGUUGGGCUGUUGGGUGUGUUGUGGUGCUGAAGGUAUAUAGUUGAAGAUUGUUUGUGUUCUUGUUGUUUUGAUGGACUUGGAAGUAAAAUCAAGGAAAACAAGGGACAAGUUGUCCAUUUUAAUAAAAAAAUAAGCGUGUUAUUCGUUGUACGAUAGUUGCAUAAUUCGUAGCUUAACGAUAGUAUUAUUAUCGUUGUUGUAGAUUAAAGUGCGACAAGACGAGUUCAACGUCGUCAUUGGACAGAUUGUGAUAAGGUAUACGCAAAAUUUUCACAAGUGACUUUAUUCUUAGAAGUAAUAGGGUAUAUGUCCUAUUAUUAAAUCGUCUAUUCAUGGGUCUUAGAAAAUAUUUAAGUUGAUAAAGUUUAUUUCGUGACAGUAACCAAAGGCAUAUUAAUAUUAUGAAAUCCCAAGAGAUCUUAUUCACCUACAUCAUUAUGCAUUGCAUUCAUUUAUAUAUUCACAUUGACCCAUGACCAGAUGGCGUUAUAUACCCGUAUAUUAUAUGUAUAUGGUGUACGGGGAAAGGUUAUGGCGUUAUAUACACACCACCACCUGAUCAGCUGGUAUACAUUGAUGGUUUCGCCAAUAGAGGCCGAGAUGAUACGAUGGGAUGCCCUCAGAGUCUUGAUGACGUUAUGUCUCAUAUACCUAUGCAUGAUAUGACAUUUAUAUGCAUAAUAUGACAUUAUAAAUGUUUCAUGAUUCACAUAGCUAUUCAGAUUUACAUGUUGAGUUCUUUACUCCAUGUUUCUUUCAUGUUUUUUAUAUACUCCUUUACAUGCCUUACAUACUUGGUACUUUUUAUUUGUAUUUACGUCCCUUUUUCCUGGGGACACUGUGUUUCAUGCCCCAAUGUCUCGAUAGAUAGGUUGAUAGUCCUCCUAGUAGGCUAUCAACUCAACGAAAUGUGUUGGUGCACUCCAUUUGCUCCGGAGUUGCCUAUUUGGUCAGUUUGAUUUGGACAUGUAUUGAUUGGUAUAGCGAGGCCCUAUCCCGACCUUUAUAAAGUUUAUGUACUCUUAGAAGCUUGUAGACAGAUGUCAUAUAUAUGGAUACUUGUAUGGCCUUGUCCGUCGAUCUUUUGAGUGUACAAAUUAUCAUGUCGCCCUUAUACGCCCAUAUGUCAAAUGUAUAAGUUUCUAUAUCAUGUUGGGUCGUCGUAUGUCUAUUCCCUUAUAUUUUAUUCUAGUUAUCUCAUGACGCCCCUUUUGGCUCAUUUAACCAUAAUAGUGUAAUAUGAAAGAUAUGUUACGUUGGUACUCGGUUGAGUAAAGCUCCAGGUGCCCUCGAGGCCCUCCGAUAUAGGGUGAGACAUAAUUGUGACUCAGUUGAUUUUGUGGUACUAUGUAGGUAUCAAAUCUUGUUGUUAUUCAUGUAAUCUCCAUGUGUUAGAGAAAUUGAGCUAUGAUCCAUGUUAGAAGUCAUGUUUAGGCUAUAUGCUGGUACUGUUGGGACCCACCAAGGUCGUUUCUACUAUUGAGUUAUUUGCUUAAAUUGUAAUUAUGUACUCAGUAACAUUCAUCAUUUGCAUAUCAUAUCUCAAUCUCUGUUAUCAUUUAUUGUUACAUCAUGUAUCAUUGUUUGGGCUGAUUGGUAUGAGAUUUGUGAGCCCGAGAGACUGGUGAGAUUGAUGACUGAGUUAAGGCUGAGUGCCAAAUGGUGAGUGAUAUUUAUGGGAUCGGGUUGCGUGCCACAGCAGGCAUUAUUGAUUCUUGAUGGGAUCAGGCUACACGAUGCAGCAUGCCAUGUUGGCUUAUAUUAGCGCUUGGGCAAGAUCCGCCCCUCCGGAGUCUGACAUACCAACAAUGAGCACAAGUACCGUUGAGUAUGUGUGUGAGUACUGAGCGAUUGAGAGUGCCAAGCGAUUGAGAGUGUUGAGCUAUUGAACGUGCUGAGCGAGGUUGAAAACUCCGAGAGCAUGAGUAUAUGAGUUUAUCACCGUGUUGCAUUACAUGUGCAUGCAUAUUUGACAUGUAGACAUAUAAAUGUAAUAUUCCUCAUGCUAGCUAUACUUAGCACAUUUUAUCAGUAUUAAGCCUAAACUGUUGAACUUGAAAGCUUGUCUCUAUUUCUGUACCGUGUACAACUGAUUGUGAGAUUUUUCUGAGUUAUUACUGUUAUUUUCCUGUCAUACAUGUAUUGUUAUUAUUUGGAUUUGGACUGUACCUAUAUGAGCUCGACACUACUUUCAGCCCAAGGUUAGUCAUGCUACUUAUUGAGUACAUUGGGUAGGUUGUACUCAUACUACAAUCUGCACUUCGUGUGCAGAUCCAGGUACAUUUAGACCCGGUUGUUGCUAGACUCAGAACAGUAUCUGCUAGGAAAUAUUUGAGGUAACUGAUUUGAUGCGUAGAAACCUCGACUCUCCUACUUUUCAGUUUUAUUCUGUAUUGUUUUAUCUUUUAGACAGUUGUAUUGGAGAUAAAGAUUAUGUUGACACUUAGUAGCUCACGAACUCGGUGACACCCAGAUUUUGGGGAUUUUGUAUUUGAAUCGCAGUUAUUCUUAUAAGUUAUUAUGAGAUUUUUCACUGUUAAACUUAUUACAUUAUGUUUUCAAGUUAAAAUGCGUAGUUAUUAGUGAUUAUCGGCUUGCCUAGUACUGUAAUAGGUGCCAUCACGACAUGUUGAGAUUAGGGUCAUGAUAAGUUGGUAUCAGAGUAUAGGUUACAUAGGACUUACGAGUCAUGAGAAGGUUUAGUAGAGUCUUGCAGAUCAUUACAGAGACGUCUAUACUUAUCUUCGAGAGGCUACCAAACCGUUCAGAAACUUCACUUUCUUGUAUUCUUGUCGUGCAAAUUUGUUCAUUCUGGAAACUAAAUGUCUAUUAUUCUAUUCUCUCACAGAUGGUGAGGACACGUGUUACCGGAUCGGGCGGACAGCCACCUAUACCACCAGCUAUGGCCACGAGAGGUCAGGGCCAUGGUAGAGGCCGAGGUACAUCUCGUACAGUAGCUAGAGAAAUACUUGUGGAGCCACCAGUUCUUCUAGCUCAGGAGUAGAUACCAGAUGUGUUUGAGCUGGUGGGACCGACUCAGGCACCAGCUGUGCCCAUUGUGAUUCCAGGUCUUCAGGAGGCUUUGGCCUACAUAUUGACUGUAUGCACUAGCCUUGGUCAGGCGGUUUUAGUUUAGGCCGCACCAGGCACUUCUCAAGCCAGGGAAGGUGCUCAGACUCCCGCCACCCGUACUCCAGAGCAGGUGGUUCAGGGACUUCAGACACCGGGAGUACUACCAGCCCAGCCGGUUACGGUUGCUCAGGCGCAGGUGGGUCCACCUAUGAGUGACGAGGAGCAAAAGAUGCUAGAGUAGUUUGGGAGGCUCAAGCCUCCAUCAUUCAGUUGGGUUGAGUCAGAGGAGUCUUAGGACUUAUUAGAUAGGUGUCAGCUGAUUAUUCGCACGGCAGGUAUUUUAGAGACUAGUGGAGUCUCAUUUACUACUUUUCAACUAUCGGGGGUGGCCUUCAGAUAGUGGGAGGCCUAUGAGUUGAGCAGGCCAUCCGGUGCUGCACCACUUACGUGGCAUGAGUUCUCAGUUUUCUAUUUAGAGAAAUUUAUUCCAUAAACCCGUAGGGAUGAGUUGCGUAGGCACUUUGAGUAGCUACCCCAGGGGGGUAUGUCCGUGACCCAGUAUGAGAUGAGAUUUUUCAGAGUUGGAUCGUCACACGAUCUGGUUAGUUCCCACCGAGAGGGAGAGGAUUAGGAGGUUCAUUGAUGGCCUCAAUUAUGGACUGCGCUUCUUUAUGACUCUUGAGAUUACAUGAGGUGAUAGGUUCGAUGAUGUGGUUGAUAUUGCUAGGCGGUUAGAGCAGGUUCGUAGUCAGGAGUGUGAGGAGAGGGAGGCUAAGAGGCCUCGUGGUUCGGUUGGUUUCAUCAGUGUUUACUUUGGAGGACAGUCCCACCAUAACAGUGGUUGUCCAUAGGCCAGCUGAGAUGGCUCGUUUGGUUCAUCGUGGUGCAUCAGCUAGCUAUGGUUCAUAUAAUGCUCAUCUGUGUUGGUCAUCUCUCAGUGCCCUCCUAGCUCAGAGUUCAUCUCGUGGUCCAUCAGUUCAAGGUUCAUCUGUACCAGGUUAUUCUAGUAGCUAUUCUAGUUCUCGGGGUUUGAUUCAGUCUCCACCCCCAGUGGCGGAUCGGAGUUGCUUCGAGUGCGGGGAGUUUGGACAUGUGUGGAGGUAGUGUCCUCGUAAUUUUGGAGGUCCAGUUCAGCAGAGAGAUUAUCUUAUGACUUUCGCAUCAGUUACUUCACCCUCCUCUCAGCUAGCUUGGGGUGGGGCUCAGGCAGCUAGAGGUCGCCCUAAAGGGGGAUGCCGCUCAGGUGGCGGUCAGGCUUGAUGCUAUGCUUUCCUUGCAAGGCCAGAGGCCGUUGCUUCAGACUCAGUGAUCACAUGUAUUGUCGCAGUAUGCCAUAGGGAUGCUUCCAUAUUAUUUGACAGUGAUUCCACUUAUUUAUAUCUAUCAUCAUAUUUUGCUCAUUCUCUGGUUAUGCCCCGUGAGUCCUUUUUUUUGCCUGUCCAUGUAUCUAUGCCGGUAGUCGAUUCUAUUAUUGUUGACAAUAUGUAUCGUUCAUGUGUGGUGACCGUUGAAGGAUGGGAGACUAGAGUUGAUCUCUUAUUUCUUAGUAUGGUUGAUUUUGACGUGAUUUUGGGUAUGGAUUGGUUGUCCCCAUGUCAUGCUAUUCUGGAUUGUCACGUUAAGACCGUGACAUUGACGAUGCCGGGGUUACCUAGGAUUGAGUGGAGAGGUUCUCUGUGCUAUGUUCCCAGUAGGGUGAAUUCAUAUAUGAAGGCCCAACGGAUGGUUGGGAAGGGAUGUUUGUCAUAUUUGGCUUUUGUGAGGCAUGUUGGUGUUGAUACUCCUACCAUUGAUUCUGUUUCGGUAGUGCGAGACUUUUGUAGACCUGCCAGGCAUUCCACCCGAUAGGGAGAUUGAUUUUGGUAUUGACUUGGUGUUGGGAACUCAACCCAUUUCUAUUCCUUCGAAUCGUAUGGCACCAGCAGAGUUGAAGGAAUUGAAAGAGCAGCUUCAGGAGCUUCUUGAUAAGGGGUUCAUUAGGCCUAGUGUGUCACCUUAGGGUGCACUGGUUUUGUUUGGGAAGAAGAAGGAUGGUACUAUGCGGAUGUGCAUUGACUAUAGGCAGUUGAAUAAAGUUAUAAUUAAGAAUAAGUAUCAUUUUCCGCGCAUUUAUGACUUAUUUGACCAUUUUCAAGGAGCUAGAGUGUUCUUUAAUAUUGAUUUGAGGUCUUGGUAUGACCAGUUGAAGAUUCGGUACUCUGAUAUUCUAAAGAUGGCAUUCAGGACCUGCUAUGAUCACUACGAGUUCCUUGUGAUGUCUUUUGGGCUGAGCAAUGCCCCAGUAGCAUUCAUGCAUCUUAUGAACUUUGUAUUCAAGCCAUAUCUUGGUGUACUCACGUAACUAGGAGGAGCAUGCACAACAUCUGAGGAAUGUACUACAGACGUUCAAGGAGGAGAAACUUUAUGCUAAGUUCUCCAAGUUUGAGUUUUGGCUAAGUUCGGUGGCAUUCUUAGGGCACGUGGUGUGCAGUGAGGGGAUCAAGGUGGAUCCGAAGAAGAUUGAGGUAGUUCGGUGAUGGCCUAGACCGUCUUCAGCUACUGAGAUUUAGAGUUUUCUCGGCUUAGCUUAAUAUUAUCGCCGCUUCGUGGAGGGUUUCUCCUCCAUUGCUGCGCCUUUGACCAGGUUGACCUAUAAGGGUGCCCCAUUCAGGUGGUCUAAUGAGUGUGAGGAGAGCUUUCAGAAGCUCAAGAUUGCCUUGACCACAACUCCAGUUCUAGUUUUGCCUUCAACAUUGGGUUAUUAUAUAAUGUAUUGUGAUGCUUCCCGGAUUGGAAUUAGGUGUGUCUUGAUGCAAAAGGGUAGAGUGAUGCUUAUGCUUCAUGCUAGUUGAAGCCUCAUGUGAAGAAUUACCACGUUCAUGACUUGGAGUGGGCAUCCAUCAUUCAUGCAUUGAAUAUUUGGAGUCACUAUCUUUACGGCGUGUCUCAUGAGUUAUUUACUAAUCAUCAGAGUCUUCAUCACUUGUUCAAGCAAAAUGAUCUAAAUUUGAAGCAACGGAGAUGGUUGGAGCUGUUAAAAGACUAUGAUAUUACCAUUUUGUAUCAUCCCGGAAAGGCCAAUGUGGUGGUCGAUGCUUUGAGUAGAAAGGCGGUGAGUAUGGGUAGCCUUGCAUCAGAUGUGCAGGCCUUGGCCAAUCAUUUCACGAAGUUAGAUGUUUCAGAGCCUAGUCGAGUUCUAGCUUGUGUGAUUUCUCGAUCUUCUUUAUAUGAUCUUGUUAGAGAGCGUCAGUAUGACAACCCCCAUUUGCUUGUCCUAAAUGACACGGUUCAGCACGGUGAUACCAAGGAGGUUAAUAUUGGAGAUUAUGGGGUGUUGCGGAUGUAGGGUCGAAUUUGUGUGCCUAAUGUAGAUGGGUAUGAGUUGAUUCUUGAGGAGACCCAUAAUUUGUGGUAUUCCAUUCAUCUGGGUGCCACAAAGAUGUAUCGGGGCUUAAGGCAACACUAUUGGUGGAGAAGAAUGAAGAAGGAUAUAGUGGAGUUUGUAGCUCGGUGCUUGAACUGUCAACAGGUGAAGUACUAGCAUCAGAGGCUGGGUGGUUUGCUUUAGAGACUUGGUAUUCGGAGCUCAGGAGGACCCAACAGGUUUUAUGCUAUGAGGAGGCGUCAAAAGUUGUAGGCUUCUUCAGAUGUGGUUACAGGUAUAUUGACUGUCCAAUCUCAUGAUGUACAUGCUUUUGCUGAUCCCGGUUCCACUUUGUCAUAUGUCAAAUCCUUAUGUAGCUAUCGAAUUUGGGAUAGAGCCGGAACAACCUUAUGAGCCAUUUUCUGUAUCUACUAUUUAAAACGAACGUAUCAUUCGUGAAACCUCUUUAUCAUAAUUAUCUUACUUACAACCUCUUGAGGCAUUGGAUUCUAUAAUGACUUCUUUGAAUUGAGUUAUAAUCCUAGGGUAAUACUUCCUACUUUCUUUCCUAAAUUCUCAACAAGGGACUAUACCUGAUGAAUUUCUUACAGAACCUUUCCGAUCAAAUGGAUAAUAUCUUCUAACUUAUACUUAUACAUGCACCAUCGUAAUGUUUACCUAUGUGGUAUCAAAUCCAAUGUAAGGCAUCCUAGUGUUGAGAUCCUUCUCAAGCCACUCUUUCUCUCUUCGAUGUAUGUGACUCAUAUGGUUUGAACAGUCACUUUACUCCUUUUGUGAAUAAUAUCAUGAAGUUUUUUCACUGUCUAGUAACAUGGGAGCAUAUCUCAGUACGUAUCAUAUGUGUACAUAUCAAUUGAAAAAGGGUCCACUUGUCCGCAUAAAGUUUUCGAGAAAUUUGAGAUUUAUCACAAAUUCGUCACAGGAAGAUCUUGUUGUUUGCCCAUCUCAGUAUGACUUUCAUGUCCACCUAAAUAGUCUCACAGUAAGUAGCUCACUUUGUACCUAGUAUUGUAGUCUUCCAUGAAGUGGCCUGGUAUUGCAGUCUAAGAGUUAUUAUGGUAGAAACAUGUCUAUCUCAUAGAAAAAUGUUCAACUUCCUUUUCAUCCUCAUAGGCUUGUCGCAUAGAUUCCUUGUGCUAAUUAGUGUUAAGAGCAUAAUGCAACUUUAUGUAUUUUGAAACACAUAUCACAUUCAAGGUACCGUAAUAUUAUCAUUUCAAAUUAAACAAUAUUUCCCUACACUCAAGUAGGUAACUGGUGUCACGUACUUGACUAUUCCUCCUUAAGGAUUUUUAUUGUUGAUAUACUAGUUAACUCUAUGCCUUAUUUGUCGAAUUAAUGAUGUCAUCACUGUGAUUAAUCUUGUCAGCGUUAUUAAUAUUAAGCUUCAUGUAUCUUAGGAUAUAUAACCUCAUGAAAUACUCUACUCAGCACAUUGAUGGAUUCUUGAAUAAUUCCAGCCAAACCCCGAACCCCAUUGUUCCUCCUUGUAUUAAAUCUAUGGGGGUUGAAAGUUGAAACAUGUCAAAGAAGAAGCAUCAUCCCGUGAUCAAAUAUAUGGGAUAGGAAAUAUUAUCGUCAUAUUCAUGCUAGUACAUCUUAGAGUAAAUGUUGGAGGUCGCCAAAGGUUUAGUUUGGGUGUUCGGUAUAGAGAUUUAGAGUUGAAGAAAGGGAACGGGUUAUUAUAAAUAUUUUCUCCAUGAGGAUGUUAUGUGAACUUCUAAUAAGGGUAAAGUAUAUGUAGUCACAUUAGGCCUUAUGAAAUCGGGAAGGAAAUAUGCCAAACUAUGAGUAUGAUGUUUCCCUAUUAUUGUCCUCUAUGUACCUGGUGUUUCAUGUGACUGUUUCUAAGAAGGUAGUGGAGGUGAAGUAAAUGGAUAAUUGGCCUAUGAGAGGUACUUAAUUGUCAUCCUUGUUAAAUAAGUCUGGGAGUUGAGAUUGCCUCCGUGAAUGUGUUAUGGCGAAGUCUGUGAGUCGAGGAGCCCACCGCGAAGGCCGAAAUUGUUAGGGAAAUAAAAUGUUCCAACUUGGUUGUAUAGUCAAAUAAUUGUGGGUCGAAAGGUAUUUUCUGUGUUAUGAUUUAAAUAGGUGCAACUCAUGUCCAGGUAUCAAUUUUGAUAAUAUAAUGCUUGUAGUGUUGAGAUUAGUGUUGUUGAUAUACAUUGUGAUACUUUGUCGAGUUGUGGAUAUGUUGUUAGGAUGGUUUUGGUGAUUCUCUGGCAGGUGGAUAGGCCCAAUUAUAAAGGAAACUCUGCCGAAAGUUUUGGACAAUUUAGGAGUUAGUCAAAAUUUUGGGAACUUGAGGUGUGUGAGAAAAGAGUUAAGUUAUGUUCAGUGUUGGGGUCGACUCUACUCCUCAUUCGAGGACGAAUGAUCCUAAGUGGGGGGAAAUGUAGCACCCCGGAAAAUUUUGAAGUACUUAAGCGCUAUUAAGGAAAUUGAUGGGUGCUAAUUAUAUUAUUUUAUGUGUAGAUGAGGGCUAUUAAUAUGAUGGAUAUCCAUUGGAUAUGAUAAUAAGUAUACGCGGCAUAUUAUAAACUAUGUGGGGUCUAAGGAAACGCCUAAGUCUAAGCCAAAUUUGAAAAUUACAUGAUAGACCAAAGUUCCAAAUGAGUACGCACAAGACCAAACUUUGGACGAGCGUAUAUACGUAUAUGUAAGGAGUUAUGUCAUUAAAAACCUAUCGAAUAAAAGAUCUUCAAGUCUAGUUUCUAACGCUUUAAACCAUUCAUCAUUUGGACACUCCUACAAGACGUUAUGACCAAAUUACCAAACGCUGGCAGAAUGUGUCACUACCGCGCCGCCCCAUGCGGCGCGCCUUUGGGGAUUUCCAGAACACUUCAAAAUUUCGUUUCUAGGUACAUUUUUCACUACCGCGCCAUGCCCCAAGGCACCCCAUGCGGCGCGGCUGUGCAAAUUUCGAGGUUUUUACAACCCGGCCCCAUUUUAAUAAAUAGCCUUUGGGGGUUUAUUUGGGACGAUGUUUUGGUGAGUCUAGAGAGAGGUGAGAGCAUUGUAGAGAGAGAAGGAGAAAACCUAACCGCCCAAUCAUUCAAUCUUGCACCAAUCUUCAAGAAUCAAGAAAGUCAAUCAGUAGAUUAUCCUUCAUCCGGGUAAGUCCUACUUCUAAGCUUUCAUACAAGAGGUUAUGAGUUCAAAUAUAUUGUAGGGUUGGAAAUAGGCCAUGCAUGUGACACAAAGCUGUAGUAUGUGGGGUUAAUGAACCAUUUUGGGUAGUUUCUUGUUGAAAUUGGUUGAGGGAUGAAAGGAUCUCCAUUGUAGAGCCUUGUGGUCUAUUUUGCAUGUUAGGUGUUUGACAAAAUUCCUAAGAGAGUUACAUCAUGGAAAUCCUUCUAAUUAUUAAUCGAUUUUCACUGUCUUCCUAUAGAUUAUUAUUGCUAGAAGUGUUGGGGUGUUGUAGUAACUUAAGGAAAGCUCGGACAAGGUAAGUUGGCUAAACUUUCUCUCUUAUAAUCGAAUUCCAUAAUGUUCCCGUGAGUUUCAAAGUAUGGGUUGCGUAUUAAAAUGUUAUGGCUUUGAAUCGUGUUUCAAAUGAAAACUAGAUGCCAAAUUUUGUGGGAUAAACUCGAUAUGUUUAAGGCUCUAAAUUGCCCAUAUGUGUACCUAAAGUCUUGAUUAAAAAUGACUUGUUGUUGAUAAUCUAUAAAGAUGCUUGAAAAUGAAAUAAGUGAAUUGGGGAUAUAGAGUGUGGCCAACGUGCCAAGAAUUUAAGUUAUGAUUGUGGCUAGUAGUGCAAAUGAAAUGAGAGGAUGCGAUAAAGAAUUUGAAAUGAGCUUCGACUCAAUUGUUCAAAAAUAAUUUAGAAAAUAGAAUUGCCUAAAAGCUUUUGUACUCAAUUCAUGCCCAUAAGUGGCUUCUUUAACUAAUGCUUUGCUUUAUGAAUAUAUCUAGUAUGAUUCGAGUUCUUACAUACUCAUGUGUUGAAAUUGUACAUUGUCAUUUAUGGGGAAGUGUAUUGUAAGAAUAAAUAGUGUAUUGAUUGUUUAUGAUUUUGAUGUGUGUUUCUAUUGCUGGUUGGUAUGCACCAUUCUUUGGGAAGAAACCUUUGUGUUUAAAGUUCCGAUUAUAAAUGGAUUUGAAGUAUAUGAUUUCUGAAAUAUUCUGUGUGUUGAUAUUUGAUGGUGGUCCUUGAAAAUAAAAGAUGUGAAAGUGUGGAACAUGAAAUACGGCCACCGUGCCAGGAAUAAAGAAUCUUGUGAAUGACCAAAUGAGCCAAGGAAAUAUUGUUAUUGUGAGUAACUGGAAAUACUAAUGAGAAUUUAUACAACGUGAAAGAGGUUGAGGUGAGAACAAUUGUAUUUAUGUUACCUUUGUGUGCAAAUCAAAUAAUAAGAAUGUUUUUGGGAGUAUCAUUGGCAAAACCGAGGAAGGGUGGGUCAAAAGGCCCACACCUGAAACUACAUGUGUCGGUGUUGGGAUGGAUUGUAAUUAUUACCCUUAAUUGGGAUGAAACUGGUAAUAGCUAUGAAUUGGAAGAGUCAACCCACACGGCAUAUGUGGAAAGGUGGCCUAGCUGAUCGGGUGGAGAUCGGACGCCAUGUUGCACACAUGGUGGUACUACUCUUGGUAACAACUUUCUUUCGCAUCACAUGCCAAACCACAUUUUUCGUGGGGAGAUGGCCUAGACGAUCGAGCGUGAUAGGACUCCAUGCUAACAAAGACGGUGCUAUAUCGGUGCUAAUGAUCUCCCAACCAAAACUAUAUAUUAUUUUCGUAUUUUGAAAAUUGUUAUGUUUCAAUUGGGCAUUUGGAUAUAGUUGAUUGUGACUUGUUGUUUCUAUGGGUUUCCUUUUCUUAUAUGGUCAUUCUAUUUUGAAAGUGGACUUUUAGCUUUACAUACUAGUUCUAUUCGACAGUACUAACAUCCCUUUUGUCAGGGGCGCUGCAUCUUUAAUGGAUGCAGGUGGUUCCACAACAGGCGGCAUUGAUCUGUGAUAGCGGCACACUCUCUUCAGCUGACUUGGUGAGCCCCUUUCAUUUCGGGGUCAUGUAUCUUUUGUUUCUCAUGUACUGUGUUUUGAGAUAUAGCCGUGGCCUUGUUACCGGUAUUUCCAUAUUACUCUUCAGUUAUACUUAGAGGCUCCGUAGACAGGUUGCGUAUGGUGUUUGAUGUUAGGAAUCGAAUUAGAACUGUUGGUAUUUGGCAACAUGUUUUUCAUUUAAUCAAUAAACUCAUACUAUUUUGGAAAUAUUGAAUGAUGUUGUUAAUGGGAAUGAAAUGGAAGUGGUUAAUGAAAUAUUUUUAGUAUUUGAUUAACGGAGUACAUCUCCUCUUUAUUUAGGUAUAAAUUUGGGUAGAAUGAAAUCUAACAGGCUUGCUCAGUCGGGUUUACUUGGUUUAGCACUGGCCGUGUUCUCCGAGUUUGAGCCGUGACAAACUUUGUAUCACAACCUAUAUGUGAGGUAACGAGUACCAAUGUGCUAUUAUUGGGUUAAAGCAUGCGGGUGGAAAUUAUUUCUUUGUAUUAUAUUGUUCCAUUAAUUAUGAUAUCCAUGUGUAGGUUAUAUUAUUACUUCUUUGAUUAUUCAUUUAGUAUUUAUUUCUUAUUUCAAAGUUGUUGAAUAUUUUUGGAAGUUGAAGUUUGAUAUCAUGGCACCAUAUUUGAAGUUAAAUUAUUCUUCGCAUUGUUUAUUAUUCGAAUUCAUAUUAUUAUUAUUACAUGGUGAGGAAGAGAGUAAAAGCACGAAGGGUGAUGCAGUGCCAUUUUAUGUCAUUGAUUUAACUGAUUUUCGGUUUUGGUGAUUUACUUGGUUAGUUCGUGAUUUCAUACUUGUCGUAUUCAUUAUAUCUUCCCCUCUUCGCAUGUUCCCUCCCAGUUAGUAUGUUAUCAUUCUUUGUUAUUAUUGCUGCUUUAUAUAUACUUGUACAUGUUUAUUUACGUAGGUGUCUUGUCAUAGACUCCUAACUACCUCGUCGAGGUUCGGCUCGACACAUACAGAGUACAUUGGGUCGGUUGUACUCAUACUACACUUCAGUACUUCUUGUACAGAUACUAGUAUUGGUCCCAGCGGUGCGUGAGGUACAUCAGCUCAGAUCUUUUUAUACGGAGACUCAAGGUAGAUCUUCUGGCAUCCACGGACCUUGAAGUCCCCAUCCAUUUCCCACUUUUACUGUUUAUUUCUUUUGAAACAGUUGUAUUUAUUUCAGACCUUGUUUGUACACUUCUAGUUGCUUGUGUACUCGUGACUCUAGAUUUCUGGGAGUAGAUAUUAUCAUGAGGUUUAUAUCAGUAUUGUGUUAGACUUGGCUUUUAUUUCUCGUUGAAUAUCAUUAUUGUGUUUUUAACUAUUAAAAUUGGUUAAUUAAUUAUUUCACACCAGCUUGCCUAGCAAGUGGAUGUUAGGUGCAAUCACGACCCCGAGGUUGGGAUUCCGGGUCGUCACAAGUUGGUGUCAAAGCACUAGGUUGCUUAGGUCUUACGAGUCAUGAGCAAGCUAAAUAGAGUCUGGAGGAUCGAUACAGAGACGCCUGUACUUAUCUUCUAGAUGCUAUAGAGUUUUAGGAAAAUUUCACUUUGUUCUUUCCCUAUCGUGCGAUUUUAUUCUAUCAUUGAUAUUUGAAUCAUUCUAUUCUUGUACUCUCGCAGAUUGUGAGAAUAUGCAUAGCAUCUACAACCGAGAUGGAGCUGGAGCCCUCUGUUGGAGCAACUACCAGGGGUAGAGGUCGAGGCCGAGGUUGAGCCAGAGGCUGAGGCUGAGGCAGAGCUCAGCCUAGAGCUUGAGCUGUUGCACCCACAGCGGAGCCUCAGUUUUAUCAGGAGGAAGAGAUCCCAACUCAAACCAUACCAGUUGGACCAGCUUAGGUCCCGAAGGGAUUUAUAGCCAUUCCAGUGCUUCAGGACACUCUAGUUCACUUGGUGGGCCUGAUGGAGAGUGUGGCCCAGACCAGUGCAUUUUCGGUGGCACUAGUCGUCGCUUAGGCUGGAGGAGGAGCACAGACACCCGCUACUCACACUCCAGAGAAAAUGAAUCCUAUAUAUUAGACUCCAACGAUCCAUCCAGUUGGGAUAGUUCAGUCGGUUGUUGUUGCACAAACCGGGGAGAGGCCCGCAAUGUCUACUGAAGGAUUGAUGCGAUUGGACAAGUUCACAAAGCUCUUCCUUAUUCACUUUAGUGGUGUACCUUAUGAGGACCCACAUGAAUACUUGGACUGUUGCCAUGAGGUGUUGGAUAACAUGGGUAUGGUUGAGACCAAUGAGGUUCAACUUUGCAGUGUUCCAGAUGACCGGUUCUGCCAAAAGAUAGUGAGAGAUUAUGUAUUGACUAGACCAGUUGGUUAACCUUCACUUACUUGGGAUCAGUUUUCACAACUGUUUCUAGAGAAGUUUAUUCCUUUCACUCUGAGAGAUGAGUUUUGCAGGCAGUUUGAGCGCCUUUAGCAGGGUGGCAUGACAGUUACCCAGUAUGAGACCCGAUUUGUGGACCUAGCUCACUAUGCGGUUAUCUUACUCCCUACUGAGAGGGACAGAGUGAGGAGAUUCAUUGAUGGAAUCACUUUCAGUAUUAGUCUACAGAUGGCCAAGAAUACCGGAGAUGGUAUUUCUUUUCAGAAGUCCGUAGAGAUUGCUAGACGGAUCGAGUUGGUUCAUGGUUAGGAGAGGGGGUCGGUAUCAGAUAGGAGGCCUUGUCAUUUUGGUGGUUUCAGUGGUGCCUCGUCUGGAGGAAGGGGUAAUUUUGGUAGAGUUCAUCCUCCUAGGCCAUUUCACUCAGCGCUCCAGGUAUCCCACAGUGCUUCGGGUUGUCGUAAUACUUAUGUACCACAUCCUGAGCAGCUAGCCUACAAUACACCAUCAACUCAUAUUAUUGCACCUCCAAUCCAAAGUUAUCAGGUGAUUAUCUAGGCCGAUAGGGCCAGUUCUAGAGUCAACAGUUAUAGCAGCCGAGGGCUUGUUAUACUUGUAGAGAUCUGAGGCACCUUUCUAGGUUUUUCCCCAAGUCACAAGGCAGCAUGCUACAACACAGUUAUUGUACCAUGGUUCCGGCACUGAUUUCUUCGUUGCCCGCUCUGCUAGCUAGAGGCGGGGGUCAGGCUUCCAGAGGUGGAGGUUAGGCCAUUAGAUGUGGAGGUCAGGCCAUUACAGAUUGAGGUCACCCAACAAGAGGUCGUUCGAGAGGCGGAGGUUAGAGUGGUGGGGCUUAGACCCCAAAUUUAUGCAUUCCCAGCUCGACCUGAAGCCGAGUUAUAUGACAGUGUUAUCAUAGGUAUUGUUCCAGUUUUCUAUAGAGAUGAUUCAAUUCUAUUUGAUCUGGGCUCUGCUUAUUCCUACGUGUCAUCCUAUUUUGCUUCAUAUCUGGUUGUGCCUCAUGAUUAUUUGAGUGCUCAUGUACAUUUAUCCAUGCCUGUGGGAGAUUCUAUUAUUGUAGACCGUAUUUAUCGCUCGUGCGUGAUUACUAUUGGGAGUCUUGAGACUAUUGUAGACCUCCCACUUAUUGAUAUGGUAGACUUUGAUGUUAUUUUGGGCAUGGAUUGGCUCUCACUUUAUCAUGCUAUAUUAGACUGUCACGCCAAGAUGGUGACCUUAGCCAUGUUGGGGUUGCCUCGAUUAGAUUGGAGGGGGACUCCUGGCCAUUCUACUAGAAGGGUUAUUUCAUAUGUGAAGGCUCGGCGUAUGAUCGAGAAGGGAUAUCUAGCUUAUUUGGCCUAUAUUUGUGAUUCUAGUGUGGAGGUUCCUUCCAUUGUUUCAAUACUAUUUGUGCGUGAGUUUCCCGAGGUGUUUCAUGCAGAUUUGCUGGGGAUGCCACCAGAUAGAGAUAUCAACUUGUGUAUUGAAUUGGCUCCGGGCACUCAGCCCAUUUCUAUUCCACCAUACUGUAUGGCCCUGCCAAAGUUUAAGGAACUAAAGGAUCAGUUGCAAGAUUUUCUUGAUAAGGGAUUCAUUAGACCUAGUGUCUCGCCCUAGGUUGCACCUGUGUUGUUCGUGAAGAAUAAGGAUGGUUCGAGGAGUAUGUGUAUAGACUAUCGGCAGUUGAACAAAGUCACUAUCAAGAACAAGUAUCCGUUGUCGAGGAUUGAUGACUUAUUUGAUCAACUUCAGGGUGCUAAAGUAUUUUCAAAGAUUGAUUUGAGAUCUGUCUACCAUCAGAUAAAUAUCAAGGCAUUAGAUUUCCCUAAGAUAGCUUUUCGGACCCGGUAUGGGAAUUAUAAGUUUCUAGUGAUGUCAUUUGAUUUGCAAUAUGCCCCAGCAUCAUUCAUGGAAUUGAUGAAUAGGGUAUUUAAGCCUUUUUGGAUUCUUUUGCGAUCGUAUUCAUUGAUGAUAUUUUGAUCUACUCCCACAGUCGAGAGGAGCAUGAGUAGCAUCUUCAGGUUGUACUUCAGACUCUGAGAGAUAGUCAGUUGUAUGCCAAGUUUUCAAAGUAUGAAUUUUGGUUGGAUUCGGUUGCCUUUUUUGGACAUUUUGUAUCGGCCGAGGGCAUAAAAGUGUAUCCUAAGAAGACUGAGGCAGUUCAGAACUGGCCUAUACCUAAUUCAGCUACAGAGAUUCGGAGAUUCCUAAGUUUGGCGGGUUAUUAUCAUCGGUUCUUGGAGGGGUUUUCAUCCACUGUAGCCCCAUUGACUAGAUUGACCCAGAAAGGUUCCCCAUUCAGGUGGCCCAAUGAGUGUGAGUUGAGCUUUCAGAAGGUCAAGACUACUUUAACUACAGCCCCAAUGUUGGUGCUACCCACAACUUCAGGAUCCUACAUGGUGUAUUGUGAUGCAUCGCGUAUUAGGCUCGGAGCAAUAUUGAUACAGGAUGGCAGGGUGAUUGCAGUUGAAUAUUCAUGAGAACAAUUACCGUGUUCGUGACUUAGAGUUGGCAGUCAUUAUUCAUGAAUUGAAGAUUUGGAGGAAUUACCUCUACGGUGUGUCGUAUGAGGUAUUCACAGAUCAUCGGAGUCUACAGUAUUUUUUCAAGCAACAGGAUCUCAACUUGAGGCAAUGGAGGUGGUUGGAGUUGUUUAAAGAUUAUUAUAUUACCAUUUUGUAUCAUAUUGGGAAGGCCAAUGUGGUGGUCGAUGCCUUGAGUAGAAAGGCUGUGAAUAUGGGUAGCCUUACAUAUAUUCCAGUUGGUGAGAGACCGCUAGCCUCAUAUUUUAAGGAUUUGGCCAAUCAGUUCGUGAGGUUAGAUAUUUUGGAGCCUAGUUAGGUUCUAUCUUGCACAGUCUCUUGGUCUUCUUUGUAUGACGGAUCAGAGAGCGUCAGUAUGACGACUCCUAUUUGCUUGUCCUUAAGGACAUAGUGCAACACAGUGGUGCCCAGAUGGUUUCUAUUGGAGAUGAUGGGGUGUUGCGUAUGUAGGGGCGGAUUUGUGUGCCCAAUGUGGAUGUGCAUAGUAAGUUGAUUCUUGAGGAGGCCCACAGUUCACGGUAUCCCAUUUAUUCGGGUUCUGCCAAGAUGUAUCAGGAUUUGAGGUAGCAUUAUUGGUGUAUAAGAAUGAAGAAAGAUAUAGAUGCACAUGUGUCUCGAUGUUUGAAUUGCCAGCAUGUAACGUAAGAACAUCAGAGAUCUGGCAGUUUGCUUUAGAGACUUGAGAUUCCCGAGUGGAAGUGGGUGCAUAUUACCAUAGAUUUCUUUGUUGGGCUCCCACGGACUUCGAAGAAAUUUGAUGUAGUAUGGGUCAUUGUGGACAGAUUGACCAAGUCGGCACAUUUCAUUCCAGUGGCAGCUGCCUAUUCUUCACAGCGGUUGGGUGAGAUCUAUAUCUGCGAGAUUGUUUGUCUUCACGGUGUGCCAGUGUCCAUUAUUUUUAAUUGGGGUACGCAGUUUACAUCGCACUUUUGGAGGACCGUACAGUGUGAGUUAGCCAUACGGGUUGAUUUGAGUAGAACAUUUCACCCCUAGACGGACGGACAGUCCGAGCGCACCAUUCAGAUAUUGGAGGAUAUGCUUCGCGUCUGUGUUAUGGAUUACAAGGGUUCUUGGGUUUAUUUCUUACAUCUUGCGGAGUUUGCCUACAACAACAGCUACCAAUUGAGUAUUCAGAUGGCUCCUAAUAAGGCAUUAUAUGGGAGGCGAUGUCGUUCUCUAGUUGGUUGGUUUGAGCCGGGAGAGGCUCGGUUGUUGGGUACCGAUUUAGUUCAAGAUGCCUUGGUAAAGGUCAAGAUGAUUCAAGAUCGACUUUGUACAGCUCGAUCUAGGCAGAAGAGUUAUGCUGAUCGGAGAGUUCGUGAUGUUGCAUUCAUGGUUGGAGAGAGGGUUUUGCUCCGGGUCUCGCCCAUGAAGGGUGUGAUGAGGUUUGGGAUGAAGGGCAAGUCGAGCCCUAGGUAUAACGGACCCUUUGACAUUCUUGAGACAGUUGGUGAGGUGGCCUACAAGCUUGCAUUGCCACCUAGCUUAUCAUUAGUUACCCGAUGUUCCGUGUGUUCAUGCUUCGGAAGUAUUACAGUUAUCCAUCCCAUGUAUUAUAUUUCAGCUCAGUCCAAUUGGACUGGUGAAAAGGUGUGGGUAUCUACUCCGCAUGUCGGACUCGGACUCCCACAUAGCGGCCUCGAUCGGCUGACCUCUCAAAUACACUCUAACAGAAGGAUAACUCUUAGACCUCAACUUUCGGACCUGCCGUGCUAGAAUGGCCACCGACUCCUUCUCGUAAGUCAAAUAAAAUGGGAACUAGAACAUGUAAUAGCAACUACGACUAAAUGCAUGAGAAUAAAUCAAUGAUGGAAAGAAUAGCAUGUAACAACAACUACUAAUAUAUGCAUAUAAGAGUAACCUCGACAAUGGGAACUAGAACUUGUAAUAACAACUUUAAUUAAAGCAUGUAACAACAAACUUGACAACAAAAGAUAGACCAAAUAAUAACUUCAAUUGAAUGCUUAUAAGUAACCUAAGAGUCGAAACCGCUCAAUUUUCACAUAUAAGCCAGUGUACACACUCGUCACCUCAUGUACAUGUCUUUCACAUAAUUCAAAUAGUACAAUCAACCCAAUCCUAAAGGGUAGUCCCCAGCAUAAAGUUAGGCAGCAUACUUACCUCAACUAGGCCAAAUCAACACUCAAAAAUAGAUUUUCCCUUAAAAUUUGCCUCCACACAGGUCAAAUUUAAAAAUGACUUAAUAUCAUCAAACAGUGCAAGAGAAACCAAUUACGAGUAAUAAAGCUAUGAUCUUUACACAAUUUUCUAAAAGUCAAUAAAAGUCAACCACGGGCCCGCCCAGUCAAAACCCGAGUCUAAGGGUAGAUCUCGACUACUCAUAACCCCACGAGUCCAUAUAUGUGUUUUAUUUUCAACUCCGAGUCCAAUUCGACUCUCAAAUCUCAUAUUUUCAUUUUUUCAAAACAUAGGAUAAUUUUCCUAAAUAUUCUCUUAGACUCUCACUAAUUUAAUUUUAAAUCUCAUACAUAAUCAUGUACUAUAAUUGAAAAUUGAUCAAAAUCACCUACCCGAUUGUUGUAGGUAAAAAUCCCUCCUACCGAGUCUAGGAUUCCAAAAUAUGAAAAUGAGACCAAAUCCCAUUUUUCCAGCCCUUAUGUUCAGGUGCAGAAGUCGCAAUUGCGACCCUAGGUUCGCAAUUGCGAACCCUCGCAAAUGCGAAGCAUAGCUCGCAAAUGCGGCGCUUGAUAGCCCAGGAAGAAGUUGCAAAUGUGACACUGACUUGACAUUUGCAAAGUCUUUCCCUCUCACAAAUGCGAACCUACCCAUCCUAGGCCUUUCUUUGGAAUUACGAGUAAGGCAUCACUAAUGCGAUACCUGCCCCUCCCUGCCUACUUCGCAAUUGCGAGGCUGGUGCUCGCAAUUGCGAUAAAUAGAGCACAAGCACACCAGCGACCCAAAGAUGAAUUCAAACCAAUCCGAAACUCACCCGAGCGCUCGGGGCUCCACACCAAAUAUCCACACAAGUCAAAAAAUAUCAUACAUACUCGCUCGCGCGAUCAAAACACAGAAAUAACAUCUGGAUCCCUGAAUCGGACAUCAGAACGCAUGAAAUUCAAAAGAAAAACUCAAGAACCUCUAGAAUCACAACCAAGAGUCUAAAUCCCAUCGAACCAACUCCGAAUUACACCAAAUUUUGCACACAAGUUCCAAAUAGAAAAACAUACCUAUUCUAAGUCACAAAACAAAAUUCUGAAUCCGAUAGCCAUAAAGUCAACUUACGGUCAAACCUAAGAUAAUUCAUAAAUCUCAAAUUGCCAACUUUUGGCGACACAAUUCAAAUCAACCUAGGGACAUCCAAAUUCAAUUACGAGCAUAAACUCAAGUCCCAAAUCACGAUACGAACCCAUAGAAGAUAUCAAAACAUCGUUUCGGGGUGGUUUUCACAAAAAUCAAAUCUCAGUCAACAUUUCCAACUUAAGCUUCAAAACUGAGAACCAAAGGGUCAAAAUCAUUCCAGAACUUCCCCAAAACACAGCUAACCAUCCCAUAAAACUAAACAUAGACAUAUAGGAAGCUUAAAAAUUGGAAACGAGGCUCCAAUACAUAAAAAGACCGGUCGGGUCGAUAAAUUCUCCCCCUCUUAAAACAAAUGUUCCUCCUCGAACGUGCAUAGAGACAUACCUGGAGUGCCAAAAGCUUGAGGAUGAUGACUCAACAUGUCGUGCUCGGUCUCCCAGGUCGCCUCCUCGAUCGGUUGACCCCUCCAUUGAACCUUCACUGAAGCAAUGUUCUUUGAUCUAAACUUCCGAACCUACCUGUCCAAGAUAGCCACCGGCUCCUCAACAUAAGUCAAAUCCUUAUCCAAUUGGACUGAGCUAACAUCUAAUACAUGUGAUGGAUCACCAUAAUACUUCCGGAGCAUGGAAACAUGGAAUACCGGGUGAACUCUCGAUAAGCUGGGUGGUAAUUCAAGUCUUUAGGCCACCUCACCAACUUUAUCAAGGAUCUCAAAAGGGCCAAUAUACCUAGGGCUCAACUUACCCUUGUUCCCGAGCCUUAUCACACCCUUCACGGGUGAAACUCUGAGCAACACACUCUCUUCCAACAUAAAUGCUACAUCACGAGCCCUCUGAUCAGCAUAACUCUGAUGCCUGGACUGUGUUGUACGAAUCCGAUCCUAAAUCAACUUGACUUUCUCCAAGGCAUCCUGAACCAAAUCAGUGCCCAAUAACCUAGCCUCCCUCGGCUCAAACCAACCCACUGGAGAACGACUCCGCCUCCCAUAGAAGGUCUCACAAAGAGCUAUUUGAAUUCUCGAUUGGUAGCUGUUGUUGUAGAAAACUCUGCAAGAGGUAGGAGCUGAUCCCAUGAACCACCGGAAUCCAUAACACAGGCACAUAGUAUGUCCUCCAAGAUAUGAAUGGUGCGCUCGGACUGCCCGUCCAUUUGGGGAUGAAAUGUCGUGCUCAGCUCAACUUAUGUGCCUAACUCAUGCUGCAUGACUCUCGAGAAAUGCAAUGUGAAUUGCAUGCCUCGAUCGGAGAUAAUAGACACCGGCACACCAUGAAGACGAAUAAUCUCAUGAAUAAAGAUCUGAUCCAGCUGCUCUGAAGAGUAGGUAGUCACAACCGGAAUGAAGUGUGUAGACUUGGUCAGUCUGUCCAUAAUAACCCACACUGCAUCAAAUUUCCUCAAGAUCCGUGGGAGUCCAACAAUGAAAUCCAUGGGAUACGCUCCCACUUUCACUCUGGAAUAUUAAGUUUAUGAAGCAAACCGCCCGAUCUCUGAUGCUCGUACUUCACCUGUUGAUAGUUCAAAUAUCGAGCCACAUACUCCACAAUAUGUUUCUCCAUUCUUCUCUACCAGUAGUGUUUCCUCAAAUCCUGGUACAUCUUCACGGGACCCGGAUGAAUGGAAUACCGCAAACUGUGGGCCUCCUCAAGAAUCAACUCACGCAACCUAUCCACAUUGGGCACACAAAUCCGACCAUCCAUUCUCAACACCCCAUCAUCUCCAAUAGAAACCUACUUGGCAUCACCGUGUUGCACCGUGUCCUAAGGACAAGCAAGUUGGGAUCAUCAUACUGAUGCGCUCAUACAAAGACGACCAAAACACCACGCAAGCAAGAACCCAACUAGGCUCCAAAACAUCCAUCCUCAUAACCCGAUUGGCCUAAGCCUGGACAUCUGAUGCUAAUGGUCUCUCUCCAACCUGAAUAUAAGCAAGACUAUCCAUGCUCUUAGACUUCCUACUCAAAGCAUCGGCCACCACAUUGGCCUUCGCGUGAGGAUAUAGAACGGUGAUAUCAUAGUCCUUUCACAACUCUAGCCACCUCCGCUGCCUCAAGUUUAUGUCCUUUUUCUUAAACAAGUGUUGUAGAAUCCGAUGAUCGGUGAAUACGUCACAAGACAUGCUGUAGAGAUAGUGCCUCCAAAUCUUCAAUGCAUGAACAAUGGCCGCCAACUCUAAAUCAUGUACUAGGUAGUUCAUCUCAUGGGGCUUCAACUGACAGAAGCAUAAGUAAUCACUCUACCCUCCUGUAUGAAGACACACCUAAUGCCAAUCCGCGAAGCAUCACAAUAAACUGUAAAUGAACCCGAUGCUGAAGGCAAAACAAGAAUUGGAGUUGUGGUCAAGGCAGUCUUGAGCUUCUAAAAGCUCUCGUCAUACUCGUCAGACAACCUGAAUCGGGCAGCCUUCUGAGUCAAUCUGGUCAAUGGAGUUGCGAUGGAUGAAAACCGCUCUACAACACGGUGAUAAUAACCAGCCAAACCUAGAAAACUUCAGAUCUCAGUAGCAGAAAAUGGUCUGGGCUAACUCUAAACUACCUCCACCUUCUUCGGAUCCACCUUAAUCCUCUCACUAGAUAACACAUGACCGAAAAAUGUCACCUAAUCAACCCAAAACUCACAUGUGGAGAAUUUAGCAUAUAGUUUCUUCUCCCUCAAGGUCUAGAGCACGAUCCUCAAGUGUUGCUCAUGAUCCUCCCACCUGCGAGAAUAAACAAAAAUAUCGUCAAUGAACACAAUGACAAAAGAAUCAAGAUAUGGCUGGAAUACACCAUUCAUUAGGUGCAUAAAGGCUGAUGCGGCGUUGAUCAGCCCAAAUGACAUCACCAAAAACUCAUAGUGACUAUAGCAAGUCCUGAAAGCAGUCAUCGGAAUAUCUUAAUCCCGAAUCUUCAAUUGAUGGUACCCCGAUCUCAAAUCAAUCUUCAAGAAUACCAGAGCAUCCUGAAGCUGGUCGAAAUUAUCAAAUACGGCAGUAGGUACUUGUUCUUGACUGUAACUUUCUUCAGCUGCCUAUAAUCAAUACACAUAUGUCACGGCCCAAAAUUCCACCUUAAGGAUCGUGAUGGCACCUAGUCUUUAAGACUAGGUAAGCCUAACACAUGCUGAGAUUUUUGCAACAUAACAACUAAGCUAUUGUUUUAGACUGAUAAAUAGCAUAAUAAAGCCAAAAAUGGAACAACUGUAACAUAAAUCCCAAAAUCUGUAGUGCAGAGUCAUAAGCUCUAGUGAGAGUAACUAAUAACAUCAAAUACAUCACUAUUUCGAAUAAAGGUAAACAUAAAUGAAGUAAGGCUCCAGAAGGUGACUUCGAGGCCUGCGAACCAAUUGACAGGUAUACCUUGAUGUCUCCAUAGCGAAUCUUCAACAGCUAACUAAUGACCAGCUAGUUUCAAGGUACCUCGAUCUGCACAAAAUGUGCAAAAGUCUAGCAUGAGUACACCACAGCGGUACCCAAUAAGUAUCAAGACUAACCUCAGUGGAGUAGUGAUGAGAUUCAAGUCAAGAUACCUACUAGGUAUAAUAAUCUGUGCAAAAUAUUAAUAUAAAGCUAAUAGAGGAACAAAUAUCAAUGUAAAGCAAAACAUGGAAAGAAUAAUAAUAUAACACUAGCAAUGAGAAGUAGAAACAACAAAUAGCAACAACGAGUUAACAGGUGAUAACGCAACAAGUAAUCAGAACACAGUUAAAGUACUAGUGAAAACAAUUAAGGAAAGCAAUGAUAACCAAAUAAUCAACCGUUCUAUCACAUGGGUUUGCACAAGAAUCACCUCGAGGUACCACACAUCAUAAUCACAACUCACGAGACCCAAAUCAAGAAUCAUAAUCACAUUGCAUCUCGUGCCCACAUUUUCAAUCAUAACCGCACGGAUAUCUCACGUGUUGCACGGACAACUUACGUGUCAAUACCAUUAAUACCUCAGAUCUGCACGGACAACUGACGUACCAUUAGCUACAAUACCUCAUAUCCGCACGGAUAACUCACAUGCCUAUAGUAACAGUAUCUCAUAUCCGCAUGGACAACUCACGUGCCAAUAGUAACAACAUCACAUAUCUGCAUGAACAACACACAUGCCACCAAUCAAAUCCUCACAUAGAAGGCAGGUAUACAAGAAUAUUACAUGAUCAAUAAAUAUAAAGAUUCAUACUCCUUGCCUAAUAUAGGUGACAUGUUACGGUGUAUGCUUGUACAAGUAUACUAUCACAGCUCAAGACAGCAGGUAAAAUCAGAGACACCGAGUAGCACAUUGGAAACAACACAAAAACACCCAUAAUAUGCAUGACACACACAAAAUAAUCACACCAUCACACAAAUAUCAUCAAUAACAAUGCCCCAGGCCAUCACAAAUCAUCUCCGACAUAGCCCCCUGUCUCGCCGCAUGUACAACAAUAAAGUAAAUGCCCGCCUUGUCUCGCCACACGCGCAUCAAUAAUUAUCCAACCUUGUCUUGCCAUAUGCGCAAACUCGAUAUAUAUACAUACACACACACACAUAUGUGUGUGUGUAUAUAUAUAUAUAUAUAUAUAUAUGUAUAUAUAUAGCCGCCUUGUCUUGUCGCAUGAUCCAAUAUCAAUAAUAACAAUAGGACAGACCACUCACGUGCAAACACCCCGACAAGCCCCUCAACAAUUCCACAUAUGCCAAAAACACAACAACACAACAUAAAAACUCACACCACAUGUACCCAUAUUCCAUAACAACAAUACCGAUACCACAACAAUAUAAAGUCCAUGGCUCAACAACACUAAGUACAACAACAACAAUAACAUGAGAGUACAAAAAUUAAAUCAACACAAGAAUUACAACAACAUAAUGAAACAGAAGAAUAAACACAACAAUGAAAGAGAUAACAUGUAAUAAUGACUUCAAAUGAGAAUAACUCAACAAUAAAGAGGUAACAUGACAAUAAAAUAGGUAACAACUUCAAUUAAAGAAUAUAAGAGUAGGCUUGACAAUGAAAGAUAGAACACGUAGCAACAACUUCAACUAAAUGCAUGUAAGACACCUAAGAGUCUAAACCGGUCAAUUUCCACAUAUAAGGUCAUGUACACACUCAUCACCUCGUGUACACGUCUUCCACAUAAUUCAAAUAGUACAAUUAAAUCCAAUCUUACGUGGUAGGUUCCCCCACACUUAAUUAGGCAAGAUACUUACCUCAACUAGGCCAAAUCAACACUCAAAAAUAGCUUUUACUUUAAACUUCACUCUGCUCAGCUCAAAUCUAACCAAAAUCGACUUAAUAAUAUCAAAUAAUGCAAGAGAAACCAAUUCCAAUAAAUAAAGUUUAGAUCUUUACACAAUUUCCCAAAAGUCAACAAAAGUCAACCGCAGGAUCGCCUAGUCAAAACCCGACUCCAAGGGUAGAUCUUGACUACCCAUAACCCGAUGAGUAUGUAUAUGUGUUUUGUUUUCAAAUCCAAGUCCAAUUCGACUCUCAAAUCUUAAAUUUUUAUUUUUCAAAACAUAGAUAAAAUCCCCCAAAACUUCCCUUCAAAUCUCAUGAUUUAGAUGUUAAAUCUCAUAUAUAAUCAUGUAAUAUAAUUAUAAAUUGGUCAUAAUCACUUACCCAAUAGUCGUAUGUGAAAAUCCCUCCUCUAAAUUGCCUCCUACCAAGUCUAGGGAUAAAAAUAUUAUUAAAUCAAGCUAAGUCCUGUAAUUCAACCCUUAUGUUUAGUUGCAGAAGUCGCAUUUGCAAACUUGGGUUCGCAAAUGGGAAGACUGUAAAUGCGACCGAUAGUUCACAAAAGCGAGCACUGCCAAGCCCACCCAGACGUUGCAAAAGUGAAGUUGGGCCCAUCUCAAAGGCGACGAAUAAGCUCGUAAAUGCGAACUAGCCAUUGCUCAGCCACUAUCGCAAAUUUGACUAAGGCUUCACAAAUGCGUCGUCGAAAAUGCAGAGCCCUUAUCGCAAAUGCAAAAAUAGAAAACAUCUCCAGACGUCACAAAUGUGGUGCCCACCUCGCAAAUGCGAGGUCUUAAAUGCGAGGUCCGCAAAUGCGAACAGUUUCACACGUUUACGAGACCUGAGGCACCAACAAAGAUCCAGCAGAACUGUAACAGCCCGAAACACUCUGAAAGGCGUCUGAAACUAACCCGAGCCCCCGGCUCCACACCAAAUAUCCAUAAAAUUCUAGAAACAUCAUGCAAACUCGCUCGCGUGAUCAAAGCACAAAAAUAACACCCGGAACCACGAAUCGAACAUCAAAUCACAUGACAUUUACAAUGAAACUCAAUAACUUCUAAAAACACAACCACGCGUCUGAUUCCUAUCAAACCAACACAGAAUGAUACCAAAUUUUGAAUAAAAAUAUCAAAUGACUAAACAGACCUAUUCCAAGUCACAAAACAAAAUCCAAACUCCAUUGCCAUAAGGUCAAACCAUGGUCAAACGUAAGGAAUUACUAAACCUUCAAUUUGCCAACAUUCAACAAAACAAGCCAAAUAAAUCUAGGGACCUCCGAAUUCAAUUUCGGGCAUACACCCAAGUCCAAAAUCACAAUACAAACCUAUCAUAGCCGUCAAAUUACUGUUCUAGGGUCAUUUGUCACAAAAGUCAAACCUCGGUCAACAUUUCCAACUUAAGCUUCUAAUAUGAGAAUCAUUCAUCCAAAUCAAUCCUAAAUCACUCAAAAAUCGAAACCAAUCAUGCUCAAAAGUCAUAAUACAUAAUAUGAAUCCACUCAUGACCUCGAACCACUAAACGGAAUGAUAAAACUCAAAAUGACCAGGUGGGUCGUUACUUUCUCCCCUUCUAAAUAAACGUUCGUCCACGAACGUGCCAAGAGUCAUUCCUAAGCUAUCAAAUCACUCCAUAAACUUACCAUACACAUCCACGCCGGUGAUCCCACAUCACCCCAAUCCACAUAAGUUCGAAAAUACCAUCUCGUCCACAAUUAUUCCUUCCACCCAUACCGAUAAGCCUUAGAAUCGAAUUCUAACAUCCACCAAAAACCAAUUCUCAUAAAAACACACUGCAUCAACCUCAAUCAGCUGCAACAACUCGUGCAUAUAUCUAAAAGGUAUAACCACAUGAUGUAACACAUCAUCCAUAUGCCCAUAGCAAGAACUCUGACCACAAUAGCUGCCUAUUACCAAACCCGGUAUCGGUAAAUAGUCUCAUAUUUACUCGAACAUUGUUCCAAACCUUUCCAACACUGAUAAUAAUGCAAGAACAUGUGAAACUCAUAACUACUCACCCGACCAAAAAUCCACUCCAAAUGUCGCAUUGUCACAUACAUCACAAUCCAAACCUAACAAGCAUAACUUGAAUAUUACAUAUGGAAAGAGAAACACUUGAGAGAACUAUCAAACAAGUCCAACAGGUACAACUCCCCAUCGGUACUAUACUAUGGAUCUAAUCAACAAGGAAGAAGCAAUGCACAUGCAACCACCGCAAUGAAUGGUACCCUAACAUAACCCCAUUGUGGCACAUAGCGUGGUACAAACUCGCCUAUAAACAAGGAACACAAGGUUUCCAUCCUCCACUCGGAAUCACAAGUAACAUUAACAUCUCGAGAACUAAAAACCUUCUACUAAUUCAAUCGCAUAGAAAAAAACCACGACAUAUAACAGACUUCCUACACUUGUAGAGCACCCAAAUCACUCGUCAGGGCCAAACCAUCCAUAAAUCGCAUUCAAACCUACUGUAUUAACUAACAAAAAGUCCACCCAAGCCUCAUGACCCUCAAUAGCGACCAAACCAGAAUGAUAGACACAGGCUAUCAUAAUAGAAUCCCCUUACUAGCAUUAACACAAACAAACUACAAGAAUCACAAAACACAUCCAUAUAUGAAGCAAGGCAGGAUGACUCGUACCGAUAAAUAGGGUGGGAAUCAAAACAAAACUGAUGUAUCUCUAUGAAAAACAGAAACCAUAUAUGUAAUGAUAUCAUCCGCUGUAGCAGCCUCAGUCCCACAAGGAAAAUAAUAACAACAGGUUGGGGCCCCCCUCUAGGACGCCCUCUACCUGCCUAUCCCCCCAUCUCUAGCUGGCUUUGCAGGUAUAGUAGUAACUGGAGCGAAACCCAUAGACCGAGUAACCCGAUAUGUACACCCUCCCGAAUUCUGGGAUAAUCCCUCACCAUGUGCCUGGUGUCCCCACACUUAAAGCAACCUCUCCAAUGACAUGGUUGUGGAAGCUAUCCGCAACGGGUACUCUGGGACCCAUGGAUAUCUAAAGCACCACGUGAAACCUGAAGUGCAGACCGAACUAGCUGACCCACAAAACCUCUACCAUGACGCGCUCGGCCUCAAAAAUAGGGAUCAGUAGAUUCUCCCAGUCCAUGAGGCUUCUUAGCUUCCCUAUCCUCCCUCUCUAGACCGCAGAUGUACUUCAUUCUCCUGGCGAUCUCCACAACCUACUGAAAUGAAGUAUUGGUCUCCAACACUCGGGUGAUUCUGAAUCUAUGACCAUAACUUAGCCCCUCGAUAAAUUUGUGGACUCGCUUUUUAACUAUAGAAACCAACGCAGGUGCAUGACGGGACAGCUCACUGAACCUGAUGGCAUACUCUGACACCGUCAUACUGCCCUAAUGCAACUGCUCAAACUAUGCGCUCCACGCAUCCCUGAGGGUCUUGAGAACCAAAUCUCUCAAAAAUAUAUAUGAAAAAUAAGCCCAAGUGAGUGGCGCUGCAUUAGCUGGUCUACUAUCCUCAUAAGCCUGCCACCACCUAUAUGCUGUCCCUGACAGCUUAAAUGUAGUAAAGGCGACUCCGCUCACCUCCACAAUACCCAUGGUGUAGAGAAUAUAGUGGCACUUAUCCAGAAAACCCUGCGCAUCCUCAGUAACUGUGACACUGAAAGUAGGAGGGUAAUACUUCAUGAACCUCUCAAGUCUCUUCUGCUCCUCAAAUGCAUCGGGCCUGACCUCAGGCUGGACCGCGAUAAUGGGCUAUAUCGGCAUAACAUUGGGAACCUGAUCAACAGGAUCCCGCUGCAUUGGAGUAUGGGCGACGGGUAUAUGAGCUCCUCCACUAGUCUGUGAAGUAGUUGGUGCGACUGGGAUCAAUCCCGCCUGAGCCAAUGCUCCAAACAUGCUCAGGAACUACGCUAAAGUCUCCUGAAGUCUAGGAGUAGUAAAGGCGCCUCCGGUGCCUGUCCCCCAACCGGAUCUACUGGUGGCUCCUCAGCUAGUGCUCCGGUAGGUGCUAUAGCUGUAGCACGUGGUCCUCCUCGGCCUCUAACAACACCGGUUUUGGGGGAAGCAUCGUCAGUAACUACAACUCAUGUCCUCACCAUUUGUGAGAGAAUAGAAUGACAAAGGUUCAAACUCUAAAAUCAAUAAAUCCGCAUGAUAAGAAUGAAAGAAGUGAAGUUGCUUAAUAGUUUUGUAUCCUCUCGAAGAUAAGUACAAACGUCUUCGUAUCGAUCUACAAGACUCUACUAAACUUGCUUAUGACUCAUAGCACCUAUGAACCUAGAGUUCUGAUACCAACUUGUCACGAUCCAAAAUCCCAACUUAAGGAUCGUGAUGAAACCUCGUCUCUAAGACUAAGUAAGCCUAACACAUGCUAAGAUUUUUGCAUAAUAACAACUAAGCUAUCAUUUUAGACUGAUAAAUAACAUAAGAAAGCCAAAAAAGGAACAACUGUUACACAAAUCCCAAAACUAGUAGUAAAGAGUCAUAAGCUCUAUUGAGAGUAACUAAGAAUAUCAAAUACAUCACUGUUUGGAAUAAAGGGAGACAAAAAUGAAGUAAGGCUCUAGAAGGUGACUUCAAGGCCUGCGAACGCAAUGGCAGGUUUACCUUGAAGUCUCCGUAGCAAAUCUCAAACGGCUAACUAAUCACCAGCACGCUCAAAGGUACCUGGAUCAGCACAAAAAUGUGCAGAAGCAUAGCAUGAGUAUACCACAAUGGUACCCAGUAUGUUUCAAGACUAACCUCGGUGGAGUAGUGAUGAGGUUCAAGUCAAUUCACCUACUAGACAUAAUAACCUAUGUAAAAUAUUAAUAUAAAGCUAACAGAGGAACAAAUAUCAAUAAAAAGAUGAACGUAAAAAGAAUAACAAUAUAACGCUAGCAAUGGAAAGUAGAAACAACAAAUAGCAACAAGAAAUAAAUAGGUGAUAACGCAGCAAGUAAUCAGAACACAGUUAAAGUACUAGUGAAACCAAUUAAGGAAAAUAAUGACAACCAAAUAAUCAACCGUUCUAUCACAAAGUUUACACAAGAAUCGCCCGGAGGUACGACACCUCAUAAUCACAACUCACGAGUCCCAAAUCAUGAAUCAUAAUCACAUGGCAUCUCGUGCCCACAUUAUCAAUCACAAUCACACGGACAACUCACGUGUUGCACAGACAACAUAUGUGCCAAUACUAUUAAUACUUCAGAUAUGCACGGACAACUCACAUACCACUAGUAAUAAUACCUCAUAUCCACACAGAUAACUCACAUGCCAAUAGUAACAGCAUCACAUAUCCGCACAAAUAAAUCACGUGCCAAUAGUAACAUCAUCUCAUAUCCGAAUGAACAACUCACGUGCCACCAGUCCAAUCCGCACACAGAAGGCAGGUAUACAAGAAUACACGUACAUGAUCAAUGAACAUCAAGAUUCAUACUUCUAGACUGAUAUAGGUGACAUGUUACGGUGUGUGCUUGUCCAAGUGUACUAACAUAGCUCAAGUCAACAGGUAAAAUCAGAGACAUCAAGUAGCACAUUGGAAACAACACAAAAAACCCGUAGUAUGCAUGACACUCUCAAUAAAGUCAUCCACCACAUAAAUAUCAUCAAUAACAAUGCCCCCAGGCCACCCCAAAUUAUCCCCGACAUAGCUCCCCCUGUCUCGCCGCGGCAACUUGUCACGACCCAAAAUUUCACCUUCAGGAUCGUGAUAGAACCUAUUAUCUAAGACUAGGUAAGCCUAACACAUGCUGAGAUUUCUUCAGGACAAAACUAAGCAAUUUUUCUAGACUGUUAAAUAGCAUAAGAAAGCCAAAAAUGAAACAACUAUUAUACAAAUCCCAAAACUGUCACAACCCAAAACUCACUACAGGUCGUGAUGGAGCCCAACGGCGCCGCUAGGCAAGUCAACGGUGAACUAACAACUUAAUUAUUCAUUUUAUUAUUUUUGAAAUCAUAAACCUUGUUGGGUGGAGACGUAAAUGAUUUAAAGUGGUAGAUAAAUGCAAUUUAAAUAUUAUACAAGUAAAAGUGUAUCGCAGUUAGGCAAACAAAAAAUGAAUUCUAGAACAUCCCAAAUCCUGGUAUCACAAGUGCAUGAGCAUUUACUAAGGAAUACAAUAAUAAUAAUAAUAGUAAUACAACAUCUGUCCGGAAUGUAAAUAAGACAGGAUAAAGUAAAUAGUACGAUGAAGACUCUGUGGGCUGCGAUGCGUAGCCUGGAAUGCAGCUCACCAUAAUUUCUCCUCAGCAGUUGUGCCUACGCGCCAAGAUGACCACCAAAUGAACCUGUCGGAUCCUGCACAUUUAGUGCAGAAGUGCAGCAUGAGUACGUAAAUCAAUACGUACCCAGUAAGUAUCUAACCUAACCCCAGAGAAAUAGUGACGAGGGGUCGACAUCGACACUUACUAGAGGUCCAAUAAAGCAAUAUGAUAAAUCAUAAGCAAAUAUGAAGCACAAUAAUAAUAAUGGGGUAAAGCUGUAAGUUACAUAAUCUUCCAUAACUUUCAUUUAAAGAUAUAAAUUUCUCAGUCUCGUUUUCUAUCUCAACAACUCAGAUAUAUUAUGUUCCAGAAACCAACGGAUAAUGAACACCAUAAUAAAUGCCAGGCAUCAGUGGGAGGAAAAUAUCGUGAAUAUUUGGGCUGCUAGCGAUAUAACGCACAAUUAUGCCGAGGUCGUACGGCCUGAUCCAGAAUAAUUUGUACACUGCCGAGGGUCGAGCGGCUUGAACCAUCGAUGCAUCUAUUACACUGCCGAGGCGUUCAAGCCUCUCCACAAGAAAGGAAAGAAAUCAUCAAAUUACGAGACACGUGCAUACAAUACAGUACAUGAGCACAAAAUGAAUAUAACCCGUACUGUUUCUCAAACAACUUGCAAACAACUCAAGGUCAUAAGGCUCAGCCUAAUAUAUUUUCCCCUCACAAGGUUAGACAGGAGACUUGCCUCGCUCUGAACUUCCAUAAUCGACUCCAACGCGUCUCUAACACCUCAACUAAAAGCCAAGCAUUCUGAAACUAGUCAAACAACAUGCAAAUCUAUCAAAAUAUACUCCAAUGCUUACAAUUUAACAAUUUAUAAUGAUUCCCAACUCCGCUCGAAAAGUCAAUAAAGUCAACCCUCGGGUUUCAAAAAUUUUCAAAGGUGAACAUUACCCAUGACACCACGAACUCAAAUAUGUAAUUUAUCCCUAAUCCCAUGUCCAAUUUCAUGGUAAAGAUCCAAAAAUAUAAAUUCUAGGUUUUCUUCAAAAUCUCACAAUUUUCACCAAUUUCCAUGUUCAAAUCCAUGUAAAAUUCAUGUAUAGUUCAUGUAUUUAACUCAAAAUAUGUAGAAGUCACUUACCUAGUGAUGGAUGACGAAAAAGCUCCUUCAAAGUCGCCCCAAGCUCAGCUCCCAUGGAAGAUUCUAGAUAAAAUGAGCCAAAACCCGUUUUUGCAAUUUCUUACACUGCCCAAAAGACCUUCAUCGCUAAUGCGGAAAUCACAUCGGGUUCGUGAAGCACAUCCAACUUCAGCUCCAAAACUCCUCUACGUGAACGCGAGAAAGGGCACGCGAACGCGAAGCUUUACCAGCAUGUCCUUCCGCGAACGCGAAGACCAAGUCAGCCACUAGGUCAGCUUCUUCGUUGCUAACGCGAAGCACAAAAAUCCAGCAGCCAUGAUCCUUCUUUGCGAACAUGAUAACCACUACGCAUUCGCGAUGAGGAACACCAGAACCAGCAGCAACAACAACAACAAAGCAUGGAGAAAUGACCCGAAACCAUCCCGAAACACACCCGAGGUCCCCGGUACCCUCGGGACCCCAUCUAAUCACACCAAUAAGUCCCAAAACAUGAUACGAACCUGCUCGAGGCCUCAAAUCACACCAAACAACAUCAAAACUACGAAUCAAUGAUCGAAACCUUUCUUUAAUCUUUCAAACAUUCAAACUUUGACAAACGCGUCUGAAUCAUACAUAAACAUUUCGGAAUGACGCCAAACUUUACGCACAAGUCACAAAUCAUGAUACGAACCUAUUCCAAGGCUCAGAACCCCAAACGGACAUCGAUAACACCAAAGUCCACCUCAAACAAAACUUAGGAAAUUCUAAAACCUUUAAAAUGUCAACUUUCCACAAUAAGUGUUGAAAUGCUCCCGGGCAACCCAAUACUCAACAUAAACAUAUACCCUAGUCCAGAAUCAUCAUACGAACCUAGUGGAAUAUUCAAAUCCCGAUUCCGAGAUCAUUUACUAAAAAUUCAAACCUUACUCAACUCUUCCAACUUAAAGGUUCCAAAAUGAGAAUUUUCCAUCCGAAUCAACUCCGAACCUCCCAAAAUUCAAUUCCGAUUAUGCGUACACGUCAUAAUACAUGAAGUGAAGCUACUCAAGUCCUCAAACCACCGAACGACACGCUAGAGAUUAAAAUGAUUGGUCGGGUCGUUACAAAAACCGGUAGUACAGAGUCAUAAGCUCUAUUGAGAGUAACUAAGAAUGUCAAAUGCAUCUAUGUUUGGAAUAAAGGUAAACAGAAAUGAAGUAAGGCUCUAUAAGGUGACUUUGAGGCAUAGAGAAUCACCAAUAGCUAACUGAUGACCAAAAUGCUCUAAGGUACAUGUAUCUGCACAAAAAUGUGCAGAAGCGUAGCAUGAGUACACCACAGUUAUACCCACUAUAUAUCAGACUAACCUCAGUGGAGUAGUGACGAGGUUGAAGUCAAGACACCUACUAGAUAUAAUAACCUGUGAAAAAUAUUAAUAUAAAGCUAACAGAAGAACAAAUAUCAAUGUAAUGCUAAACAUGGAAAUAAUAACAAUAUAACGUUAGCAAUGGAAAGUAGAAAAAAUAAAUAGCAACAAGGAGUAAACAGGUGAUAACAGAGCAAGUAAUCAGAACACAUUUAAAGUACUAGUGAAAACAACUAAGGAAACUAAUGACAACCAAAUAAUCAACCGUUCUAUCACAAGGUUUUGCACAAGAAUCACCCCGAGGUACCACACCUCAUAAUCACAAGUUACGAGUCCCAAAUCAAGAAUCAUAAUCACAUGGCAUCUAGUGUACACAUUAUCAAUCACAACCGCACGGACAUAUCACGUGUUGCACGGACAAUUCAUGUGCUAAUACCAUUAAUAUCUCAUAUCUACAUGGACAACUGACGUACAACUAGUAACAAUACCUCAUAUCCGCAUAGACAACUCACAUGCCAAUAUUAGCAAUAUCUCAUAUUUACAUGAACAACUCAUGAGCCACUAGUCCAAUCCACACACCGAAGGAAAGUAUAUAAAAAUACACAUACAUGAUCAAUGAACAUCAAGAUUCAUACUCCUGGACUGAUAUAGGUGACAUGUUACAGUGUAUGCUUGUGAAAGUAUACUAUAGCAACUCUAGUCAAUACGAAAAACCAGAGACACUGAGUAGCACAUUGGAAACAUAGCAACAAAACCCGUAAUAUGCAAUACACACACAAGAAAUUCACACCACCACACAAAUAUCAACAAUAACAAUGCCCCCAGGCCAUCACAAAUCAUCCCCGAGAUAGCCCCCUUUGUCUCGACGCAUGUGCAACAAUAAAGUAAAUGCCUGCCUAUCUUGCCACACGUGCAUCAUUAAUUAUCCCACUUUAUCUCGCCACAUGCCCAAGCCUGAUAUAUAUAUCCCUUUUCUCGCCGCAUGUGCAAAUAUCAAUAAUAAUAAUAAUAAUAGCACGGGCAACAUGCGUGCAAACACCCUAACAAUCCUCUCAACAAUUCCACAUAUGCAAAAACACAACAUAACAACUCACACCACACUUGCCCAUAUGCUAAAAUAUUGCCAUAACAACAAUACCAAUACCACAACAAUACAUAGCCCACAGCUCGACAACACUGAGUACAACAACAACCACAAUAACACGAGAGUACGAAAAGUAAAUCAACACAAGAAUUAAAAAAACACAAUUAAAUGGAAGAAUAAACUCACAAUGAAAGUAGAUAACAAGUAAUAAUGACUUCAAAUAAGAAUAACUCAACAAUAAAGAGGUAACAUGGCAAUAAAAGAGGUAAAAACAUCAAUUACAACAUAAAAGAGUAGACUUGACAAUGAAAGAUAGAACAUGUAGUAACAACUUCAAUUAAAUGCAUAUAAGACACCUAAAAGUCUAAUCCGGUCAAUUUCCACAUAUAAGGCCGUGUACACACUCGUCACCUCAUGUACACGUCUUCCACAUAAUUCAAAUAGUGCAAUUAAACCCAAUCCUACGGGGUAGGUUCCCCUACACAAAGUUAGGCAAGAUAGUUACCUCAACUAGGCCAAAUCAACACUCAAAAAUAGCUUUUCCUCUAAAAUUCACCUCCGCUCAGCUCAAAUCUAAACCAAAAUCGACUUAAUAACAUCAAAUAAUGCAAGAGAAACCAAUUUCAAUAAAUAAAGUUAAGAUCUUAAUACAAUUCCCCAAAAGUCUAUCCCCAGCCCUCGGUCAAAACACGAGUUCAAGGGUAGAUCUUGACCACCCAUAACCCUGUGAGUCCGUAGAUGUGUUUUUCUUUUAAAAUCCGAGUCCAAGUCGACUCUCAAAUCUCAAAUUUUCAUUUUUCAAAACAUAAAUAAAAUCUUCAAAAAUUUCCCUUCAAAUCUCAUGAUUUAGAUGUAAAAACUCAUAUUUAAUCAUGUAAUAUAAUUGAAAAUUUGUGAAAAUCACUUACCCAAUAGUUGUAUGUGAAAAUCCCUCACUAAUGAUCGCCUCCUACCGAAUAUAGGGUUCCAAAAUAUGAUAAAAGGAAGCUAUGUCCCGUAAUUCAACCCUUAUGUUCAGCCGCAGAAAUCGCAUCUGCGACCUUGGGUUCGCAAAUGCGACGACCGCAAAUGUGACCCAUUGUUCGCAAAAGCGAACACUGCCAAGCCUACCCAUACAUUGCAAAAGUGACAAAAGCCUCGCAAAAGCGAAGUUGAGCCCAUUGUAAAAGCGAAUAAUAAGCUCGCAAAUGCGAACUGGUCACAACCCAGCCACUAUCGCAAAUGUGUCUGAGGCUUCACAAAUGUGACGUCGUGAAUGCGAAAAUAGCCAACAUCUCUAGACCUCGCAAAUGCAAAUAGUUUCUCGCAUUUGCAAAACCUAAGGUACCAAAAAGGAUCCAGCAGAACUGUAACAGCCCAAAACACUCUGAAACGCAUCCGAAACUCACCGGAGCCCCUGGGGCUCUACAACAAACAUCAACAUAAGUCUAUAAACAUCAUACAAAUUCACUCGCAUGGUCAAAGUGCCAGAAUAACACCCGGAACCACGAAUUGGACAUCAAAUCACAUGAAAUUUACAAUGAAACUCAAUAACUUCUAAUAACACAACCACGCGUUCGAUUCCUAUCAAACCAACUCAGAAUGACACAAAAAAUUUGCAGACAAGUCUCAAAUGACAAAACGGACCGCUUCCAUGUCCCAAAAUGAAAAUCCGAACUUGAUAUCCAUAAAUUCAAACCAUAGUGAAAGUUAAGGAAUUUCUAAACCUUCAAAUUGCCAACUUUCGGCAAAACAAGCCAAAUCAACCUAGGGACCUCAGAAUUCAAUUUCGGACAUACGCCCAAUUCCAAAAUCGCAAUACGAACCUAUGGGAGACAUCAAAACACCUUCACGGGGUCUUCUUUUACAAAAGUCAAAUCUCGGUAAACAUUUCCAAUUUAUGCUUCUAAUAUGAGAAUUAGUCAUCCAAAUCAUACUUAAAUCACUCGAAAAUUGAAAUCGAACAUGAACGCAAGAUAUAAUACACAAUAUGAAGCCACUCAUGACCUAGAACCACUGAACAAAAUGGCGAAACUCAAAUCGACCAAUCGGGUCGUUAUAACAUCCUCAUAGAGCCGUCCUUCUUCUUCACAAAUAGAACUGGAGCACCCCAAGGUGAGACACUCAGUCGAAUGAAACCCUUAUCAAGCAACACAUGUAGCUAUUUCUUUAAUUCCUUCAACUACCAAUACUAAAAUCGAUAUCCCUAUUGGGCAGCAUACCCUAUAGGUCUGUUGGAAACACAUUUGGAAAAUCUCUCACUACUGAAACCGACUAAUUGGUAGGAGUAUCAGCACUAACAUCCUUCACAAAUGUUAGAUAUUCUUUACACCCCUUCUCAACCAUUCACCUUGCCUACAAAAAGGACACCACCCUGCUAGGAAUAUAAUCCAAUGUGCCUCUCCACUCCAAUCAUGGAAAACCUGGCAUGGCCAAUGUCACGCUCUUCGCGUGACAGUCCAGAAUACUGUGAUAGGGCGACAACCAACCCAUGUCCAAUAUCACGUCAAAGUCUACCAUAAUGAGUAGCAAAAGGUCAACUCUGGUCUCACAAUCCCCGAUAGUGACCAAACAUGACCGGUAAACAUGAUCUAUAAUAGUACAAUCUCUCACAAGCAUAGACACAUAUAUAGGGACACUCAAAUAAUCACGAGAUAUAUCUAAAUACGGAGCAAGGUAAGAUGACACAUAUGAAUAAAUGGAACCCAGAUAAAAAAAAAACUGAUUCAUCUCUAUGACAGACCAGAACCAUACCAGGGAUGAUAGCAUUUGAUGAAACAACCUCAGUACUACUUGAAAAAGCAUAGCAACGGGCUUGGCCUCCCCAUCUAGAUAUCCUCUACCCGCCUAACCCUCAACCCUAGCUGGCGGUGCAGGUGGAGCAGUAACUAGAGCACCAACCAUAGUUUGUGGACCCUGUGGAAUCCGUGGAGCGUGUGUAUCUUAUGGAGAUGCACCUCUCCUAUGGUUGGGAUACUCCCACACCAUAUGCCAUGUAUCACCAAACACGAAACAACCUCUCUGCGGGCAUGGCUAUUGAAACUGAGUCUGACCGCUGAAGGCACCUCGUACGAAAGGUGAACUGGAAAGUAGUUGUGCCCAAUAGGUGAUCUAAGACAUUAGAUUAGGUGGAGCACUGUGAGUAGCUGGGAGUGCUGAAUGAACUGGUCGACUCACAUAUCCUCUGCCAUGAUGAGUUGAAACUGCAGCACGGGCACCACUAAAUCCUUCAGAAUCUCGGGGCCUAUUGGCCUCCUAUCCUCCCUCUCCUGGAUAUGCAUACGCUCUAUCCUCCGAGCGAUCUCCACAACCUACUGAAAUGGAGUAUCCGUCUCCAACUCUCAUCUCCAACUCUCGAGCCAUGCUGAAUCUAAGACCAUAACUGAGCCCCUCGAUAAAUAUAUGGACUCGCUCUCUAACUAUAGAAACCAAAGCGGGUGCAUGACCAGAAAACUCACUAAACCUAUUGGCAUACUCCGACAUUAUCAUAGUCCCCUGAUGUAGCUGCUCGAACUCUAUGUGACACUCAUCCUGAAGGGUCUGGGAAAUGAAUUCCCUAAAAAACAUAAUUGAUAACUGAUCCCAAGUGAGUGGAACUGCAUUAGCUGGCCUACCCUCCUUAUAAGCCUGCCACCACCUAUAUGCUGCCCCUGACAGCUGAAAUAUAGUAAAGGUGCCUCUACUCACCUUCACAAUACUUAUAGUGCAGAGAAUGGUGGCACUUUAUAACGACCCGGUCGGUCGUUUUGAGAGUAUUAGCCCUAAACCCUUAUUUAUUGCACCCUCUAUUUCAUUUUUAGGAUUUGUGACUUACUGGGAGAAUUUGUUUUUGGUUUCAGAGUGACAUGGGACACAUAGUCCCUAAAAUAGAAGUUUAAGUUGUAAGGAAUCGACCGUAAUUUGAAUUGUGUGAAGACAACUCUGGAAUAGAGUUUCCACCGUUCCAAUAGCUUCAUAGGGUUAUUUUUGUCUUAGAAGCGUGUUCAGAUGUUGAAUUGGAGGUCCCUGUGUCAUAUUGGCGUCAAUUGGCAAAAGUUGGAAAAUUGGAUGAUUUUUAAAAGUUUGACCGAGAGUGAACUUUUUAAUAUUGAGGUCGGAUUCUGAUUCUGAAAGUUGGAGUAGCUCUGUAAUGUCAAUUAUGACUUGUGUGCGAAAUUUGAGGUCAAUCUGAGUUGAUUUGAAAUGUUUCGGCGUCAAAUGUAGAAGUUUAAAGUUUUAAAGUUAAUUAUGCUUGAAUCGAUGCACAAUUUGUGUUUUUAGCAUUGUUUGAUAUGAUCUAAAGGCUCGACUAAGUUCGUAUGAAUGUUUUAGGAAUUGUUGGUAAGUUUGGUCGAGGUCCUGUGGGCCUUGGGUGGAUUUCGGAUGGUUAACAGAUCAAAUUUGGACUUGGGAGAAUGGCUGAAAGCACCAGCUCUGGUGUAAUUGCACCUACGCAAGAUUGACCGUAGGUGCGAGCCCCCGGAAGCGGGCAUAUGGGCGCAGAUGCGGACUGGAGCAGUGUGGGCAGAGGUCACAGAUGCGAGGAAAAUUCUGCAUCUGCGAGACCGCAGAUGCGGGCUAGGAGGUCGCAAGUGCGCUGGAGCCGCAGAAGCGGACUGCUUCUCACAUAAGCAAGUCAGUAGAAGCGGAUAGGAGAUCGCAGAAGUGGAGGCAAGGCAACCUGGGCAAAACCGCAGAAGCUGUGCAUUUUUCGCAAAAAACGGGACCGCAUAUGCCGUCAAGUGAUCAAGUCUCCUAUACUUAUUUUUGAUCAAUAACCUUGUUUCCCCAUUGAUUUUCCCACCUAGAGUGUGUGUAUUUAAGGUGGAAUUUGGGAGUUGGAGGCUAGGGAUUUGAAGAGUUAAAUUUGGUGAUUUUAGUGGCGACUUGGUGUCGGAUUUUGGUAAUUUUGGUAUGGGUGAACUCGAUAUAGAAUGAGUAUUUUUCGAUUUGGAGACGUGGGCCCGGGUCGACAUUGUAGGGCAAUUUUUCAAUUCUUUGCUAAAGUCGUAGAUUUAUGAUUUAAAUUAGUUUCUUGUAGUUGUAUUCAUGAUAUGUAAUUGCUUUUGGCUAGAUUUGGGUCAUUCGGAGUCGAAUAAUCGAGGGAAAGGCAUCCUUAUCGAUUGAUUGAGCGAGAUUUGAGGUAAGUGACUUAUCUAACUUUGUGUGGGGGAAAUUCCCUUAAGAUUUGGUACUGUUGUAACAAUUUGUGAUAUGUGAGCACCAUGUAUGCGAGGUGACGAGUGCGUACACGGGCUAAAUGUGUAAAUUCCAGUUAUUGCCGAGUUUCUUCUUUUAAAUUCCUUAACUGAGUUUCCUUAGCAUAUGUAGUGAUCAUUUUUAGCCUAGUAUUGCAUGUCUACGUUCCUUAACUCUUACUUGCAAUUAGUGAAACAUGAUUAGUUGAAUUACUUGCUUCCCUUGAUUUGAAUUAAAUCUUUAACUGUGACAUAUUUACUUUGGGACUAUGAGCCGGUUCCUCGGGAGAUCCCCCCUUUCUUGCAUAUUUACUUUGGGACUAUAAGGCGAUUACUCGGGAGAUCCCCCUGUCUUGCAUAUUUACUUUGGGACUACAAGGCGGUACCUCGGGAGAUCCUCCCUGUCGUGCAUAUUUACUUUUGGGACUACAAGGCGGUACCUCGGGAGAUUCCCCUGUUAAGCAUUUACUUUUGGGUUACGAGACGAUACCUCGGGAGUGCCCCUGUUAUUUACCUUUAUUUACUAUGCUGAUAAUUUCUUAAACUUCUCAUCUUUUAAAUUCUUAGUCAUUUCAAAACUUAUCAUAUCAUCUGCCUUGCUUAUCUUUUAAACCAGUAGGGCCCUGACCUGACCUCGUCACUACUCUACCUAGGUUAGGCUUUGCACUUACUGGGUACCGUUGUGGUAUUCUGAUACUACACUUUUACACAUCUUUUUGUCCAGAUCCAGGUUGUUCCCACCAGACCAGAUACCAGUGAGUUGGACCGCAUGUGGAGACUUCAAUGUAUAUGUGCCAGUGUCCGCAGACCUCAGAGUCCCCCUCUAUCCUUACUAUGUUGUUUUCCUUAUUCCUUUUAGGCUCUGAUGUAUAGAGAUACUUAGUAUUUGCUCUUAGAAGCUUGUGACUUAUUUCUACCGAAUUUUGGGAAUUGUAAUUAUUGAUUUGCAGUUUAAUAUUUAUUUCAUGUGUUGAGAAUUGGGCUUCAGUUUUAUAUUAGGCUAUUCCUCAAAUUUGUUAGGCUUACCUAUUCUUAGAGACUAGGUGCCAUCACGACAUCCUAUGAAAGGUGAAUUGGGGUCGUGACACACUUGUCUAGAAAUCCAUGUGCAUCCUCAGUAAUUGCACCACUAUAAGUAGGAGGAUCAAACUUCUUAAACCUCUCAAGUCUCCCCUGCUCCUCCUCAUAUGCCUUUUGUCCGACCUCAUGCUGAACCGGAAUAACGGGUUGUGGUGGCAUAACUCCCAGAACAUGAUCAUCAUGGACCAGCUACUCUAGAGUAUGGGCCGCGGGAGUUUGAGCUCCUCCCCCAGCCUCAGAUGUUGCUGGGGUGACUGGAUCAAUCUUGCUUGAGCUAGAGUGUUGAACAUACUCAGAAAAUGUGCUGAACAUACUCAGAAAAUGUGCUAAAGUCUCCUAGAGUCUAGGGGUAUUAAUAGGCACCUCGAGUGCAUGUCCCCCAACCGAAGCUACAGGUGGCUCCUCGGUCGCUGCUCGGGCAGGUUCUCUGGCUGUAGCACGUGCCCCUCCUCAGCCUCUACCUCGGCCCUGACCUCUUGCGGUUCUAGCAGGGGGCGCGGGUGUCUCAUAAUCUGAUCCAGCAGUAUGUGUUCUCAUCAUUUGUAAGAGAAUAGAAAGACAAAGGCUCAGAUUUCGAAAUCAACAAAUCUACACGGUAAAAAAUCAAAGAAGUGGAGUUUUCCUAAUAGUUUUGUAGCCUCUCGAAGAUAUGUACAGACGUCUCCGUACCGAUCCGCAAGACUCUACCAAACUUGGUUAUGACUCGUAGCACCUAUCAACCUAGAGUUCUAAUACCAACCUGUCAUAACCCCAAAUUCCCACAUUAGGUAGUCAUGAUGGCACCUAGUCUCAAAGACUAGUUAAGCCUAACACAGAUUGAGAAUUUAACAGUAAUAACGACUAAGAUAUUAAAUUAAACUGAUAAAUAUUAUGGUAAAACCAAAAUGAAUCAACAGUUACAUAAUCCCCAAAACUGGUGAACUUAGUUAUAAGCUCUACUGAAAUAUACUAAGAAUCUCUAAUACAAUACUAUUCGAAAACAAGAGAAACAGUAGCAUAAGAUCUCUAGAAGGUUACUCUGAGGCCUGCGAGUGUCAGGCAGGUAUACCUUGAAGUCUCUACAAAGUCUGAGUCAACUCACUGGUGCUCGGCACGAGGAGAAUUACCUGGAUCUGCACAAAAAUGUGCAGAAGCGUAGCAUGAGUACACCACAAUGAUACCCCAUAAGUAUUAAUCCUCACCUCGGUAGAGUAGUGAUGAGGCUAGAUCAAGACACCUACUGGACAUAGAAACAUGUGUGGAAUAAUAAUAUAAUCUAACAACAGGGAAGUAAAGGCAAUAAGUGUCAGCAAGGCAAUUUAUCAAUACAAGGCUAACAAUGGAUAUAAAAGCAACAACUGGCAUCAAAGAGAGUACAUAUGAUAAAGACAACAAGUAACCAAUUACAUUCAAAAUAAGAAUGGAAUGAGGUAAGGAAAACAAAACAAUAACAGUCCAAAUCAACAAGCCUUUACAACAUAGAUUGUACAACAAGAAUCCACUAACGUACCACACCUCAUAUUCACAUUUCACAGAUCACAAUCACAAACUUCCUUAUAUCGUUCAAAACAAUUUUACCAAAAUAUCUUCACACGUUUUAGCCCCCUUAUAUCGCUGUGUGACUUCAAGUAAUUACCUUACUAGCAACACACGUAUAAAUCCCACCUUAUCUCACUGCAUGCGCAUCAAUAUCCAUCCUUAUACCGCCGCAUGUGCAUCAAUAUCACAAUAUAAUAAUCGACUCGCACCACAAAUGCCCAUAUGUUACAACAUUGCCAAAAUCGACAAUACCAAUGUCACCACAACACAUAGCCCACGGCUAAAUCACAAUGUGUACAAGAAUCUCAAUAACAACAAAAUGAAUGUGAAAUAACUCAAAGGAAAGGUAAUCCAAUAACCAACAAUUUCAACCACAAACGUGUUAAUAGCUCUCAACAUUUACAACUCCAAUAACUCAACAAUGAAUGUAUUUCCAUGAAAUGGCAACUUCAAAUUCUAAUACAUAAUAUAAGCUUAACAAUGAAAGAGAUAUCAUGAAAUAGAAACUACGACUAAAUGCAUGAGAAUAACUAAACAACGGAAAGAGUAGCUUGUAACAACUAUUAAUAAAUGCAUAUAAGAGUAAUCUCGACAAUGCGAACUAGAUCAUGUAACAACAAUUUCAAUUAAAACAUGUAAGAAUAAACUUGACAACGAAAGAGAGAACAAAUAAUAACAACUUCAAUUAAAUGCUUAUAAGUAACCUAAAAGUCUAAACCGGUCAAUUUUCAUAUAUAAGCCUGUGUACACACUCGUCACCUCAUGUACACGUCUUUCAUAUAAUUCAAAUAGUACAAUCAACCCAAUCCUAAGGGGUAAUUCCCUUACACAAAGUUAAGGAAGAUACUUACCUCAACUAGGCCAAAUGAACAUUCAAAAAUAGCUUUUCCCUUAAAUUUCACCUAUGCACGACUCAAAUCUAAACAAAAAAUAACUUAAUAUCAUCAAACAGUGCAAGAGAAACCAAUUACGAUUAAUAAAGCUAUAAUAUUUACACAAUUUCUCAAAAGUCAACCCCGGGCUUGCCUGGUCAAUACCUGAGUCCAAGGAUAGAUCUCGACUACCCAUAACCCCAUGAGUCCAUAUAUGUGUUUUGUUUUCAAAUUCGAGUCCAAUUCGACUCUCAAAUCUCAAAUUUAUAUUUUUUCAAAAUAUAGAUAAAACUUCCCAAAAAAUCUCUUAGAUUGUCACGAAUUUGAUGUUAAAUCUCAUACAUAAUCAUGUACUGUAAUUGGAAAUUGAUCCAAUUAAUUUACCCAAUAGUUGUAGGUGAAAAUCCGACCUCAAAAUGGCCUCCUUCGAGUCUAGGGUUCCUAAUAUGAUAAUGAGACCAAAUCCCAUUUUUCCAGCCCUUAUGUUCAGGUGCAGAAGUCGCAAUUGCGACCCUGAGUUCGCAAUUGUGAACCCUUGCAAAUGCGAAGCAUAGCUCGCAAAUACCGCGCCUGACAACCUAGGGGGAUGUCACAAAUAUGAUACAAACUUCACAUUUGUGAUGUCUGUCCCUCUCGUAGAUGCGACCAAUUGGUCACAUAUGCAAACCUACCUAGCCUAGGUCUUUCUUCACAAUUGCGAGUAACGCAUCACAAAUGCAAUACCUGCACCUCCCUGCCUAAUUUGCAAUUGCGAGGCUGGUGCUCGCAAUUGCAAUAACUGGCACACCAGCAUCCCAAAAAUGAAUUCAAACCAAUAUGAAACACAUCUAAAACUCACCCGAGCCCUCGAGGCUCCACACCAAAUAUCCACAAAAGUAUAAAAAUAUCAUAAAAACAUGCUCGCGUGAUAAAAAUACCAAAAAAAAUAUCCGGAACCACGAAUCGGUUAUCAAAACGCAUGAAAUUCUAAAGAAAAACUCAAGAACCUCUAGAAUCACAACCAAGCGUCCAAAUCCUAUCAAACCAACUCUGAAUUACACCAAAUUUUACAGACAAAUUCUAUAUAGCAAAACAGAUCUAUUCUAAGUCCCAAAACCUAAUUUUAAACCGAUAUCCAUAAAUUCAACAUACAACCAAACCUAAGGAAAUUCCUAAACCUCAAAUUACUAACUUUCGGCAAAAUAAGUUAAAUCAACAUAGGGACCUCCGAAUUAAAUUCUGGGUAUAUUCUCAUGUCCAAAAUAAUGAUACGAACCUAUCGGAUCCAUCAAAAUACCCUUCCAGGGUCAUUUUGACAAAAGUCAAACAUCAGAUAUCAUUUCUAACUUAAGCUUCUAAACUAAGAACCAAAGGGUCCAAAUCAUUCCAACACAUCCCCAAAAUGAAACUAACCAUCUCCGCAAGCCAUAAAAUAACAAAUAUACAUACGAGAAGUUUCAAAAAGGGAAACUAAAUACACAAAAUGACUAGUUGGAUCGUUACACGUCAUCCUCAACCAUCUCUUAGAAUUCAAACAAAGCACUAAGGUUUCGAUGGUGCUAUAAAUAGAACUUUGAAUGCUCUCACCAAACACACUGAAAUUAUAGAGAAGAGCAUUGAAGAACACAUAGACACACACUAAAAUUUAAGAAUGUUUUGUUGGUUUAAGUAUUUGGAAUUUCUUCUCUAAUUUCUUUUUUCUUCUUUCAUUCCUGCUCGAGUUCGACUACUGUAAAUUGGUUGUUGAGGGUGAGUUCUUAGAUGGCUACUAAUUCUCUUUACUUGGUUUGCUGCUCUGGAAAAGUUCAGUGAAUAUUGACUUCCCUUGUUAUUCUUCAACUAAUUAUGUGGCUCUUUGUUUGAUAUUUUCCCUGUUAAUCAUUUGUUAUUCAUGAUACACAUCAGUAACAUGUGACUCUUCUUGCUAUGUUCUAAUUUUUGUAUUUUUGAGUUAAUUAUGUUUUCUGAUGAUUAUAUUAUCUCCAUGUUGUUGUUGAAUUCUUUUUCUUAUGACUUAGCUAGUUAAAAUGAUUCUACACUGUUGUUAUCCUCAUAAGCAAUCAUGUUGAGACUUCAUGAUUAGUUAAAUAGAACCUUAUGUUAAAAAUUAUAUGUGUGAUCCACCCAUGUUAAUUUAACAAUAGCCAUAUAUAUAGUAUCAUGUCAACUAUGCUAACUGAAUCAUGUUCUUGAACUUCUCUUGAUGUUUUGUUAAGAUUUUAUACCUGCAACAAUAUGCUACCUUGAUAUCUAUGCCUGUGAUAUUGUGUUACAUUGUUUUAGUUCAAUGAAUGAUUCUCAUUAUUGCUCAUGUUCUCAUGUUUGAUAUGUUUGCCUAGAUGACUUUAGCUGGCAGUCUUGUUCAUAAUGUUAUGUUGUUCUUUACAUUUAAGAUAGAAUGGUUCAUGUGUGUCUACCAUGAAAUUUGAAAUAAAUGAAAUCAUGUGAUAGACUUGUUAGCAUGAAUUAUAACCAAACCUACCUACUUGAUGUAUUCUGCUUGUCCUGUCUAAGUCAGCCAUGAUAUGAGGGUCAGUUUUUGCUAUCUCAUGACUGUUUGACAUCACUGUUCAUGGAAGUACUCACUCAUAAGCCUGAAUAUUAUUUGGUUCUAGUAAUUUGAAAGCUGGUAGACUGUGUAUUAUCAUAUCUAGGUACCUUGCAUAUUAGGUUUAAAUAAAGACUAAAGCUAGCCUUCCCAUUCAUGUUAAUAUCCCUAUUAUCCUAGUUGAUUGGCAUGCCCCUUUGAAUUCUGAGUAAAGUUAUUAGCAUGAGUGUUUAAUGAAGUAAGAUUGGCAUGAACCUACUUAAGAAAGUUCUGAAGUAUUGAACCUUUAGUAGAAUUAAUAGGACAAGUACAUAUGCCUCUCUUUUUCACUUGCUGAUGCUUUAGACUACUCAAUAAGACAUCCCUAAAUUUGAAGUUGUAAGAAAUGGAACCUAUCUACUGGCAGCAUACAACCAGCCUUCUUUGCUUUGUGAAUUCUGCUUAACGGUGUCCUAAUAGUGAUCCUCAUAAGUGUUGUGCACAUGUUUCAAUACUUAGAAUCAGCAUUAGUACUUUUUGUUACCAUCGGAACAUUAGUGAUCCAGUUGUAGGGACUUGUUCUUACAUUUCGUGCUGUGUUGAGAAUAUAGCAAGGUCAAUAUUAUGUUAAGUCCUUAGCUUCUUAUGGUUUGGCACUCUAAUGAUGGCUGCAAUGUUUGAUAUGGUUGUUUGAUUUCAAGUUGUUGUUUCUGUAUGGCUAAAUCUUUGAAAGUUUUAUGAUGAACCUUCUGUAUUUGUUACUUUCAUGUUCUUUGUUGGUUAAGUUAUUGAGUUAACAUUUGUUUGCGCUUAAACCUUUGAGGAAGAUUAAUGGUAAAUGUUCAGGGGUAUUUGGGAGUGAGCCUUGCUUUGUGGUUGAGGCACCCCUCCCUGGCACAAGCACUGCUCGGGGUCCAUGAGACCCUCGUGAACUCUUAAGUGUCAGUGGUCCAUAGGGGAACUUCAUAAAUAAACAUGGUUCAUCCUAAGCCCUUGGCCACUUACAUUAAUUAAUCUUCAUAGGAUUAGCACAAAUAAAAAAAUUAAUUUUACUGUAUUCCUUAGAUAUUUUGUCAUUACUUAUUAUAAUUUGUCUUACUUCAUCUUAUGUUGAUAUAUGCUAAUCAUUAUCUCUUUCUUUCCUAUGCAUGAUCAUUGGGCCUGCUGAGUUCAUUUGUAACUCAGGCCUAAGCUUAGGGAAUUGGGUUGAUCUCUUAGUCGUCUGUCCAAGUCCGUUGUUGCUAGAGUCAAUCUGGGCCUGGCUACUCUGCCAACCUAAUAUAGAAGAGUCCAACUUACUCCCUUUACUUAAAUAUAUACUAUUGUUAUUUCAUUUUCAUGUAUAUGUCUUUGGAUAACUAACAUUUUUAUUGGAUAUAUGUGGUUAUUUUUGAUUGAUUAGGUAGACCUUAAGGCAAGCCAAAAUUUGAUAAUUAAAAGGGUAAUUAUUAUUAAUAACCUCUUAACGACCUUAACAUUUCUUUUUUAAAAAAAUAUUGAGUGUUCUUGAAGUUAACUGAUUUUGAUAACUAAUCUUUUGUUUAUCUUUUAAUGAAGUUUAUUUUGGUUUUAGGCAUCAACAAGGUCCAUAUAAGAUUAAAAGGAAAUAGAAUUCAAAAACGAGUCAAAAACAGAAACGCCUCUGAAAGGUUUUCGAAAUGCACCAAACUAUUUCAAAGCGAAUGAGACAACCAUAUUUUUUUCAAAAAAAAAUGAAGUGAACCAUGCCAUUUUAAGAAAAUCAGAUACCUCUUAGAAAUAUAAGGAGUCUUUUCGCCCAAAACCACUUUCAACAAACAGAUGAGGUAACUUUGUCAUAUAACACGAACAUAUAUUCUUAUUUAUUAUACAAACACAAAUAAGAAGAUUUCAGAAUAAGAAUUGCAAUAUCAAAAGUAAUUAUACCAUCAUUUCUCAAAACAAAGACAAAUUUCAAAUAAGCUUUAUGCAUUUCUCUCGCUUUUACAAAACAUUUAGUAAUUUAUGAUCACUAACCAACCAGAACAUAGGUAUUUCUUUCCGUGAACCUAGCCUAAGUUUAAGGAGCUACCUCAGGUAGAUUUUAAGUGAUGCGUAACACCUUCCCCUUAGAAUAACUAGAACCAUUACCCAAAUUUGACCGGUUAGCAGACCAUUAUAUGUACCCUAGUAUACCUUAAAUUAGGUGGCGACUCUUUUUAUAACCUUCAGAAGAACCACUAGUUAUUUUUUAUUUUGACCUGUUCAAAAUAUGGUCCAACAUCCUCACUCUCUCUCCCUCGGUUGGAAUCAAAAUAAUAGCAUGACGGGACAGCUCUGUGAACCUCAUCUCAUACUCAAUAACUGAUAUUGAACCAUGUUGAAGGUGCUCAAACUGUCUCCUCAGCUCCUCUCUCCUAGUGAGGAGUAUGAAAUUCUCCAAAAAGACCCUAGAGAACAGAUCCCAGGUAAGAGGAGGUAAUCUUGCUAAUUGACCUAUCUCUUAAACCUACCACUACCUAUUGCCCGAACCCCACACUUGGAAGGCACUGAAAUCAACUCCAUUGGACUCCACUAGUCCCAACUUGCAUAGAAUCUCAUGCCAAAUUCAAGAAUCCCUGGGAAUCCUAUGAAGGUGUACCACUCAAGUGAGGAGGAUGCAAAUUGAUGAACUCAUCUAAACUUUUCAUCUCAUCAUCUGACAUCGCGGGCCUAUCCUCAAGCUACGUGGCAAUAGUAGGAUGAACUCCCCCAACUGGUUACAUUGUAAAAGCCUGAAAACCAUGGGCCACCUUCUCUGGGGUAUGGGUAGCUGGAGUGUGCACUUUGCCCCCUACAUAGGAAGUAGCUGGUAUAAUAGGGUCCUGGCCUAAGCCAAACUCUCAAACCACCCAACCAUAUGGACCAAAGCAUCCUGAACAGUUGGGGAAACAAAUAGGCCUUGAGGAACAUAGGCUGGUACGUCCGCCUCAUCAUCAUAGUCAUGAACCUAAUCCUCAAUCGCAUCUACCAGUGGCUCCACGGCAUCUGCACAAGCAAAGGCUCUAGCCGUGGCGCAUUCUCUAGACGUAUAUCGGGAUCAAGACCGGCCUCUCACGGACCUAGCUUAGGGUACCGGUGCCUGCUCAUCUAAACCACGCGAUCGUGUCCUCACAUUCUGUCAGAGAAGAGAAAAUCAAGGAUUCAGGUUUAGAGGUAAACAAAUCUGCACGACAACGAAUGAAAGAAAGUGAUGUUUCCUAACAUCCCUAUAACAUCUCGAAGAAAAGUACAGACGUUACCAUACCUACUCUACAAGACUUGCUCAUGACUCGUGAGACCUUAGCAAUCUAGUAUUUUGAUACCAACUUGUCACGAUCCCAAAUUCAACCAAAGUCGUGACAGCGCCCAACACUUCUUGCUAGGCAAGACAACAUCAAAUAUACAAAAAUAAAUUGUAACAAUGACAAGAAAUAGCCUCGAAAGCAUAAUAUGAUAGAUAGCUAAAGCAAUAUAGCGAUACAACUGCAAUACCAUCCUAGAACAUGGUGUCAACGAGUACAUGAGCUCUAGAGAAUAAUUAAAAACAACUGUUUGAAUAACGAUACAAUAUUGUCUGAAGUACAUAAACAAUAAUAACAAAAGUGAAAUAAGGGACUCCAAGGCCUACGGACGGAAAUAACAGUGCUUACCUUGAAAUCGCCAAUGGGAACCGGUGUAACUCUCUAAAACCAGCUCUAUCAGCAGUACCUGGAUCUGCAUAUAAGGUGCAGAGUGUAGUAUGAGUACAACCGAACCCAUGUACUCAAUACCUAGCAAGCCUAAACUUGGAUUGAAGAUACUGACGAGAUUGGCAAAGUCCGCUACUUAGUUUCAAUAUUCAACAAUAACAGCAACAUCAUCAUCAUAUCAUCAUCAUNNNNNNNNNNNNNNNNNNNNNNNNNNNNNNNNNNNNNNNNNNNNNNNNNNNNNNNNNNNNNNNNNNNNNNNNNNNNNNNNNNNNNNNNNNNNNNNNNNNNNNNNNNNNNNNNNNNNNNNNNNNNNNNNNNNNNNNNNNNNNNNNNNNNNNNNNNNNNNNNNNNNNNNNNNNNNNNNNNNNNNNNNNNNNNNNNNNNNNNNNNNNNNNNNNNNNNNNNNNNNNNNNNNNNNNNNNNNNNNNNNNNNNNNNNNNNNNNNNNNNNNNNNNNNNNNNNNNNNNNNNNNNNNNNNNNNNNNNNNNNNNNNNNNNNNNNNNNNNNNNNNNNNNNNNNNNNNNNNNNNNNNNNNNNNNNNNNNNNNNNNNNNNNNNNNNNNNNNNNNNNNNNNNNNNNNNNNNNNNNNNUAUAAUUAAAGGGAAAGCAACUCAAGAAUAACAAGCUCAACUUAUUCACAUUAACAUGAAAUAGGCAUGCUUUCAAAUCAAAUCAACUAAGUCCUCAAUUUCAAGAUAUAGAAUUUCAUUAGCAUGAGAAAGAUACAUCUUUAUUAUGCUUGCAUGGCAAGUAACAAUGCCAAAGUCAACGAAUUCACAAUGAAAUUAUCAAAUAAGCACACUUUUGGCACUGUACGAGUGCCUGGAAUAAAGUCCACCACUCAGCACAUACUAAGUGCUUGCACUCACAUAGCACAAAGACCAUGGGUUAUCACCUGACUUUGGAGGGGCGGUUCCUAGCCCAAGUGAUAAUCGGAUCAAAAGUCAACGAUCAUCAUUACUCAUCCCAAAUAUCCCGGUGCACGCGCCACCUCAAUAUCAAUACCGCUCAGCCUAAUAGGGGCUUGGUGUGUAUGCAUCACCUUAGUAUCAAUAUAAAUACGGAUCUACAGCCCAAAUUCAGUCAUUAAUCCACUCAAAUAAUAAUAUGCCAAUAUCUUACAGUAUCAGAAACCAAUAAACCGCACAAGUUAUACCGAUAUGCCAUAAAUCGACUCAAACCUGUAGUACUCAAGUAAGAAAAGCAAUAACAUGUGAGAUAACAGGUAAGAGAUUUACAUAAAUGGUGAAAUAACACUUGGAUAUAUUAUCAUGAUUGAAAAGUAUGACUACAAUCAUGGAAAAUAGCUCGACAUAGCAAAAUAGCCCUAUCAUGUCUCAAACGGAUAAGCACAUUGCCUAGACAUGAUUAUUAGCAUGAAUAAUAAUCCAAGAUGUCAUACAAGUAAAGAAAAUACAGUAUCAUGAAGGCAUGAUCGCAAAACAAGGAACAUAAUAGCUUAAGGUCUACCCUGAUCAUGAAUAACCCUAGUGUACGCAAAUACGCUCGUCACCACGUACGCGCAUCACCCCAUCACAUGGCAAGGAUCAAAAUCUACGAGAAAAAUAUCCUUAAUCCAAGCCUAGGCAAGAUAUUUACCUCAAGGCGUGAGAAUCAAUACUCCAAAAAACCUUUCCCACGCCGACCUCCAAAUUGCUCGAAUCUAGGCAAAAAUAACACAAUAAUAUCAAACACAACUAUAAAAAUCUAUUCCAAGUAAUAAAGCUCCAAUCUUUAUCAAAUAGAAAAAUUUCAAGAUAAAAGUAAACCCGGCCCCCCAUCCUAGAACCCGACAAAAAUCAAAAAUUCCGACUACCCAUUCGAAUAUGAGUCCAUAUAAGUUUAAUCCAAAUUCGACUCCGAUUUGAGGUCCAAAUCUCUAUUUUCACUCUCCAAAACCAUAGUCAAAAUCCCCAAAUUUCUUCGUAAAACCCCAUAAUCUAUAUGUACCAUGGGUAAUAAAUAUAUAAUAUUAAAAUUAAGUAGAAAUCACUUAACCUCUUGUUUUGUGUGAAAAUCCAAUGCAAAAAUCGCCCAUCUCCAAGUCAAAGGCUCAAAAUAUGAAAUAACGAGUCUAAGUCCCGAAUUAGACAACUUAAAAGUUAGCCCAUUGAUAUUAUUCGCGAACGCAGCAACUUUCCCGCGUUCGCAAAGCACCGAAUUUCUCUACCAAAAGUGACCCUUCACGAAGCGGCCCCCAGCCCGCAAAAGCGAAGCACAAAGCACCACUGACCUAUGCGAACGCAGUCAUCCUCCCGCAAAUGCGAAGGCCAAGUGCCCGACCAACCCAGCUUGCCUUCCUUCAAUGCAAAUGCGAGUCCCUGAUUGUGAAUGCGAAGGCCACUUAUCACCAAAGCAUCGCGAACUUGACUCCCCUUUCACAAACGCGAAGAACAAAAUGACAUUUCCCCAAAAUUAGCCUUCGCGAUCGCGAGACCUGCUCCGCUAUCGCAAAGCACACCAGACUCCAACAAAAUUUCUGCAGUCCAACCAAGCUUAAAUGAUCUGAAAUCCAUCGAAACACUCCCGAGCCACUCGGAACUUCAUCCAAACAUACCAAAUAGUUCCAAAACAAAACUCGAACUUAAUCGCGGUCUCAAUCACACAAAGUAACAUGAAAAAAUACAUAUUGAACCUCAAUUCAAGCUUAAUGAACUAACCAACUUCCAAUGCUCAAAACUUAUUCUGAACCACGUCUAACCAACUAGGAAUAACUCCACAUUUUGCACACAAGUCCCAAAUUACAUAAGGAUCCUAUUCUGACUCCAUGAACAACAAUCUGAACCCGAUAGCAUCAAAGUUAACUCCUAGUCAAACCUAUGAACCCUCCAAACCUUCAAAUUUAAAACUUUUGACAAAUUGAGCUAGAUCAACCUAGGAACCUCCACAUCCAAAUCUGGAGAUGCUGAAGUCUAAAAUCACCAUACGAACCUAUUGGAACCAUCGAAACACUAUUCCGAUGUCGUUUACCCAAACGUCAAACCUCGAUCAACUCUUAUAAUUUAAGCUUCCAAUCUUGGAACAAAGUAUUCCAACUCAUUCUAAAACUUUCCUGAAAACACACUAACCAUACCCGCAAGUGAAAAAACAACAAAGAAGCAUACAGGAAACAUCAAAUAAAUGGGGCUCAAAUACACAAAAUGACUCACUGAAUCGUUAAACAUCCCCAGACAUGAUAUAAAUUUUGUACGUACAUGUCACGACCCGAAAUUUCCACCUUCGGGGUCGUGAUGGCGCCUAACAUUUUACUUGCUAGGCAAGCCAACGUUAGAGGAUCUUUAAGCCAUUUUUUUAAUCAAUUCAAUUAAGUAAAACCAAUUAAGCCAAAGAGAAACUAAAACGGAAUACAAAUGAUAUAAAAUAAAUAAUAUCUAAGUACAACCCGGAUCUGGAGUCCCAAGUUCAUGAGCUUCUAGAAUCUCUAUAAAAUAGGGUUUGAAAUAAAUACAACUGUCUCGAAUGAAAAGAACAGUAAAUAGGGGAAAUGGAAGGGGACUUCAAGGUCUGCAGAUGCCAGCAGAUCUACCUCGAGUCUCUGAAUGCUAAUUCGAGCUGAUACGCCUCACGGACAGCUGUGACUAGUACCAAAAUCUACACAAGAAGUGCAGAGUGUAGUAUGAGUACAACCGACCUAAUGUACUCCGUAAAUGUCGAGCCUAACCUCGACGAGGUAGUUACGUGGCUAUGACAGGACACCCACGUAAAUAAACGUGUACAGACAGAAAUAUACGUAGAAAAUAAUAGCAAAUAAAUAAUUAACAAGUACAAUUGGAAGGGGACAUGCGAAAGGGGUACAAGAUACAGUAACUACAGCAAGGAAUAAUAAUAAGAAUCAGUCAAUAAUCCUUCAAUCAACAAAAUGAACAAGCAUAAUGAAUAAAACUCUACGACAUCACCCUUCGUGCUUUUACUCGCAACCUCACUAUGAAACAGUAAUAACAGCACGACAUCACCCUUCGUGCUUUUACUCUCAAUCUCACCAUAAAAUGAUAAAUACAGCAUGACAUCACCCUUUGUGCUUUUACUCUCAAUUUCAUCAUGAAUCAAUAGAUAUGACACGGCAUCACCCUUCGUGCUUUAACUCUCAUAUACGGCACAUCAUCACCCUUCGUGCUUUAACACUCUCCCUUACCAUGUAAAAUGAACAUAUAAAAAUAGGGAGAUGGAAUAAGAAAUAACAAGUCUUACGUCUACAAUAGUUCCAUAAUACCAAUAUCAACUUCAGAAACAAUACUCAAUUAUCAAAUAUAGCUCAUAAGUACGGAAAGAACGAUCAAUUUAUCAAUCAACUAGUCUAAGCAUGGAUAUCAGGAUCAAAGAAAGAGAUAGAUUACAAGAAACAAGUUCCAUCCGCAUGCUUUAACCCAAUAACAACGCAUAAGUAAUCGUCACCUCACAUAUAUGUUGUAUACAAUAUUUAAACAAGUAGCCAAUAGAUAAACAAGUCCUAAUCCCUCAAGUUAAGGUUAACCACGACACUUACCUCGCUCCCAAAGAUCAACUCAAAGCUCAACCACGGCUUUGCCUUUCAAACAAGCCUCCGAACCAAUUAAAUCUAGCCAAUUAUCAACCAAAGGAUUCAAAAUAAGCUUUAGGAACUACCCACGAAUGAAAAAGGUUCAAUUUUGGCCAUUAUUGAAAAAGUCAACAAAAGUCAACUCCCGAGCCCGCUUGGUCCAAACCCGAAAUUCGGACCAAAAUCUGAUUACCCAUUCACAACCCCCCCCCCUCCCCCUUCCCCCCGAGCCCGAUUAUGUAAUUUGUGUUGAAAUCCGACCUCCAUUUGAGGACUAAAUUCUAAUUUUACAAAAAUUUCUAAUUUUUUCCAAACCCCCAAUUUCCACCAUAAAAAUUCUAGAUUUUUGGUUGAAAUUUUAUGAAAUGAAAUGGAAAAUUGAAAGAAAAUAGGUUAGAAUAACUUACCAAUGAAUUGGGGAAGAAGGGCUCUUGGGAAAAUCGCAUUAGGGUUCUCUAGGUUUGAAAUUUUGAAAAAAUGAGAGAAAUCCUAUCUAACUUAGCUUAAGUCCAAGCGCAGAUGUCACAAAUACGAAAAACUCUUCGCAAAUGCAAAGUUCUCACACCUCUGCUGCCAUCGCAAUUGCGAUGGUUUGUUCGCAUUUGCAAACUUGAACUCUUCGCAAUUACGAUCAUUUUGAUCGCAAAUGCAGACACUGCCUUCCUUAGCCCACUUCGCAAUUGCGAAGAAAUUGGUAGCAAAUGCGAACCUGACAGGGAUUCUGCAAUAUCGCAAAUGCGAAGCCUGAGGUCUGAGGCCUGCACCAGAAACUGAAGAGCACCAGCUAUGUAGCUUAUCCGAAACUUACCCGAGCUCUCGGGGCUCCAACACUAAUAUGCACGCAAGUCUAACAACAUCAUACGAACUUGCUCGCGCGAUCAAAUUGCCAAAAUAACACCUAGAACCAUGAAUCGGACACCAAAUCAAAUAAAAUUUUUAAGAAAAUUUUAGAACUUCUAUUUUAACAACCGGACGUCUGAAUCAUGUCAAACCAACUAUGUUUCCCACCAAAUUUGACAGACAAGUCAUAAAUACAGUAAUGAACCUAUAACGAGUUUCAGAACCAAAAUACGGAUCCGGUAUCAACAAAGUUAAAUAUUGGUUACACUUUAUAUUCAUUAAUCCUUUAAACUUCAAAAUUUCGACAAAAAGCGAUAACUCAAGCUAGAGACCUCCAAAUUCGAUUACGGGCAUACGCCCAUGCCUCAAAUCAUGAUACAGACUAAUCGGGACCGUCAAAAACACGAAUCCGGGUAUGUUUUCUCAAAAUAUUGACCGAAGUCAACUCGAAUGGAUUUUUAAAGCAAAAUUUCAUAUUUUAUCAACUUUUAACAUAAAAGCCUUCCGAAAAAAUACCCGAACUGCACAUGCAAAUCGAGGUAGGCCUAAAGAAGCUAUUGGAAGCUUUAGGACACAGAAUUAAGAUUUAAAAUUCUAGAUGACCUAUCGGGUUAUCACAGUGCAUAUACGCUCGCCACCUUGCAUAUACACUGUACAUUAAAUAUAUAUAAAUCAAGUCAAAUCGUAGGGGUUUUCCUCUUAACAAAGUUAGCCACGAGACUUACCUCUUCCCGGGCUAUCUUUAAUCAUAAAUUGCGUCAAAACCCCACUCUAGCCCUCCAAUCAUGCAAAUCCAAACUAAACAUAAACUAAGGAAGUAAUCCCAAAUCAAAAAGCAUCAAUCUUUGAUGAAUUCCCAAAAGUAAAAAUAAGUCAACCCGAGCUUUCGUGCUCGAAAUUCGAAAUCAAUACAAAAAUCCGAUGACCCAUAACCCGUCGAGUCUAUAUAUAUAUAAUUAGUUUCCAAAUCUGGGUUCAAAAUUGAUGGUCAAAACCUCAAAAUACAAUCUCUUAAAGUGUAGACAAAAACCAAAAAUGUUUCUUUUAAAAUUCCAUCUUUUAGGUGUAGGAAGCCAUGUAGAUUCUUGAAAUAUAUUCACAAAUAGGUAGAAAUGAUAACCUUCUUGCCUUCUGUGAAAACCUCCAUGAAACAUUGUCCUUAUCCAAGUGUAGGGCUCAAUAUAUAAAAGAAUGGUAAAACUAUGAAAUAUGACACCUAUGUAUUCUGCCCAGAAGAACCCUUCGCGAAUGUGAAACAAGCCUCAUGUUCACAUAGUACAAAACAAAGUUGCCCAUGAAAAUAAUCUACGCGAUCGCUUAUAUGCCCCGCGAUUGCAAAAGCCAACAGCCCAACACACCGCGACGCGAGCUCAACCUUGCAAACACGAAAGCCAAUGAGCCAUCCAGCCUCCUCUGACUCUAUGUGAACGCGGCCCCUGGCACGCAGAUGCGAUGACCAAACUUUCUAGCACAACGUGAAAGCGAAUAAACCAUGCGAACACAAAUAAUACAGUCCUAGCUCCCAAACACAUAUCGUGAAUGCGACACCUGAAGUGCGAACGUGAAGCACAAAAGCCAAGCUGGCCAAAAUCCUUCUCCAUGAUCACGAGCCUAGCUCCAUAAUCGUGAAGCACUGCAGAAUAACUACAAUACAGCUGCUCUAAAACACAUAAAAAUAGUCUGAAAUUAUCUAGGAUCACACUCAAGCCCCUUGAGACCCCGUCCAUUAAUCAUACCAAUAAGUUCCAAUACAAUAUCCAAACUUAUCCAAAGGCUCAAAAUGCAACAAAUAACAUCAAAACUUCGAAUCAAUGAUCAAAAUCAUUCUCUUAACUUUCAAACAUUUCAACUUCGCCGAAAUCGUCUGAAUUACUCUUAAAUAUUUCGGAUCACAACCAAAUUUUGCACACAAGUUUCAAUCUACAAAAUGAACUUAUACAUGGUCUCAACAUCAGAAUCCAAGUCCAAUAAUACCGAAGUCAACUUCCGGUCAAACUUAUGAACCUUUUAAUUCUUCAAAUUGCCAAAUUUUGAAAAAUAGAGCCAAAACCUUCCAGGAACAUACGAAUUCAAAUCCGAAUAUAUACCCAAGUCCAAAAUUACCAUAUAAACUUAUUAAAACCAUCAAAUCUCGAUUCCGAUGAUGUUUACUCAAAAGUCAAAUAUUGGUCACUCUUCCAACUUAAAGCCUUUAAAUUGAGAGUCCUUCUAUCAAAUCAAUCUCAAACCUUACGAACACCAAAACGGCCAUAUACGCAAGCCAUAAUGCAUUAUAUGAAGCUACUCAAAAUCUUAAAUCGCCAAACAUAAUAUUAAAGAUCAAAACGGAUGGUCGGGUCGUUACAUAAUAAGACGCAAGAUAAUGACCUUCUGUCUCUAGUAGAAAAUAUUUGUCCAAUGGAUGUAAAACGAAAAUAAAAAGAAGAGACUCAGGGGUGAUCUUUAAUGAAACUCGUCUUAGGGUAUGCUCUUCGCGUGUGUAUUAUAUAUUAAUGAGUAUAUAAUUUUAAAAAAAUUAGGUAAAUAUUAGUGAUAAAGUGUUUGAGCAAUAAAAUAAAAAUUUAAAAAGUAAGUUUUUCAAAAUAAUUAAGAUUGAUCCAUUUAGCUAGCUCAAUAAAGGAAGAAAUCAUGUCCCAUAGAAGUCCCCAUAUGCCUUAUUGUGAUUUUAUGAGGACAAUGUAAAUUCUAAUGAUAUCUAAUAUNNNNNNNNNNNNNNNNNNNNNNNNNUUAAAUUAUAAUUAUGUCUAAUGUGAAAUUAUAACGACCCGGCCGAUCAUUUUUAUUAUUAUAGCCAUGUUUCCCAAUUUAUUUCCUAUACUGUGUUUGUUGUUAUGUGACUUUUCAGGGUGGUUGGUUUGAUUCCGGGGAUGUUUCGGAAUGAAUUGGGACACUUAGUCCCAAGGUUGGAAGCCUAAGUUGAAAGAGUUGACCGGAUGUUAACUUAUGCGUAAAUGACUCCGAAAUAGAGUUUUGAUGGUUCCGAUAGCUCCAAAUGGUGAUUUUGGACUUAGGAGAGUGUCUGGAUAUUAAUUUGGAGGUCCGUAGGUAAUUUUGGCUUGAAUUGGCGAAAGAUAGAAAUAUUGAAGUUCGGAGAGUUAAGAAAUUUGACCGAGAGUUGACUUUUUGGUUCUGAAAGCUAGGAUAGGUCCAUUGUAUCAUUUAUGGCUUGUGGGCAAAAUUUGAGGUUAAUCGGAGUUGGUUUGAUAAGUUUCGGCAUCGAUUGUAGAAGUUGGAUAUUCAAUAGUUUCAUUAGGCUUGAAUUGUGGUGCAAUUCGUGUUUUUGAUAUUAUUUGAUGUGAUUUGAGUCUCGACUAAGUUCGUAUCGUAUUUUAGGACUUGUUGGUCUAUUUGGUUGAGAUCCUGGGGGUAUCGGGUGGAUUCUGAAUGGUUAACAGAACAAAAGUUGGACUUGAAGCAUUGCUUAGAUAUUUAUCUUAUGGUGUGAUCGUACCAGCGAGGGGAUUAGCCAUAGGUGUGAUGCUGCAGGUGCGGAUGAAGUGGCCAAGGUAGUGUCACAGGCGCAAAGAAGAAGCGCUUUUGUGAGUCCGCAGAAACAAACUAUUAUUCGUAGGUGCGAAGUUUUGGAAAUUUGCUUAGGCACGAAGGUGCGGACGCAGGGCCGCAGCCGCGGUCUCGCAGGUGCGAGCUUUUGGCCACAGAAGCGGUAGGUCGAGGAUUGAAUGUUUUUUGUGGAAGCAAAUUUUGACCGCGAAAGCGGUACCGCAGAAGCGGCUAAAUGGGCUACAUAAGCGGAACCACUGGCAGUGUAUUAAAUUCGAAGGGUUUCGAGAUUUCUUCAUUUUCGGACUUUGCAAGCUCGGUUGGAGGCGAUUUUUGAGAGGGCUUUUACAAGAUUUCAAGAGGUAAGCAACUUUUGGUCAUUUUUAUCUAUUAAUAUUGAAUAUCCAUUGAAUUUCCCCCAUAGAUUUGGUGUUUUCGAGGUGAAAAUUGGGAAAUUUUGGACUAGCGAUUGGAGAGUAAGAUUUGGGGAUUUGAGUGACGAUUUGAUGUCGGAAUUGGGUAAUUUUGGUAUGGUUGGACUCGUUCUUGAAUGGGUGUUUGGAUUUUAUUAAUUUUGUCGGAUUCUGAGAUAUGGUCUCGGAGUUGACAUUUUGGGUUGAAUUUUUGUUAAAGAACCUAGCUUUAUCAUAUGGAAUUGAUUUCAAUAGCUUGUGUUGAUUGUAUUAAGUUAUUUGUGGCUAGAUUUGAGUCGUUCGGAGGCUAAUUCACGAGGAAAGGGCUUGUUGGAAUAGUGAUGACCGCGGUUUGAGGUAAGCAACACUUCUAAACUUAGUUCUGAGGGUAUGAAUCCCUGAAAUACGUGUUAUAUGGUUAGUACUGAGGUGACGCACAUGCUAGGUUACAGGCGUGUGGGCGUGCACCAAAGUAAUUGGGACUCAGUUGAUUCUGUGGGACUGUGCAGUCAUCUAAUCUUGUUAUUAUCCACGUAUUCUCCAUGUCUUAGAGAAAUUGAGUUAUUAUCCAUGUUAGAAAUCAUGCUUAGGCUAUAUGCUGGUACUACUUGGACCCACAGAGGUCGUUUUGAUGCUGAAUUGUUUGCUUAAUUUGCAAUUAUAUACUCAGUCACAUCUAUCGUUUGCAUAUGAUAUCUCGGUCUCUGUUAUCAUUUAUUGUUACAUCAUAUUUUCAUAUUUGGGCUGAUUUUCAUGAGAUUUGUGAGCCCGAGAGACUGGAGAGAUUGAUGACUGAGUGGGGGCCUGAGAGCCGUUUUGUGAGUGAGGUGUGGAUCGGGCUGCACGCCGCAGCAGGCCUUCUUGGCUUUAUAUAUAUUAUUAUUAUGGAUCGGGCUUUACAUGCUUUAUAUAUUAUUAUUAUGGGAUCGGGUUGCACGCCGCAGCAAGCCAUAUUGGCUUUAUAUUAGCACUUUGGCAGGAUCCGCCCCUCCGGAGUUUGACAUACUAGCAAUGAGCGUAGGUACUAUACAGUGCUGAGUGACUGAGUGUUAUAAGUGAGGGUUGAGACAGUCAGAUUGAAUACUCUGAGAGUGUAGUACGUGAGGUUAUCAUUGUGAUGCAUUACAUAUGGCAUGCACAUUUGACAUGUAGAUAUAGAGAUGUAGCAUUCCUCAUAUUAGUCAUACUUGGCAUAUUUUUUCUGUGCUGAGCUUAAACUGUUAAACUUGAAAACAUGUCUACAUUCCUGUAUUGUGUACCAACUGAUUAUGAGUUUUCUCUGAGAUAUUACUGUCAUUAUUUUCCUAUCAUAUCUGUACAGUAAUAAUCUGGAUUUGGAUUGUACCUUUCUGAGCUCGUCACUGCUUUCAGUCCAAGGUUAGUCCGAUUACUUAUUGAGUACAUUGGGUCGGUUAUACUCAUACUAUAUUCUGCACUUCGUGUGUAGAUCCAGGUACUUCUGGAUACGGCGGUUUCUAGAUUUGGAUCUUCAUCUGUUUGGAGACUAUUGAGGUAGUUGCCUUGGCGUCUGUAGACCUCGACUCUCCUUCUUUUUCAGUUUAUUUGCAUUGUUCUAUCUUUCUAGACAGUUAUUUUAGCUGCCUUAGACUGUAUUGACAUUACCAGUGACACCCAGAUUUUGGGAGAUUUUGUAUUGAGUCGCGGUAUUUCCUUAUUGGCAUAUGAGAAAUUUGUUACUGUUAAACCUACUUCAUUGUGUUUUUAUCUAAAAAUGCUUAGUCAGUUGUCAGGACCUAAUUUAGGAUCAUGACCGGCACUUAGGAACAAGUGCUCCCAAGUAAGCCUCAUCGAUAAUUUACAGAAAAUCGGAUAGUAUUUUCCCUAUUUUAGGACAAUCCAAAAAUAAACCUGUCUUAAAAAUCAACAACACAACCAACCUAUAUCGACCAAAUAAGUUAUAAUUCUCAUUCACGAAAUAUUUUCAACACAAUAAUACUAACUUCACCUCUAAGUAUAAGGAAAGUCUAAUACGAAUCACAAGUCUAUAUCAAUAAAAGAAUAUUUAUGACACUCUUAAAAUGACUAUGGAGCGACUCUAAGAGUUUCAAGAAAGAUACUAUAACUAAUAAAUAAUAAUCUUUGCCCACGCGAAUAAAUGCGGGGCUCACCAGGAACUACCAACUCGUGUACUCUAAUUAACGGAAUCUUUGCCUGCGUCUACUGCUGUUUUUGUAAAAAUAAUAGCGGGGAGUGAGUCGCUAGCUCAGUGAGUAAUAAUACUUAACCACAACCGUUUUUAAUAGGGGACAAGUAAGAAAACAUGCUUGUAUAAUAAUCACAAAAUAAAAUGCCUUUUUUAAAACGGUAAUAAUAAGCAGUCUCAUCAUGGGUUUCCUGUAACAAAAUCAAUUUAAUAAUUCAGUAAUAAACUCGGUAAAUACUGUGCCAUAGCAAAUCUUUAUAUUUGGGAGGUUUUCAAAAAAUGAUCAUGUAAUUUGUAUCACUGUGUGGACCCCUUUGUAAGAGGAGUCAAAUAUAACUGUAGGUCCCUACUCGAGGAAAAAUUGUAACUGUAUGCUAGUUCUACCUUCCCAUUAGUGAGGGCUCUAACUGUACUCGGCAAUCAGUUAAUACAAGAUGAACCAAGUCUAACGAACCCGCCGUUAGCUACGGGAUCCUUCAAAGUCUCCUCCCAUUCAUACUUUUCUUUGUAAACAUUAAAUCUUCACAUAGAAGCAUUUUCAAAACAGUACAUGGCAUUUCAAUUUUUAUCAAAUCAUGUAAUCCAAUUUCGGUAACGGUAAUCAUAUAUCUAAUAAUAGUAAUACAUGUCUAGUAACAGUGAGAACAUUUUAAAAAACUGUAAACAUCUCAAGUAAACUAUUCAGUACCAUAUCAAGUAAGAGACUUGUCCCGCAUGCAAAUUUCAAACAUUCGGUAAUACAUUUUAUUUUCAAAAUAAUGUAUAAAUCAUGCAGGUUAUGAAAACACAAAUUGCGGUAAGAUUACUACUCACAAUACUCGUGUCAAAAUACCAAACGCGUCAACUCGAGUACUCGUUCAACUUCUUCAACUACCUAUAAUGUUACAAAAUCAAUCCUGCAUCAACUACGUGAAUUGCCAACAUAAUUGGUCCAUUCCUGUCACAUUUAAUUAAUUCUACUAUAUCCAUUCCUCUGAAAUAUGACCCUUGAUUCUCUGUUAAUUAAUUUAGUAUCACUUAAUUGGUUAGGAGUUGCAUCUUGUUUUUUUUAAUCUGUUCUUAUUAUCUGAUUGAUACUACUAUAUAUAGAGGACAAGAAGAAUUUCUUUUGUUUGACACAAAAAGAGUACUCAUAUCCUUACGUAGCAGUUUACAAGCACUGCUAACUUGUACAGUAGAGCGCUCAGUAUAAACUGAUAGAUUCUUUGUUCAAUCUAAUAGUAAUUCCAUGAUUGUGCUAUAUAGAAACACCUUAAGCAUCUUUUGUUAUCUUUACCCUUAAUUACAAAAUCAAUAACUAAUAAUAUGGUAGGUAUUCAAUAAAGGAAAUAUAAGAUAAAUUACCAAGGAAAAAAGGGAUUCAAUUACCUAGCUUGUUCCCCUCCACUCCAAAAAUCCCUUCAUUAGAAAGAAGUAAACUCACUUCUUUUGUUGCCUCCGAUCACUUCUGCCGAAUUUCAAUUGCUCCAUACCCUAUCCCUCUUUGCUUUAUGUUAGUUACGUAGUGCACUCUGGCACUAAUUCCUCUCUUAUUUCCCUUAAGGCUUGAUACUAGCUUCAGUUUUUGUUUUUCGGCAUCGGUAGUAGAAUUUUAAAAUUUCAAAUUCUUUAAGUUUGAAUUGGAGGGUGAUUCGUAAUUUUAGCGUUAAGUGAUGUGAUUUGUGGGCUCGACUAAGUUUGUAUGGUGUUUUAGGAUUUGUUGGUAUGUUUUGUUGAGGUCCCGGGGGCCUCGGGUGAGUUUCGAGUGGUUAACGGAUCAAAAGUUGGAUUUGAGUUGCUGCUGAAGUCUUCAGGCAUCUGUCAUUUUCGCACAUGCGGUGGAGAGACCGCGGGUGCGUGAUCGCACGUGCGGAGAGGCAAGCGCAAAAGCAUAGAAAUGGAGGAGUGCCAGGGGUCGCAGGUGCGAGGUAAAUUCCGCAUCUGCGAUGCCCGCAGAUGCGUUAGGGUCAUCGCAGGUGCGCAAGGUCCGCAGAAGCGGAAGGGGUUUCCGCAGGCGCGCACGCGCAGGUGUGGCCCUUUCAUCGCAGGUGCGAAGGCAGAGAGGGUAAUUGAUUUGCGCAUAUGCACACAUUUUGACACACAAGCGCACCCGAAGGUGCGAGCCCAGGCUCCGCAGGUGUGAAAAACCUGGGCAGUGGUUAAAACCGAAGGACUUCGCGAUUUUUGUCAUUUUUGGACUUUGCAACUCGGUUUAGGGCGAUAUUUGAGAGCAUUUUUGAGAGAUUUAUUGAGGUAAGUCCCUUGUGCUUAUUUUUGAUCAAUAAUCUUGCUUCCCCAUGUAUUUUCCCAUCUAGUUAGGGUGUAUUUAAGGUGGAAAGUGGGAAUUGGAGGCUAGGGAUUUGGAAGUUUAAUUUGUGGAUUUGGAGGACCAUUUGGUGUCGGAUUUUAGUAAAUUUGAUUUGGUUAGGCUCGUGAUUGAACUUCCUUUCAUAUUUUAUGACUUUUAACCGAUUUCGAGACAUGGCCCCCACGGGCGAUGUUUGAGUUAAUUUCGGAAUUUUCGUUAAAGUGUUGAUUUCGUUAAUUAGAUGAGUCUAUUAUUAUUGUAUUUAUGAUAUGUAAUUGCUUUUUGGCUAGAUCUGGGUCAUUCAGAGCCGGAUAUUCAUGGGAAAGGCAUUGUGACCGAUUGAUUGAGCUUGGUUCGAGGUAAGUGGCUUGCCUAACUUUGUGUGGGAGAAAUUCCCUUAAGAUAUGAAAUUAUUGUGCUAUGUGAGCGCCGUAUACGUGAGGUGACGAGUACGUACACGAGAUAGUUGUGGUAAAACCCGAUUUUCUUACCGAGCAGCAACAUAUUUUUUUGUUAUUUUGAGUUAUACCAUUCUUAAUAAGUACUAAUCUAUUUUUAUUCUUAAUUGAGUUAUUCCAAUAUGUGUAGCUAUCAUGUUUAGUCUAAUACAACAUGUCUAUGUGUCUUAAUUGUUUAUGUGAAUUAUGUGCAGCAUGCUUAGUGAAUUUUCUACUUCUUCCCUGACUGGUACUUAGUCUAAAUUGUAAGAAUUUCAUGAUGUAGUUGUAUUUAUAUCAUUCGCGCUGCAUAUUUACUUUGGGACUACGGAACGGUAUUCCGGGAGAUCCCCCUGUACCACAUAUUUACUUUGGGACUAUAGAAUGGUAUUCCGGGAGAUCCCUCCGUCUUGCAUAGUUACUUUGGGACUAUGGAACGGUAUUCCGGGAGAUCCACCUGCACAUUUACUUUGGGACUACGGAAUGAUAUUCCGGGAGAUCCUCCUGCACAUUUACGUUUGGGACUACGAGACGGUAUCUCGGGAGAUCCCCUGUUGUGUUUCUAUAUACUGAGUUGUUACCUUCUAUGAUUUCAUUGUGUUAAAUUUCAGCCUUUAUUUUACUGCGGUAUUCUACUCUAUAUUAUUUUAUUAUAUAUUUACCAGUAGGGCCCUGACCUGACCUCGUCACUACUCUCUGCACAUGUUUUUCGUGUGCAGAUCCAGGUGCACCUUAUCAGCCGCACUAUCAGUGAGCCAUGACAGCUUUGGAGACUUCAAGGUAUAUCUGCCGCGUCCGCAAACCUCGGAGUCCCCUUCUACUCCUUCUUAUGUCCAUUAUUAUUUGUAUUUUUCCUUGUUAGACUCUGAUGUAUAGAGACACUAGAUUUUUCCUUCUGCAGUUUGUGAUUCACGAUGAUUCCGGGUUUUGGGAUAGCUUUAAUGCUCCACCCCUCCUACUCUUAUUCCUUUUUCCUUGAGAUUGCAAGGGAUUAAAAUUGUAACCCUUUCCAAUCUCUAUAAGAUGUCCUACAGUAAUGAUCUUUUGGGCUUCGGCCCUUUUAUGUUUUUUUUUUCCUUCUUAAUUAUUUUAUUAUUUCUAUCUUAAUUUAUAUACUUACAAAUUACGCAUGUACCCUUAUAAUGUAAGGUAUUACAUUAGUGGCGAUUGUCGGAUUGUCGGCUUGCAUAGUUUUGUGAUAGGCGCCAUCACGACAUGUAAGAUUUUGGGUCGUGACAGAAAUUAAAUAUUUGCCUUUGAUAAUAGAAUUCUUAUCGGAUAAAAUUAUAAUUAUAAUUAAUUGUUAAAACUUCGGAUGACCUAAUAUUAAGAAUUCAAAUUAAAAAAUAAAUUAUUUAAUUUAAUUUUAAAAACAAAUAACUAUGUUUUUAAUUAACUAAAGUUUUGGUUAUUAAAUUGUAACGACCCGACCGGUCGUUUUGUGUAUUUGAUCCAUGUUUCCCUUUUUGAUGCUUCACACAUGUGUAUUUAUAGUUUUAUGACUUGUGGGGUUGGUUAUUUUCGUUCCGGGAAGGUUUUGGGUUGAUUUGGACCCUUUGGUUCUUGGUUUAGAAGCCGAAGUUAAAAUAUUGACCAAAGUUUGACUUUUAUGAAAAUGACCUCGGAACAGUGAUUUGGUUGCUCUGAUAGGUUUGUACCGUGAUUUUGGACUUGGGCAUAUUACCGAAAUUCAAUUCGGAGGUCCCUAGGUUGAUUUGAUUUGUUUUACCGAAAGUUAGCAAUUUGAGGUUUAGAAGUUUCCCUAAGUUUAACCGUAGGUUGACUUUGUGGCUAUCGGGUUCGGAAUUUGAUUUUGGGACUUUGAAUAGGUCUGUUUUUCUAUUUGAAACUUGUCUGCAAAAUUUGGUGUCAUUCGGAGUUUGUUUGAUAGGAUUCGGAUGCGUGAUUGCAAUUCUAGAGGUUUUUGAGUUUUUUUUAAAAUUCAUGCAUUUUCAUGUCCGAUUCAUGGUUCUAGAUGUUAUUUUUGUGUUUAUAUCAUGCGAGCGAGUUCGUAUGAUAUUUUAAGACUUGUGUGGAGAUUUGGUUUGGAGCUCCGAGGGCUCGGGAGAGUAUCGGACGUGUUUCAGAAUUGUUUGAACUCAAUUACAGGUUGCUGGUGUGAUGGUGCCUCAAGUGUCACAAUUGCGAGCACCGGCAUCUCAAUUGCGAUCGUAGCAGGGGGGGUCUCAGGUGUUAUAUUUAGACACCUGGAUCGCAAUUAUGAAGAAGGACUGUAAAAGGGUAGGCUCACAUUUGUGGCAACUUUGUCGCAUUUGCGAAGGGAGCAGGCUUCGCAAUUGCAAAACUAUUAUUGCAUUUGCGACUUCCCCUUAGGCAGUUAGUAGCCGCAAUUGUGAGGCUUUCUUCAUAAUUAGGAGGGUUGGUGAUUGCGAACCCAGUGUCGCACUGUAACAUCUGCAACUUAACAAAAGGGCCGGUUGGGAUUUGGUCUCAUUUUUCUCAUUUAGAACCCUAGACUCGGUAGGAGGCAAUUUGGAGAGGGGAGUUUCACCUACAAACAUUGGAAAAGUAGUUCGAAUCAAUCUUCAACUCUAUUUCAUGAUUAUAUAUGAGAUUUAACAUCAAAUUUAUGAGAAUCAAAGAGAAUUUUAGGGGAUUUUUGUCUAUAUUUUGAAAUAUGAAAAUUUUGGAUUUGAGAACGAAUUGGACUCGAAUUUGAAAACAAAACACAUAUACACACUCCUAGGGUUAUGGGUAGUCAAGAUCUACCCUUGGACUCGGGUUUUGAUCAGGCGAAUCCGGGGUUAAAUUUUGUUGACUUUUGGGGAAUUAUGUAACGAUCAUAGAUAUAUUAAUCGUAAUUGGUUUCUCUUAUAUUGUUUGAUGAUAUUAAGUCAUUUUUUGUUAGAUUUGAGCCGUGCGGAGGCUAAUUUGAAAGGAAAGGUUAUUUUUGAGUGUUUAUUUGGCCUAGUUGAGGUAAGUGUCUUGCCAAACUUUGUAUGAAAAACUUACCCCUUAGGAAUUGGAUUGUUUGUACUAUUUGAACUACGUGAAAGACGUGUACACGAGGUGACGAGUGUGUACACGGGUUUAUAUGUGAUAUUUAACAGAUUUAGACUCUUAGGUUACUCAUAGGCACUUGAUUGACAUUAUCAUUAUCUAUUCUACCUUUCAUUGUCAAUUUUAUUCUUACAUGACUUAAUUGAAAUUGUCAUUACAUGUUCAAGUUUCUAUUGUCAAAGUUACUCUCACAUGCAUUUAUUUUAGUUGUCAUUACAUGCCAAUCUUUUCAUUGUUGCUUAUGCUCAUGCAUUAGACUUAGUUACUAUUUCAUGCUAUCUCAUUCAUUGUUAAGCUUAUGUUUGGACUUAAAUUUGAAAGUUGCCAUUUCAUGGGAAAUACUUAAAUUUUGGGUUAUCAGAGUUGUUUUUGUCAGAGCUAUUAACACAUUGAGGUUAAAGUUGUUGACUAUUUAUAUAUCCUUCUUUGUUGAGUUUUUUCUCAUUUGUUUUAUUGUUAUUGAGAUUCUUGUACACAUUGUGAUUGAGCCAUGAGCUAUGUGUUUUGGUAAGUUGUGGCAUAUGGGCACGUGUGGUGCAAGUUGGUUAUUUUGUUGUGAUAUUGAUGUGCAUAUUGCGGUAUAAGGAUAGGGGUUGAUGUGCAUGAGGUGAUAUAAGGUGGGAUUUAUACGCGUGUUGCUAGUGAGGGAAUUACUUGAAGCCACGCGGUGAGAUAAGGGCUCUAAAGCGCAUGUAACUAUUUCGGAAGAUUUUAAAAUAAAUUUGAAUAUGAGGCGUGGCACGUCGGUAUGAUUUUUUUGUACACUCUAUGCUGGAAAGGCUUGAUGAUUUGAACAAUUGUUCCUUAUUUCUUCCUAUUAGUGUUUUGAUUGUAAUUGGUUACUUGUUGUCUUAUCACAUGUACACUUUUGUUGCUUUAUUUCCGUUGUUAGCCCUAUAUUGAUAAAUUGCUUUUUUUCCCUUUAAUUGUCUUAUCCUUUGUUAUUAGAUUACAUUAGGAGAGCAUAAUACGAUAGGAGCAUUCGAUACACAUUUCUAGUACAUAUCUUUCAACACAAGUUUAUUUAGAAUAGUAAUAUUUGUACGGAAUAACUCAGAACAUGAAAAUUAGGAACUUGGGCCAACCAUACUUGAAACUUACGGGAACAUCAUGGAAUUCGGUUCCAAGAGAGAAGUUUAGCCAACAUACCUUACCUGAGCUUUCCUUAAGUUACUAUAACCCCCCAACACUUCAAGCAAUAACAAUCUAUAGGAAGAUAGUGAAAAUUGGUUAAUAAUUAGAAGGAUUCCCAUGGUUUAACCCUCUUAGGAAUUUUGUCAAACACCUAGUAUACAAAAUAGACUACAAAGCUCUACAAUGGUAAUCCCGUCCUCCCUCGACCAAUUUCAACAAGAAACUACCCAAAAUAGUUCAUUGACCCCUCAUACUACAAGCUAUUGUCACAUGCAUGGCCUAAUUCCAAUCCCACAAUAUACUUAGACAAUAAAAUAACUUGCAUGGGUGGUAUAGGGCAGGAACUUACCCGGAUAGGUGGUGGUCUAGUGAGUGGCUUCCAUGAUUCUUGAUGAUUGGUGCAAGAAUGGGUGCUUUGAGUGCUAGGCCUUCCCCUUCUCUCUCUAAAAUACUCUUACCUCUCUCUAAAUUUACCAACAUUCAUUUCAAAAUAAGUCUCAAAGGCUAUUUAUCAAAAUGGGGUCGGGUUAUAAAAAUAAGAAAAUGGACUCUCUGAACUCAAGUCUGCGGCCGCAGAAUGGACCGCAUAACAUAUAUGCGGUCCGCAAAAUAGGCCACGAAAACGAUGCCAAGAACUGGGCUACUCUAGACCGGUCUGCGGUCCGCAGACCACUUAUGCGGCCGCAGAAUAGACCGCAGAAUGAUUCAACAAAAUUCUUCAUGCCAAAUCUGCGAUGGAAAAUACGGACUGCGAAAUGGAUGUGAGAUUGCCGAAUGGACCGAAAAAUGACCUUCAAAAUUCAACCAUUUUUCUGCACAACUCUGCGAUGGGUAUACGGCCCACAGAAUGGAUCUGCGGUCGUGAAUCUAACCGCUUAACUGGCCCUUCAGCAAAAUAUUUCCACCAAUACCUCGAUGCAUUCUUCAACCCAAAAAGUCUGUACCGCACUACAUCCGUACACAUCACCCUACCUCGGCACCACAAAACUUAAAUCCCUUGGCACAAUUUUAUGGAGCCUUACAUAUCCCGGGAAGGCCAAUGUGGUGGUUGAUGCCUUGAGUAGUAAAUUUGAGAGUAUGGGAAGUUUGGCAUAUUUUCCAGCAACAGAGAGGCCACUAGACAUGGAUGUUCAGUCAUUGGCCAAUCAGGUUGUGAGACUCGAUGUUUUGGAGCCUAGCCGGGUUCUUCCUACGUUGUUUCUCAGUCUUCAUUGUAUGAGCGCAUCAGAGAAAGUCAGUAUGACGACUCCCAUUUGUUUGUCCUUAAGGACACAGUGCAUCAUGGAGAUACCAAGGAGGUUUCUAUUAGAGAUAAUGGGAUGUUGCGGAUGCAUGGACAAAAAUGUGUGCCCAAUAUGGAUGGGUUGCGUGAGUUGAUCCUUGAGGAGGCCCAUAGUUCAUGGUAUUCCAUUCAUCCGGGUGCCGUCAAGAUGUAUCAAGAUUGACUCAUCACUAUUGGUGGAGAAGAAUGAAGAAAGAUAUAUUAGAGCAUGUGGCUAUGUGCUUGAACUGUCAGCAGGUAAAGUAUGAGAAUCAGAGGCCGAGCGGUUUGCUUCGAAGACUUGAGAUUCCCGAGUGGAAGUGAAGGACGUUACCAUGGAUUUCGUUGUUGGGCUCCCAUGGACUUUGAAGACAUUUAAUGCAAUGUGGGUUAUUAUGGAUAGACUGACCAAGUCUGCACGUUUCAUUCCGAUUGUGACUACUUAUUUCUCAUAGCAGCUGCCUCAGAUCAAUAUCCAUGAGAUUGUUCGUCUUUACGGUGUGCUAUUGUUCAUUAUCUCUGAUCGAGGCACACAGUUCUCAUCACAUUUUUUGAGAGUUGUGCAGCGAGUGUUAAGCACACGGGUUGAGUUGAGUACAUAAUUUCACCCCUAGAUGGACGAGCAGUCCGAGCACACCAUUUAGGACUUGGAGGAUAUGUUACGUGUCUGUGUUAUGGAUUUUGAGGGUUCAUGGGAUUAGUUUCUGCCGCUUGCAGAGUUUGCCUACAACAACAGUUACCAAUCGAGUAUUCAGAUGGCUCCUUAUGAGGCCUUAUAUGGGAGGUGGUAUGGUUCUCCAGUUGGUUGGUUUCAGCCAGGAGAGGCUAGGUUGUUGGGCACAAAUGUGAUUCGGGAUGCCUUGGAGAAAGUCAAGUUGUUCCAAUAUCGGCUUCGUACAACACAAUGUAGAAAGAAGAGUUAUGCCGAUCGGAGGGCUCAUGAUGUAUCAUUUAUGGUAGGAGAGAGGGUUUCGCUUCAGGUUACACCCAUGAAGGGUGUGAUGAGAUUCGGGAAGAAGGGCAAGUUGAGCCCUAAGUAUAUUGGUCCAUUUGAUAUCCUCGAGAGGGUUGGAGAGGUGGCCUACAGAAAUGCAAUGCCACCCAGAUUAUCGGAAGUUCACCCAGUGUUCCAUGUUUUCAUGCUUUGGAAGUAUUAUGCUGAUCCAUCACAUGUAUUAGAUUUCAUCUCAUUCCAAUUGGACAAGUAUUUGACUUAUGAUGAGGAGCCGGUGGCUAUCUUGGACAUGCAUGUUCGUGAGUUGAGGUCAAAGAACAUUGCUCCAGUGAAGGUUCAAUGGAGGGGUCAUCUAGUAGAGGAUGCGACCUGGAGACCGAGCACGACAUGAGGAGUUGUUAUCCUUACCUUUUUGGCACUUCAGGUAUGUCUCUAUGCACGUUCGAGGACGAACGUUUAUUUAAGAGGGGAGAAUGUAACGACCCGACCGGUCAUUUUAUGUAUUUGAGUCUCGUUUCCCCUUUUGAUGCUUCACACAUGUGUAUUUUUGUUUUAUGACUUGUAGGGUUGGUUAGUUUUGUUCUAAGAAGGUUUUGGUUUGAUUUGGACCGUUUGGUUAUUGGUUUUAAAGCCUUAGUUGAAACUUUUGAACAAAGUUUGACUUUAGGGAAAACAACCCUGGAACGGUGUUUUGGUGGCUGUGAUAGGUUCGUAUCGUGAUUUUAGACUUGGUCGUAUGCCUGAAAUUAAAUUCGGAGGUCCCUAGGUUGAUUUGACUUGUUUUGCCGAACGUUGGCAAUUAAGGUUUAGAAGUUUUUCUAUGUUUGAAUGUAGGUUGACUUUGUGUCUAUUGGGUUCAGAAUUUGGUUUCGGGACUAGGGCCGCUUUGCUAUUUGGAACUUAUCUGCAAAAUUUGGUGUCAUUUGGAGUUGGUUUGAUAGGAUUCAGACGCUUGGUUGCAAUUCUAGAGGUUCUUGAGUUUUCUUUUUAAAUUCAUCCGUUUUCAUGUCCAAUUCAUGGUUUUAGAUGUGAUUUUGGUUAUUUAGUUGCGCGAGCGAGUUCGUAUGAUAUUUUUAGACUUUUGUGGAUGUUUGGUUUUGUGCCCCGAGGGCUGAAGAGAGUUUUGCACGUGUUUCAGAAUGGUUUGAACUCAAUUACAGGUUGUUGGUGUGUUAGUGCGUCAGGUGUCGCAAUUGUGAUCUUAGCAGGGGUUCUUAGGUGUCGCAUUUGUGACACAUGGAUCGCAAUUGUGAAGAUGGACUGGAAAAGGGUAGGCUCGCAUUUGCGACAACUUUGUCGCAUUUGUGAAGGGAGCAAGCUUCGCAAUUACAAAGCCAUUAUCGCAUUUAUGACUUCCCCUUAGGCUAUUAGUAGCCGUAAUUGCGAGGCUUUCUUCGCAACUGUGAAUCCAGUGUCGCAAUAUAGACAUUAGCAACUGAAAAAAAGGGUUGAAAAGUCAGGAUUUGGUCUCAUUUCUCUCAAUCUAGAUCUCUAGACUCAGUAGGAGGCAAUUUGGAGAGUGAAUUUUCACCUACAAACAUUGGGUAAGUAGUUCUAAACAAUUUCCAACUAUAUUUCAUGAUUAUAUAUGAGAUUUAAAAUCAAAUUUAUGAGAAUCAAAAAGAAAUUUUGGGGAUUUUCGUCCAAGUUUUGAAAAAUAAAAAUUUGGGAUUUGAGAGUCGAACUGGACUCGAAUUUGAAAAUAAAACACAUAUAUAGACUUGUAGGGAUAUGGGUGCUCAAGAUCUACCCUUAGACUCAGGUUUUGACUGGCCAAGCCCGAGAUUGACUUUUGUUGACUUUUGGAAAAUUGUGUAAAGAUCAUAGCUUUAUUAAUCAUAAUCGGUUUCUCUUGUAUUGUCUCAUGAUAUUAAGUUAUUUUUGGUUAGAUUUGGGUUGUACAAAGGCAACCUUUAAGGGAAAAGUUAUUUUUGAGUGUUGAUUAGUCCUAGUAGGGGUAAGUAUCUUGUCUAACUUUGUGUGGGGGAACUACUCCUUAGGACUUGUGUUGUGUUGUACUAUUUGAACUAUGCAAAAGACGUGUCCACAAGGUGAUGAGUAUGUACACAGGCUUAUAUGUGAUAUUUGACCGGUUUAGACUCUUAAGUUACUCAUAGGCACUUGAUUGACGUUAUCAUUAUCUAUUCUACCUUUCAUUGUAUAUUUUAUUCUUACAUGCCUUAAUUGAAGUUGUCAUUACAUGUUCAAGUUUCUAUUGUCAAAGUUACUCUCACAUACAUUUAUUGUAGUUGUCGUUACAUGCCAUUCUUUCCAUUAUCGAGUUAUUCUCAUGAAUUAUACUUAGUUUCUAUUUCACGCUAUCUCUUUUGUUGUUAAGCUUAUGUUUGCACUUGAAUUUGGAAGUUUCCAUUCCAUGGGAAAUAACUAAAUUGUGGGUUAUUGAAGUUUUUGUUGUGAGAGCUAUUAACACAUUGAGGUUAGAGUUGUUGACUAUUGAUAUAUCCUUCCUUGUUGAUUUGUUUCUGAUUUAUUUUGUUGUUAUUGAGAUUCUUGUACACAUUGUGGUAGAGUCGUGGGCUAUGUGUUAUGGUAACAUUGAUAUUUGUUGAUUUUGGCAAGUUGUAGCAUAUGGGCACGUGUGGUGCAAGGUUAUUAUUGUGUUAUGAUAUUGAUACGUAUGCAGUGGUAUAAGGAUAGGGGUUGAUGUGCAUGCGGCGAGACAAGGUGGGAUUUAUACGCGUGUUGCUAGUAAGGGAAUUUCUUGAAGUCACACAGUGAGAUAAGGGGGCUAAAGCGCGUGAAGCUAAUUCGGAAAAAAUGUUUAUAAAAUAAAUGCAAGGCUCAUGCGGCGAUAUAAGGAAGAUUGUGAUUGUGACUUGUGAAAUUUGUAUAUGAGGCGUUGCACCUCGGUAUGAUUUUUGUCGUACAUUCUAUGCUGGAAAGGCUUGAUAAUUUGAACAAUUAUUGUUCUUGUUUCCUUAUUUAUUCCCAUUAGUGUUUUGAUUGUAAUUGGUUACUUGUUGUCUUAUCACAUGUACUCAUUUCUUGCUUUAUUUUUAUUGUUAACCCUCUAUUGAUAAAUUGCUUUAUUGUGCUUUAAUUGGCUUUAUCCUCUGUUAUUAGAUUACAUUAUAUUUUGUUCAGGUUUCUUUUAUCUAGUAGAUGUCUUGACCUGGCCUCGUCACUACUCUGCCGAGGUUAGACUGGAUAUUUACUAGGUACCAUUGUGGUGUACUCAUGCUACGCUUUUGCACAUUUUUGUGCAGAUCCAAUUACAUCUUCUAGUGCCGGAUGCCAGUCAUUGACCAAUUAUUUUGGAAACUUCAAAGAAUACAUGCUCAACGCUCGUAGGCCUCGGAGUCACCUUCUUCUGUUGCUUUACUACUAUUUAUCUUUAUUUCAAACAGAGUUGUAUUUAGAGAUUUUUUGUGCAUUCUCUAUAGAGCUUAUGAUUCAUUUCCACUGGUUUUGGGAGUUAUUUGACAGUUGUACUAUUUGGGUUCGCUUAUGAUAGUUUAACAGUUUAAUUUCAUAAUUGAAGUUGUAAUUCCUGCUAAUUAUCAAAGUAUGUUAGCUUACCUAAUCUUAGAGAUUAGGUGCCAUCAUGACAUCCUAAGACGGGAAAUUGGGGUCGUUACAUAAAUUUAAGUGUAAUGUAAUUCAAUUCCAAAUCUUUAUGUGUAAUGACACGGCCAAUCUUUAGCCAUAUUUCCCCAUUUAUUGCUUAUUCUAUGUUCAUUUAUAGUUAUAUGACUUGUUAUGGUGGUUGGUUUGGUUCCGGGGAUGUUACGGAAUGAAUUGGGAUACUUAAUUCCAAGGUUGGAAGCUUAAGUUGAAAGAGUUGACCGGAUACUAACUUAUGUGUAAGCGACUCCGGAAUGGAGUUUUGAUGGUUAUGAUAGCUUCAUAUGGUGAUUUUGGGCUUAGGAGUAUAUCUAGAUAUUGAUUUGGAGGUCUGUAGGUAGUUUUGGUUUGAAUUGGCAAAAGAUGGAAAGUUGAAGGUUUGGAAAGUUGAGAAGUUUGAUCUGAAGUUGACUUUGUUGAUACCCGGCUCAGAUAUUUGUUCCGGAAGUUGAAAUAGGUAUGUUGUGUCAUUAAUGACUUGUGUGCAAAGUUUGAGGUCAAUCGAAGUUGGUUUGAUAGGUUUCACCAUUGGUUCUAGAAGUUGGAAAUCCAUUAGUUUCAAUAGGCUUGAAUUGGGGUGCGAUUCGUGAUUUUGAUGUUAUCUGAUGUGAUUUGAGGCUUCGACUAAGUUCGUAUCAUGUUUUAGGAGGUAUUGGUAUGUUUGGAUGGGGUCCCGAGGGCCUCGGGUUGUAUUCAAAUUGAAAUCGAAAUGGGAAUUGGACUUGUGCAAUUUAAGAUGGCAGCAGUUCUAGUGUAACCGCACCUGCGAGGUUUUGGCUGCAGGUGUGGCACCGCAGAAAUGGCCGGGUACUCGCAGAUGCGAGAAAUGGGAAGGCAGCAUAGGAGCACAGGCGUGGAGGAAAUCCCGCGAAAGAGGAUGCACUUCUGUGCAUGAAGGUCCGCAGAAGCGGAAAUGGGCAGGAUGUGGUGGAGUCGCAGAAGCGGAAGGUUUCUGCAGGUGCGGAAGCACAAGAACGAUGGUGAGACCGCAAAAAUGGUCCUUCAGGUGCGAAGAAAGGACCGCAAGUGCCAUGGGUCGGGGGCUUAAGUAAAUUCCGCAUUUGCGGAAAUUUUACCAUAGAAGCAAUUCCACAGAAGCGACGAAGGUGACCGCAGAUGCGAAAAGCCUGGCAGUGUUAUAUUUCCAAGGGUUUCGAGUUUUCUCUCAUUUUUUGGACUUGUGGAGCUCGGCUAGGGGAAAUGUUUUAGAGGGAUUUCACUACAAUUCAAGAGUUAAGUGAGGGUUGAUUUAUGGCGGAAUUUGAUAAUUUUUAUAUGGUUGGACUCAUUAUUGAAUGGGUAUUCGGAAUUUAUGAAUUUUGUCGGGUUCUGAGACGUGGGCUUAGGGGUGUCUUUUUAGCUUGACUUUUUGAAUUUGGUUAAAGAUUUUAGCUUUAUGGUAUGAAAUUGAUUCAUAUAGCUUGUAUUGAUUAUAUUAAGUUGUUUGUGACUAGAGUCAAAUAUUUCGGAGGCUGAUUCGUGAGGCAAGGGUUUGUUGGAGCAUUGAGUUGCGCACUUUGAGGCAAGUAACACUUCUAAACAUGGAUUUGAGGGUAUUUAACCCUAAGGACUGUGUUAUAUGAAAUUUAUUGGGGUGACGUACAUGCUUGGUGACGAGCGUGUUUGCGUGCACCAGUUUGUUCUUGGUUUGGGAGGCCUUUAGGCUAUUACCGGGCUUGUUUUGCUAUCAUAUCAUGUUACCCCAGCGUUCCUUCUACUUGUUUGAUUAUUUGAACUGUGAAUCAUGUUAGACAUCACGUCUAAUCUAUGCGUUAAUGGUUUGAGACUUGAUAUGUUGUUUCUUAAUUAUAUACCUUAUUUGCACACAUGUUAUCAGUCAUGAUACAAUAUCCGCGUAUGAUAUCUUUGUUGCAGUACCUCUUAUUUGAUUCCUUACAUGUUGUUGAUAUAGCUCAAGGGUAAAGCUAUUUAAUUGGAUAUUUGAGAUGUGUUCAUCUUAGACUUGAACGGUAAGUGACUGAGUUUAGGCCUUAGAGCUAGAUAGGUACUGAUUGUUUAGUUGACCCAUACGCCAGGCCCAUAUUGGGCUAAGUGUUAUUAUUUUGGGGCGAUGCGUGCACCAAGACUCAUUAUUGGGCUAAGUGAUUAUAAUUAGCGCUUGGGCAGGAUCCGCCCCUCCAAAGUCUGACAUGCCAAUAGUGGACGUAGGCAUAGUGUCUCAUAUAUGUGCUUCAUUAUGGGUAGUUAUGUCAGGCACCCGUACAGUGCUAAGUAUAAAUACUAUUCAUGGAUCCACUAUGAUACUGUCGAUUUACGUGUAUACUUGACAUGGAGGCAUAGAGAUGUACUUUCCACAUGGUAACUGGUAAUUGACCUGUUUUAUCUGAGUUGGGUUUUAAACCAUUAUACUUGAAAGCAUACCUAAUUUUCUGAAAUGACACCGAGUUGUACUUGAUAUCAUUGAUCUACUGUUUCUAUGGUUUAUCCUUUAUUUUCUGAACUGUUAUCGGUUAUUGGCAAUGUCAUUUGACUACUGCUCUGAGCUCGUCAUUGCUUUCAACCCGAGGUUAGUAUUGUUACUUUGAGUGCAUUGAGUCAAUUAUACUCAUACUACACUCUACACUUCGUGUGCAUAUCCCAGGUACAUCUGGCCAAGGUGAUUUUCAGGCUUGAGUUGUGCCAGCUAUAUGGGAGAGUACGAGGUAGCUGACAUCCAGUCCGCAGGCCUUGAAGUUCUCUUCCUGCUAUCUUUAUCUUUUAUGUUUUCUCAUGUUCAGACAAUUGUACUAGAGGAUUUAUUUCGUACCUUUUGAUUCAGUAUUGCUCGUGUACUUGUUGACACCAGAUUUUGGGUUUGGUUGUAGUGGCAUUUGACUUUAUUCGUAGAUAUUUUUUUGGUAUUCUUUCAAUGUUGAGAUAUUAAACCAUGUUAUUUCAUUUUCAUUGAUAUCAUGUGAUUGUUGGCUUACCUAGCGGGUUGGGUUAGGUGCCAUCACAACUUAUAGAUUUUAGGUCGUGGUAGGUUUAUAUCAGAGCACUAGGUUGCUUAGGUCUCACGAGUCAUACGAGAAAAUUUAAUAGAUUUUUGUGGAUCGGUACGGAGACGUCUAUACUUAUCUUCGAGAGGCUACCGAACGGUUAAGAAACUUCACUUUCUUGCAUUCUUAGCGUGCGAAUAUGUUAAAUCUGAAGUUUGAAACUUGACUUUUCUAUUCUCUUACAGAUGGUGAGGACUCGUGCGACUGGAUCAGGCGGACGGCCACCAGUACCACUUUCUAGGCCCGCGAGUGGUCGGGGCCACGGUAGAGGCCGAGGUGCGGCUCGUACCAUAGCUAGAGCAGCACCUGUGGAGCCAGCAAUUGCUCCAGCUAAGGAGCAGAUACCAUGUGUUAUUGAGCCGGUUUGACCAACUCAGGUAUCAGAUGUGCCCAUUGUGAUUCCAAGACUUCAGGAGGCUUUGGCCUAGAUUUUGACUGUAUGUACUAUCCUUGCUCGGGCGGUUUUGGUUCAAGCCGCACCAGCCAAUUCACAGGCAGGGGGAGGUUCUCAGACUUUUGCCGCCCGUAAUCCAGAGUAGGUAGCUCAAGGACUCCAUACAUCGGGGGUACUACCAGCCCAGCUGGUUGCUGCUGCUUGGGCCGAGGUUGGACCACCUAUGAUUGAUGAGGAGCAGAAGAGACUAGAGAGUUUUGGGAUGCUUGACCCUCCAGAGUUUAGGGAUGCUUGACCUUACAGUAGCGCUCAAAUGGCUCGUUCGGUUCAUCGUGGUGUAUCAGCUAGUCAUGGUUCAUACAUUGCUCAUCCGGGUUAUUCAUCCUUUAGUGCCCUCCAAGCUCAUAGUUCAUCCUGUGCUCGAUCAGUUCAGGGUUCGUCAGUACUAGAUUCUUCUAGUCAUUAUUUUAUUUCUCAGGGUCCGAUGUAGGCCCCACUACCAUUUCUGGCUCGAGGUUGUUAUGAUUGUUGAGAGUUAGGGCAUGUGAUGAAGUUUUCCCCUGUCACUAAAGAGGUCCAGUGUAGCAGGGAGGCCAGUCUAUGACCCCUGCACCAGUUGCUUCAUCACUCGCCUAGCCAGCUCUGGGUGGGACUCAGGUGGUUCGAGGUCGCCAUAGAGGGGGUGGUCGAUCCGGUGGUGGUCAGGCUCUAUGCUAUUCUUUUCCAGCCAGGCUAGAGUUGCUUCAGAUACAGUGAUCACAAGUAUUAUUCUAAUGUGCCACAUGGAUGCUUCCAUAUUAUUUGAUCGUGGUUCCACUUAUUCAUAUGUAUCAUCAUACUUUGCUCAUAAUUUGGAUAUGCCCCAUGAUUCCUUAGUUACACCUAUCUACGCCGGUGGGUGAUUCUAUUAUUGUGGACCGUGUAUAUCGGUCGUGUGUGGCGACUAUUGGGGGAUUGGAGAUGAGAGUUGAUCUUUUACUGCAUAGUAUGGUUUAUUUUGAUGUGAUUCUAGGAAUGGAUUGGUUGUCACCAUGUCACGCUAUUCUGUAUUGUCACACUAAGACUGUGACGUUAGCAAUGCAGGGAUUGCCUACGAUUGAAUGCAGAGGUUCCCUAGAUUAUGUUUCCAAUAGAGUGAUUUCAUACUUGAAGGCUCAACGGAUGGGAGAAGGGAUGUUUGGCAUAUUUGGCCUUCGGGAGGGAUGUUGAUGCUGAUACUCCUACCAAUGAGUCUGUUUUGGUAGUGAGAAACUUUCCGGAUAUAUUUCCUAGAGACCUGUCGGGCAUGCCACCUGAUAGAGAAUCUCUAUUUCUCUGUAUAGUAUGGCACUAACAGAGUUGAAAUAAUUAAAACAACAGCUUCAAGAUAUGCUUGAUAAGGGAUUCAUUAGGCCUAGUGUGUCGCCUUGGUGCAGCGGUUCUAUUUGUGAAGAAGAAGGAUGGUUCUAUGCAGAUAUGCAUUUUAUAUAGGCAGUUAAACAAAGUUAUAAUUAAGAACAAGUACCCUUUUACCGCAUAUUGAUGACUUAUUUGACCAGAUUCAGGGUGCUAGAGUGUUCUCUAAGAUUGAUUUGAGGUCUACGUACCACCUGUUGAAGAUUCAGGAUUUUAAUAUUCUGAAAACCGCAUUCAGGACCUGAUAUGGUCACUACGAGUUCCUUGUGAUGUCUUUUGGGUUGACCAAUGCCCCAGGAGAAUUUAUGCAUCUGAUGAACAAUGUAUUCCAACCAUAUCUUGAUUCAUUUGUUAUAGUAUUCAUUGAUAAUAUAGUGGUGUACCUACGCAGCCUGGCGGAUCUUGAGCAUCAUUUGAGGAUUGCACUCCAGACGUUGAGGGAAAAUAAGCUUUAUGCUAAAUUCUCCAAGUGUGAGUCUUGGCUUGAUUCUGUGGCACUCUUUGGGGAACGUGGUUCCCACUGAGGGUAUCAAGGUAGAUCCGAAGAAGAUUGAGGUAGUUCAGAGUUGGCCCAAACUGUCUUCAGCUACUGAGAUUCGGAGUUUUCCUGGCUUGGCCGGAUAUUAUCACCGUUUUGUGGAGGGUUUCUCGACCAUUGCUGCACCUUUGACUAGGCUGACCCAGAAGGGUGCUCCAUUCAGGUGGUUGGAUGAGUGUGAGGAUAGAUUUUAGAAGCUCAAGGUUGCCUUGACAACAGCUCAAGUUCUAGUUUUGCCUUCAGCAUCAGGUUCAUAUAUGGUUUAUUAUGAUGCUUCUCAUAUUGGUAUCGCGUGCGUAUUGAUGUAGGAGGCUAGGGUGCAUGCUUUUGUUUCACGCCAGUUAAAGCCCCAUCAGAAGAACUACCUCGUUCAUGAUUUAGAGUUGGCGGCUAUUGUUCAUGCAUUGAAGAUUUGGAGGCAUUAUCUCUACGAUGUGUCUUGUGAGGUAUUUACAAAUCAUCAGAGUUUACAACAUGUGUUUAAGCAUAAGGAUCUAAAUCUGAGAUAGCAAAGAUGGUUAGAGUUGUUAAAAGACCAUGAUAUCACCAUUUUGUAUUAUUUCGGGAAGGCCAACGUGGUGGCCGAUUCUUUGAGUAGAAAGGCAGUGAGUAUGGGUUGCCUUGUAUAUAUUCCAGUUGGUGAGAGACCACUAGUAUCAGAUGUUCAAGCCUUGGCCAAUCAGUUCGUGAGGUUAGAUAUUUCGGAGCCUAGUCGGGUUCUAGCUUGUGUGGUUUCUCGGUCUUCUUUAUAUGAGCUUUGUGCUGUGAUGCCAAGGAGGUUUCUAUUGGAGAUGAUGGGGUGCUACAGAUGCAAGGUCGGAUUUGUGUGUCCAAUGUGGCUGGAUUGCGUGAGUUGAUUUUUAAGGAGGCCCACAAUUUACGGUACUCCAUUCAUUCGGGUGUCACGAAGAUGUAUCAGGACUUGAGGAAACACUAUUGGUGGAGAAGAAUAAAGAAAACUAUAGUGGAGUAUAUGGCUCGGUGCUUGAACUAUCAGCAAGUAAAGUACGAGCAUCAUAGGUCGGGCGGUUUGCUUCAAAGACUUGAGUUUCCCCAGUGGAAGUGGGAGCGUAUUACCAUGGACUUCGUUGUUAGCCUCCUACAAACUUUGAAGAAAUUCGAUGCUAUUUGGGUAAUUGUGGACCGAUUGACUAAGUUCGCACAUUUCAUUCCAGUUGUGACUACUUAUUCUUUCGAGCGGCUGGCUGAGAUCUAUAUCUGUGAGAUUGUUCACCUUCACGGUGUGCCGGUGUCUAUUAUUUCUGAUCGGGGCACAUAGUCCACAUCGCAAUUUUGCAGAGCUGUACAGCGAGAGUUGGGCACACGGGUUGAGUUGAGCACAACAUUCCACCCCAAACGGACGGAUAGUUCUAGCGCACCAUUUAGAUUUUGGAGGAUAUGCUACGUGCUUGUGUUAUGAAUUUUGGGGGUUCUUGGGAUUAGUUUCUACCACUUGCUCAGUUAUCCUACAACAACAUCUACCGAUCUAUUUUUCAGAUGGCUCCUUAUGAGGCCUUAUAUGGGAAAAGGUUCGUGAUGUUGUAUAUAUGGUAGGAGAGAAGGUAUUUCUCAGAGUAUCGCUCAUGAAGGGUGUGAUGAGGUUCGGGAAGAAGGGAAAGUUGAGCCAUUGGUAUAUUGGCCCUUUUGAGGUGCUUUGAGGAUUGGAGAGGUGGCCUACAUUUCCACCUAGUCUAUCGGCUGUUCACCCAGUGUUUCAUGUUUCCAUGCUCUACAAGUAUUAUGGUGAUCCGUCUCAUGUCUUGGACGUCAGUACAAUUCAGUUAGAUGGAUAUUUGACUUAUGAUGUGGAUCCGGUGGGCAUUUUGGAUCGACAUGUUCGAAAGUUGAGAUCAAAGUAUAUAGCUUCAGUGAAACUUCAGUGGAGAGGACAGCCAGUCGAGUAGGCUACUUGGGAGACCGAGCAGGAGACGCGAAGCAGCUAUCCACACUUAUUUGAGACUCCAGGUAUGAUUGGUCUCAGCUCAUUUGAGCAUUUUAUCAAAUACUAGGUGUGCAAAUUUAACUACAAGGUUCUUCUACAAGAUUUUCUUCACUCCACAACCCAAUCUUUACUUAUUUGAGCUCAACAAUCUUCCCGCAAACCUUAUUAGUACAAACAUGUAUAAAUAAUGCUCUUAUACCCAAGAAUCAUACUCCAAAUCAACCAUCUUUUACCCAAAUUCGAAAUUGAAAACUAGGGUAUGGAACCUUACCUCUUAGAUGAAGAUCUUGUGGGUUUUCCUUGUUAAUCUUCCAAGAUCUGAGCAAGACUUGAUGAAUAAUUAGCCUAUGAUUUCCUCUCUCUAAAACACUCUCCCUUCUCUCUAAAACAUCAGAUUUUUUUGCUCAAAAAUGACCCAAAGCGUGUAUUUAACGAAGUAAGGUCGGGUUUUAAAAACUCAAAAAUGGAGCUCCGGAACAGGUUCUGCGGUCGCAUAUGCGACCGCAUAUCGGUCGCAUAAUUACAGACCAAAAUUAUCAAAACUCUGUCCGUGUAUGCUGUCACUAUGCGGUCUGCAUAACUGUUAUGUGAUCGCAUAAUGCACCGCAUAACAAUUAUGCGGUCGCAUAGUCAACCGCAUAAUUGCCCUUAGACUGGCCCUUCUCUUGCUCACUUUUGCGGCCAUUAUGCGGCCCGCAGAGUGAUUAUGCGGUUGCAUAAUGGACCGCAUAAACGCACUUUUCCGUCAAAUAUUUUCCUUUACUUUCCGGUGCAUUGUUCAACCCAAAAAGUUCGAACCGCGGCGAGCUUCACGUAAGCCUACUCCCGCACCACGAAACCUUGAAUUCACUUGCAAAAUUUACGGGGCUUUACACUGAAAUACUUCAAAUAUUUCCGGGGUGUUACAUGAUAUUACUGUGUUUAUGGGCCUAAUGUUCUAAUUGCCGCUCAUUUACCGCUUUGAUAUUAUUUGAACUGUAUUUAGCCGUGCAGUGUGUGGAACUUGUAUUUUCUUGAUCAUUUAUCUGAUUUACUUGUAUCUUUCCUCUACAUGCUAUAAUAUUAUUGAGCAGGUUAUUUGAUAAAUAGUGCACAUGCACACAUGGGUGUUCUUCUCAUGAAGCCUUAUGAGUUAGCAUUAAAAUUUAUGAUGUGUUGGUCUAAAAGGACAGAAUUGCACUGAUUUAACUAGUGACCUCAAUAAAUUAAGCUUCUCUUACCUUGCCAUGAAUAUCUUCCUAAUUAUGGUUCAAUUUUAUUAUGUCUCAAAAUAGAUCGGGAUUGCUAAGAAUUUCGGAUCAUUAUAGAGUUAAGGAAGCUCGAUUGAGGUAUGUUGGCUAAACUUUCUCUCUUGGAAUUGAAUUCCAUAAUGUUUCCGUAACUUUCAAAGUAUGGGUUGCGUAUUAAAAGGUUUUGGCUUUGAGUCGUGUUUCAAUGAAAGAUGGUAUGCCAAAUUAUGUGAGAAAAUCUCAAUAUUCUUAAGACUCUUAAUUGCUCAUAUGUGUACCUAAAGUCUUGAUUUAGAAAUGUCUUAUUGUUGAUAAUCUAUAAAGAUGGUUGGAAGUGAAAUAAGUUAAUUGGGGAUAUAGAGAGUGGCCAACGUGCCAAGAAGUUAAGUUAUGAUUGUGGCUAGUAGUGCAAAUGAUUUGAGAAGAUGCGAUAAAGGUUAUGAAAUGAGCCUCGACUCAAAUGUUUUAAAAUGACUUCGAAAAUAGAAUUGCCUAAAAGCUUUCGUACUCAAGUCAUGCCAUAAGUGGUUGUCUUAACAAAUACUAUGCUUUGUGAGUAUUUCCAAUGUGUUUUGUGUUCUUACAUAUUCGUGAGUGGAAAUGGUGUAUUAUCUUUUUUGGGGAAAAAGUAUUUCAAGAAUAAAUGGUNNNNNNNNNNNNNNNNNNNNNNNNNNNNNNNNNNNNNNNNNNNNNNNNNNNNNNNNNNNNNNNNNNNNNNNNNNNNNNNNNNNNNNNNNNNNNNNNNNNNNNNNNNNNNNNNNNNNNNNNNNNNNNNNNNNNNNNNNNNNNNNNNNNNNNNNNNNNNNNNNNNNNNNNNNNNNNNNNNNNNNNNNNNNNNNNNNNNNNNNNNNNNNNNNNNNNNNNNNNNNNNNNNNNNNNNNNNNNNNNNNNNNNNNNNNNNNNNNNNNNNNNNNNNNNNNNNNNNNNNNNNNNNNNNNNNNNNNNNNNNNNNNNNNNNNNNNNNNNNNNNNNNNNNNNNNNNNNNNNNNNNNNNNNNNNNNNNNNNNNNNNNNNNNNNNNNNNNNNNNNNNNNNNNNNNNNNNNNNNNNNNNNNNNNNNNNNNNNNNNNNNNNNNNNNNNNNNNNNNNNNNNNNNNNNNNNNNNNNNNNNNNNNNNNNNNNNNNNNNNNNNNNNNNNNNNNNNNNNNNNNNNNNNNNNNNNNNNNNNNNNNNNNNNNNNNNNNNNNNNNNNNNNNNNNNNNNNNNNNNNNNNNNNNNNNNNNNNNNNNNNNNNNNNNNNNNNNNNNNNNNNNNNNNNNNNNNNNNNNNNNNNNNNNNNNNNNNNNNNNNNNNNNNNNNNNNNNNNNNNNNNNNNNNNNNNNNNNNNNNNNNNNNNNNNNNNNNNNNNNNNNNNNNNNNNNNNNNNNNNNNNNNNNNNNNNNNNNNNNNNNNNNNNNNNNNNNNNNNNNNNNNNNNNNNNNNNNNNNNNNNNNNNNNNNNNNNNNNNNNNNNNNNNNNNNNNNNNNNNNNNNNNNNNNNNNNNNNNNNNNNNNNNNNNNNNNNNNNNNNNNNNNNNNNNNNNNNNNNNNNNNNNNNNNNNNNNNNNNNNNNNNNNNNNNNNNNNNNNNNNNNNNNNNNNAUUAUUUUUGUGAACUAUUAUCCUUAUUUAGGAUGAGAUUGAUAUGAUAAAAUUAUUCCUCUUAAUUGAAAUCGAGAUUUUGGUUGAUGUCUUCAAAUAAGACAGCCUAGCCGAUCGGGUCGUGAUCGGACUCCGUACUAAAUUUACGGUGGUAUUGGUAUUGAUAGUAAUUAUGGUUGAUGUCUCUAAUGAGAUGGCCUAGCCAGUCGGGUCGUGAUCGGACUCCGUACUAAAAUUACUGUGGUAUUGGUAUUGAUAGUAACUGUGGUUGAUGUCUCUAAUGAGAUGGCCUAGCCGGUCGGGUCGUGAUCGGACUCCGUACUAAAUUUACGGUGGUACUGAUAUUGACAGUAAUUAUGGUUGAUUCUCUAAUGAGAUAACAGCCGAUUGGGUCGUGAUCGGACUCCGUACUAAAUUUACGGUGGUAUUGGUAUUGAUAGUAAUUGUGGUUGAUUCUCUAAUGAGAUAGCCUAGUCGAUCGGGUCGUGAUCGGACUCCGUGCUAAAAGUACGAUGGCAUUGGUAUUGUGAACAAUGAUAUAUCGGUACUAAUGAUCUCCCAACCAAAAUUAUAUAUGAAGUUCGUAUUUUGAAAAUUAUUAUGUUUUAACUGGACGUUUGGAUAUUGUUGAUUGUGACUUGCUGUUUCUAUGUGUUGCCUUUUCUUAUAUGGGCAUUCUAUUUUGAAAGAGGAUUUUUAGCUAUACAUACUAGUGCUAUUCGACAGUACUAACGUCCCUUUCGCCGGGGGCACUGCAUCUUUAAUGGAUGCAGGUGGUUCUACAGCAGGCGACAUUGAUCAGUGAUAGCAGUACACUCUUUUCACCUGAUUUGGUGAGCCCCACUUCAUUUCGGGGUCAUGUAUCUUUUGUUUCUCAUGUACUGUAUUUUGAGGUAUAGCCGGGGCCUUGUUGCCGGCAUUUUCAUAUUACUCUUCUAUUGUACUUAGAAGCUCCGUAGACAGGUUGUGGUUGAUGUUGGGAACUGAACUAGAUAUGUUGGUAUUUGGAAAUCAUAUUUUUUAUUAAUUCUAUAAACUCGUAAUAUUUUUAAAAUUAUGAAGGAAGUUGCUAAUGGAAAUGAAAAAGGAAGUUGUUAAUGAAAUAUUUUCAGUGUUUGAUUAAUGGAGUACAUCUCAUAUUAUUUCAUGAAUAAGUUUGGGUAGAAUGAAAUCUAACAGGCUUGCUCAGCCGGGUUUACUCGGUUGAGCGCUGGUCGCGCUCCCCGAGUUUGGGGCGUGACAUAUCAUAAACAAUAAAGCCAAGUACAGAUUACAUUACAAGCUCGAAUUCUGAACCAUAAACCAGAGAUUCUGGGUUCGAUCCCCAGCAGAGUCGGCAGAGCUGUCACACCUUCUUUUUUCCGAGGGAUAGGGGAUAGGGGAGUAUUUCCAAUUAAAGUGACAUUAAUCGAAAUGAGAUUAUUUAUUUAAUCAGAGCCGCCACUUGGAAUAAUUUUAUGGUGUUCCAAGUCACCGGUUUAUUUUAAAUCCCAAAUCGAGAAAAUUUAACUCUGUUUUAAAGUCUGCGAAACCAGAAGACCGGGUAAGGAAUUCUGUUAACCCGGGAGAAGGUGUUAGGCAUUCCCGGAUUUCGUAGUUUUAGCACGGUCGCUUUAAUCAUACAUGGCUUAACUAACUUGUUUAAUUACUUAUUUUUAGGACCUAUGUGCGUUUUUACCUUUUACAGCUUUUAAUUAUGGCGUUAUGGAUUUAUCUUUGAAAAAACGGAUCACAUGUGCAUAAAUCCGCUUUAUUCAGCAUGCUAAAAAUCAUGUCACGCGUACGUGUAUACAAUUAAUCACGCUUUAUUAAUAAUUAAGAUUGUUUGGCCAAAAUCGCACGAACGCGUACUUUGCUUUAUUUUUGGAAUCAUAAUUAUGUCAUGCGAACACGUACAUAAUCACGAUAGUCGAUUAAAAACACACACCUAAAGCAAACUACGAAUUGUUUAUGAGUUGUUCAUUCUAAGAUUAGUUUGAGAUGGUUGUAAGGUCAUCAAUUAUGAAAUUAUGGGACUAUGGGGAGAACAUGGAUAGUAAACGGCCAGAAUACUGAUUUCAGCAAAGAUCCUCACAUUGUAAUACACAAAUAAUUAUAAACAAAGAUUCAUAUACAGAAAGGACAAAAUUAAGAGAACUAACAUUAACAAAGAUAUCAAAAUCAGAUUUUUUAACAAAAUAAAAUACUUUGUGGUACCACAACAAACACCACCAUCCAAAGUCCAAACCAUACCCAACAAGUUUUCUUAAAAAAGAAAAAAAAACUGAGAAAAUUCAGAAAAAAAAAAAGGAACCCCAAUUAAUAACAAGCAGAAAUUAAUAACAAAUAAGCCACUAAUUCAUGGUAUAUGGAUUAAAAAUUGAAGCAAGGUAGAAAAAGAGAAAGGACCUUUGUAUUAUAUAAUUUUUUCUUGAAAUCGAUUACACUUCGAAUUUGAACCAAGAAAGGUUACUACGGACCGGAUCUCAGCCUCAACCACUCGACGUCGACUCGAACGACAACAAUCGAUCUCCAUUACGUUGCUUUGAUAGAUUAAUCUCAUACCCAGCUGGAUUUGGCUAGAAAAUAGCCACCGUUUUUGUUCAAAGGAAUAUGAGGAAGAUGAGUGAUUGAGAUUCCAAGAUCUCUUUCUUUUGUUGUUUCUGUAUUUUUUGUUUCCCUUUUUUACUGUUUCAAUUUUGUAUCUAUGUCUCUGUCCCCCCCUUUUGAAAUGUGAGGAAGAAGAUGUAUAUGUAGAUCUCCUUAGCUCUUUUUUUAGGUGCCUUUUCGUGUAUAUGUGUGUCUCUCUUUAAGUUGAGAACCAGAAGAAAGAAAAACAAUCAGAAGGCGGGGAGGCACUGUUGUUGCUAAGGUGGAGGUCGGUGAACGGCUGCUUCUUCUUUUUUCGGGGAUUAGGUCUCUCCUAAAUUGUGUGUAUCUUUUUGUGUUGCCCUAAAUUGUGUGAGUGAAUGGAAGAUAUAUAGGUGUAGGUAUAAAGAUUAAUUGGUGGCAUGUGAGUUUUGAGUGAGAGUAUAUAAGUUUGUUACAAAAGAUAAGGAAGAAUCUUGCCACAUGGAAAUGACUCAUUGACUCUUGCUUUAAUUAAUAUUGUUUUCUUUUCUUUUAAGAGUGUAAAAUAAAAAUACUAGCUAAAUAUUUUAAAAUCAAGAACAUAUAAUUUUUUUGUAAUUUUUAAUUUUCUUAAAUAAAACCUACGAAAAAUGAAAUAAAGGUUAAAA